rnacentral:lncRNA from 1 species
CAUCCCUUAAUCAAAUCAUAUAUCUCUCUUGCACUCUUUAUAUCUACCGUAGUCCCUCUUCUUCUUCUGUUAAGAAAAAUGUCAAACCCUCCUUACAUCAAUGCUGCAAUUCGUUCAUCAAGAGAUCAUGAAGUGUAUUUCUUCGCCAAGAACAAGUAUGUGCGGUUGCAUUACACUCCCGGAACAUAUGAUGACAAGAUUUUAACUAAUCUCCGUUUGAUUAGUGGUGCUUUUCCAAAACUUGCAGGAACGCCAUUUGCAGACCCUGGAAUGGACUGUGCCUUUGACACUGAAGCGACUCUAGCAUACGUGUUCUCCGGCAACAAGUGUGCCUACAUAGACUAUGCUCCAGGUACAACAAAUGACAAGAUACUCGCAGGUCCUACCACUAUUGCUCAAAUGUUUCCUGUCCUCAGAAACACGGUGUUUGCGGAGGGCAUAGACUCUGCAUUUAGAUCAACCAAAGGAAAAGAAGUUUACUUAUUCAAGGGCAAUAAGUAUGUUCGCAUAGCCUAUGAUUCGAAACAGCUUGUUGGCAGCAUUCGCAACAUCGCUGAUGGGUUUCCUAUUCUGAAUGGUACCAUCUUUGAAAGUGGAAUCGAUGCAUGUUUUGCUUCUCAUAAGGACUCUGAAGCUUACCUUUUCAAAGGAAACAAGUAUGUGCGUAUUCAUUUCACCCCAGGUAAAACUGAUGACACUCUUAUCGGUGAUGUCAGGCCUAUCCUUGAUGGUUGGCCCGUUCUUAGAGGCAUUUUGCCUGUUAGCUAAACAAGCCUUCACUCUCAUGCAUCAACCACCUUAGCCUCCUCACAAUCAAUAAGGCUUUUAUUUCCAACGUUUGUUUUCUUUCUCUUUAAUGUAACAUUAGGAUUGGAAGCAUGUUUCCUUUCUUAAUGUAAAGUCUGAAUGUUUGCCUUUCCUUUCCUGUACCUACUGCAUGUUUCUUUCCUAUCUUCAUGUAAUAUGUGCACUUAAUAGAAGUGGGUGGUUUUUAAUUUAUUAGAAUGAUUUUUAUAGAUUUAGUUCAAUCUGUAAAAUUAUUUUUUACGACUUUAUGGGUAAAUCUUAUGAAAACGUAAAUAUGCCUCUAAUCUUUGCUACAAAAGGAAAGUGUCUGUAAUCAUAUUCUCUAUAACAGAAUAAAUAAACUAGGUUUUUGAGGAGAAACAAGCGAUAAUAUUUCAAGGACUACAAUUUAUGGAAAUGGUAUUUGUGAGAAAAUCAUCAAUUAUGAAACUCUUUUUCUCAAACCCAAUUUGCAUUCAAAAAUUCAACUUAAAAUAACUUAUUAAGUUUGAAUACUUAUUCAUAUUUCUAAGCUAGGUUAAAUAAAGAAAUAAAUUAAGUACAUUAUUUUAACGUGUGAACGUGAAUGGAAAAGAGUGAUGUUAUGAGAUUUAAAAUUUGUCAAUGUGAAUAAAAAAGACGAAUGGGAGAGAUUUAUAUAGAAAGUGGAAAAGAAACUUUAGAUUAAUAAUCUACGGUUCUUUUGUAUUGUAUUUAUGAUAUGCAACGGUUUGAAAUUUAUUUUAAGGUUACCAUGUUAGUCUCCCUGCACUUUUGAGCAGUUUCGCCUGCAAAUAUAUCUAUCAACAUCCGAAAUCCGAUUAAAAAUACUCAAAAUGUCUCUAUCAAUAUCCUAAAUCCGAAUAAAAAAUUUACUUAAUCCACAUUCACAGUUAAGAUUUUUUUAAUUUAUAUUUUUUAUUUUUAUUUAAUAAAAAUAAUAAUAAAACAUAUAAAAAAAUUAAAACUUUAAUACUUUAAAUUUAAUAAUUAAAAAUUGUUUUUUUAAUAUAAUCAAUAUUUAAUUAAUUUAAUAUUUUUCAUAUGAUAAAUAUAUAUUAAUAUUUUAAUUUAUAAAAUAUUAUUUAUUAAAAAGAACAAAACAUAGUAAAAAUUAAAAUAAAAAAAAAAAACUUAAAAAAGAAUAUGUUAACCUCCUUGAAAAUACGUUAACAUAUUCAUUUAGAAUUAUUCAAUAUGUUAAUCGUAUUUCCAAAUACGAUUAACAUAUUCUUUUUUUAAUUUUUCUUAAUUUUAUAAUUUUUCAUUUAUUUUUGUUUAAUAAAUAUUGUUACCAAUAAGGAGCAUUGGUAAAAUAUGAAGAAUUGCUUUGAUGAUGCUGCAAGAAGUAUUAUUUAAAGAGAACAUUAGAUUUAUUUAAAAAACAACUUGUAGAAUUUGGAUGUAGUAAGAAAAUCUUAAACCUUGUAUUUUUAACUUGAAUAAUCGAUUAAGGACAAGCUAUAAUCGAUUAUCACUUGCAUUUUGUACUAGAAUAAUCGAUUAUCAUGAAGCAAUAAUCGAUUAUCACAAGUCAUACUUGAAUAAUCGAUUAUCACUUCAUAUAAUCGAUUAUCACUUUUUGAAAAACCUGUAGCGGACUUGAAUAAUCGAUUAUCACUUACAAUAAUCGAUUAUUUGUGAUAGUUGGGAGAUGACCUUUUAGUUUCUGACCCUGGGUUUAUAAAUAGGUGCUUUGAGAACUUCAGAAAGUAACAUUGUGAACUUAGGUCUUUUGUAGAAUUCAGUUUGUCUGAGGAAGUUCUCAAAAGCUAGUUCUGUUCCCUUGCCUGGUCUCGUGAAUAGGAGAAGCUCGCGUUUCGUGUGUCGAUAGUCGGAGCGGUUCUCUUCGAGUUGGCAAGGUGCUCUGCCUNGUCUCGUGAAUAGGAGAANCUCGCGUUUCGUGUGUCGAAAGUCAGAGCGGUUCUCUUCGAGUUGGCAGAGUAUUUGCUUCCGGUUCGUGUGUCGAAGGAAGCACUUCCAGUUCGUUUGUCGAAGGAAGUUACUCACUGCACUCUUCCGGUUCGUUUGUCGAAGGAAGGUGUUUUCUAUCCCUUUCUCAUUUCAUUAUCUUGUAAUCUGUACAACUGUAUUUUUAGUGAAAAUCGUUAAUAACUUUUUAUAGUGAUUAACAACUGGACGUAAAAUCUUUUGAUUCGAACUAGUAUAAAAAUCAUUUGUGUGAUUUUUCUCUUUCCUACACUCCUUAAUCUUUUAGCACUCCAACUGUUCGAUAAAAGUUUUACAAGAAAUUUAAAACUGAUAAAGAAACUGUUUUCGUGAUCGAACACGCUUAUACGCUUACUCUGUUUUUUAAUUCCGCUGCGUUAUACUCUUCGAAAAUUACCCCCUCCGAUACCAACAAAUAUAAGUAUCAAAAUUUUAUCAUUUUGUAUUUCUAAUAUUAAACGGACUCCACUUUGACACAAAUAAAAAUAUUCCUUUAUUAAAAAAAUUAAACAUAAAUUCACAUAAUGUUUCUUUUCAGAUAAAAAAAAACAUUUUUUCGUAAACUAAAUAAACCUUAAGAAUUUUAAAAUUUAGCGGACUCAAAAUUAAUUUUUUAUUUUUCUUGUACUAGAAAGUGAUAUAUUAAGUUACGAUACAUAAAAGUAGAGUUGUCAAAAUGGGUCACAACUCGAGAUCAAUCCGGUCCAUCACGGUUCCGGUCGAGUUGUGUUUGAAAAACUUACCCACCAAUCCAUAGUGGGUCGUGUUAGGUUCAAAAUUUUUUGGCUCACUAAUAAAUGAGCCAAGUUGGGUUGACUCACUAAGUGAUCAACUCGUGGUAGACCAAGGCAGGUCGAACAUGAUAGCCUGUUUUGACAACUCUACAUAAAAGGUGAUAAGUACAAACAAUUUACAAUGUUUGUUUGGAAUUUGGAAGGCAGAAUCCUAAUAAUUAUAAAGAUAAUUUAUUUUAAUUAUUUAAGAAGUAUAUAUAUAUAUAUAUAUAUAUAUAUAUAUAUAUAUAUAUAUAUAUAUAAUAUAAUAUAAUAUAAAACAGAAAUUUUGGAAUCGUUACCAUUAUUUAUUCUAACAAAUUUUGGAAAAACUAAAAAAAGUGAUCAUAUUUAAUUAAGUUAACCAUAUGAAAAGAAUUUAUUAAGAGUCCGUAAUUGAUUAUGGUUGAUUUAACAUGUUUGUAUGAAUAUUUUGUGAACAAAUCAACUCCUUUAUAGUUUUUACCUUGUUUUAUCCUCAAUUAGUUUAGUGUGUUUUUUAGUUUUCUUGUAUUUUAUUUAGUAUAUGUUUGUUUUUACCUCUAAUAUCUUUGUUUGAGUUUGUGAAAUAAAUGAAUAGGAAGCAAUUCUAGUGGAGGAAAACAAGCAAGAACUUAAGGGAACAUGUUUUGGGACAAGAAAAGAACAAUUUGAAGCAAAUACCCAUGUUGGACGUCUUUGGAGCAAGCAGAUCUCCAAAGAAAGAGAAAAAGAUGCAAUGUAGAAAAAUCAGGUCUGAGCCCCCCAAAAGGGAGUUGAGCCUUCCCAAAAGGGGGUUAAGCACCAUUCAAUUCGUAGUUCACUACAAAUCUCACGCCUAGGCGCCCCAGAAGGGGACUGGGCACCCUUCAACUCGCAAACUCGCACAAAACUAGGCGCCUGGGCGCCCAGGAAGGGGGUUAGGCGUGACUUUCGUUGAUGUGUCAAAAUGGGUUAUUUAAACAUGGAUCUCACGAUUUUUUGGGCAUUCUUCUCCUUCGGCACUUCAUUCUUCACCUAGGGAGAUAGGGAGAGGCCGUUGGAGGCUUUUUGGGGGUGUUGGGAAGCUCUCCCACUCCUCCUUAGGUCUUCAAGCUUCAUUAAUGGUGAUUUUGCCCUUUUUGGAUUGAGGAAGAAGAUGGGCCACAAAUUGGAGAUGGAGAUGCGAAAAUGGAGCACGGAGCAGCUGUCAAAAACCUUGGGAAAGGCUGUGCAUCUUCUCUGUGGUUUCAAUUUCUUCCCUAUCUCUUCAAUUUUGUAGAACCCUAGGUUCUCCACCAUGGAGGGCUUUUCCUAUUUGUUGAGAUUAGUUGUAAAACAUGGAAUUCUUAUGUAUUUUGUGAUGUUAAUGCUAUAUGUUUUUCCAAUUCAUGUUAGUAUUCAAUUUCUAUGCUUAAUGCUUGCUUUGGAUUGAUCACCCAUGCAUGAACUUUGGUUCUUGAUGUAUUAAGAAAUAUGAUUGAACCUAGAAUUGAAAUUGAAUAUCUAUUAGAUGGAAUUGAGAUGUUUGUGAAUACAUGAGAAUGAAAUGGAUGAAUUCUAGUCUUGACAAAUUGUAAAUACACUAGUAGUAGCAAGCAAAGACCAAGGGAUGAUUAAUGAUCUAAAGCAUGCAUUGAAUUCAAAAUUCGAGAUGAGGGAUCAUGGAAAAGCUAGUCGAAUUCUUGGAGUAGAUAUCAGCAAAGAUAAGUUGUAAGGUACUUUAUUUUUGUCUCAAAAUAUUUAUAUGAAGAAGAUUGUGGAGUAGAUAUCAACAUAGAUAAACCAAUUCAAUUUUUCAUGUCAUAAUUUUUUAUUUUAAAUAAAAAUUCCACUUAAUUAAACCAUGCACAUCAAUAUAAACACGUCAUCAAAGUUUAACUCCGUUAGUCACAACUGAACGGACAAGGUAAAAUGUACUCAUUUUUACAAAAAAUAUAACCUAGACCGUUUCAAAUAUAAAGACCCACUUGAGAUUCCCUAAUAAACUUCAGAACUAACUCAGGAUUUAAACCUCUAUAUAUAAAGACUAUAGAACUUUCUCAAUCACAAAUUCACGUAUAUGCAUUAAUUAAUUCUCUUAUCUCAAGAUAUAAGGUAAAUUACUCUAAACAAAAUUUUGAAAUGCUAAAACUAAAAUUAGAACAACAUUAAUAUUAAUUUAAGAAUACACAUACUUAUCAGUCAAAAUAUAAAACCGGUCAAAAUUGGCACUAUUAAAUUUAGGUGUACAUCAACUCUAACAUAAAUCCAAAAACAUAUGAAAUUUAGAGUGAGGUAAACCAAUUAUAGUUGGACGUUAGCAUUUAUUAAAAUAAGAUUUAAUUGUGUAUUUUUGUAAAAAAAAGAAAAUUCCUUUUAUUUUUAUUUGCUUUGAUUUGAAUUUUACUUUUAAAAAGUUUAUAAUUUGAUGAAAACUGUUGGUAUCGGAGGGGUAAUUUUUGAAGAGUAUAACGAGCGGAAUUAAUACACAGAGAGCGGAAAGCGUAUUCGGUCACAGUUAAAACGAAUUUGACCCUUUUUAAGCAAAAGUAAUUUUCUUUCAGAAAAUUAACCAAACAGUUGAUAUGCGUUAAGUAAAAUAAGUGUAGGGAAUAGAAAAAUCACAUGAGUAUUUUUAUACUAGUUCGAUUCAACAGAAUCUACGUCCAGUCGUUAAUCACUACAAAGAGUGAUUAACAGUUUCACUAAAAAUAGUUUUACAUAUUACAAUUAAAUGAACAAGAUUUAAAACGAAAAGAACCACUCUACCAACUUGAAGAGAACCGCUCCGACAAUCGACCAACGAUUCGCGAGCUUCUCCUUUCACAAGACCAGGCGUAGUACCUUGCUAACUUGAAGAGAGUCUACUCCGACUAUCGACACACGAUACGCGAGCCUCUCCUUUCACAAGACCAAGCAAGGGAACAAUGAACAAAAAGCUCUCUAAGAACGUUCCUCUAACACACAGUGUUCUAACAAGCUUUCUCAGUUAAAAAACGUUCAGUUCUGAAAUCUCAAAAUCCAAAUAUAUAGCUAAGUACACUGAAUGCCAAAGGUCAGCUCCCAACUGCCAUGAAUAAUCGAUUAUUGUAAGUGAUAAUCGAUUAUUCAAGUCCGUUACAGAGUUUUCAAAAUGUGAUAAUCGAUUAUAUGAAGUGAUAAUCGAUUAUUCAAGUAUGACUUGUGAUAAUCGAUUAUUGCUUCAUGAUAAUCGAUUAUUCUAGUACAAAAACAUGUGAUAAUUGAUUAUAGCUUGUCCAUAAUCGAUUAUACCAGUAAAACUUACAAGAUUUAAUAUUUUCCUACUACAUUCAAAAUCUACAAGUUGCUUUUAAAUAUUUUUCUACUACAUUUACAAUCUACAAAUUGCAGCAUCAUCAAAACUCAUCUUCAGGUUUUACCAAUAUUCCCUUAUUGGUAACAAAAACGACCUGUACAUGAUAAGAUGAUGAACUAUUCUGAAUUCAUAUUGAUGUAUAUUAAAUCCAUUGUUAAAUAUAGUGCAUCAGUUCCAUUUUAACAUGAUUUAUGUGACAACUUAAGUAUGUGAAAACAUGAGCAUAAAACUCAAAUUAAGAAAAAUUUUCAAUACCAAACAUCUUAUAGGUUAUUUGAGAUGUUUAGACAUGCAAGAAAUACAGGAGAACGUUCUUAUUGGAUAAGAAAACAUCUCUGGAACUUGUUAGCAUAUUGCAAUUCUUCAUAUUAUCGUAAUAAAUAUGCUACUGCUUAAAGGAAUCAAGCUUAAGAAAAAUAGUGUUUUACAUAUAGGUAGUUCCAUAUUAUCACUCAUGAGUUGUAUGGUACAAAUCUUCAUUCAUUUUCUAUCUAUUGUGAUAUAACUUAUGUAUUUUAAAUUGAUGUAUAUAUAUAAGUCCAUAUUUUGUUAUAGUCAUAAGAGUUGAGAAGGACUGAGCACAUUGAUGAAGUAUUUUAACUAACUCAUCUUUGAAAGAGAUCUCGCUUGUUUGUUGAUGAGAAGUCUUCGCAGGUACAUGUAAAGAAACACUUUUGCAAACUUCAAAUUUGUACUAUUAUGUUUUUUUAAACUUUUUUACUGACACUUUGCAAAAUGUUUAACCGGAAGAAUUUUUAAUUAGACUCUCAUAGGUCGAUCGGAGUAAGGGUCAUCUCCUUAUGCAAUACAAAGACCAUAAUAAUGAUGAAGACAUCGUUAGAACACACUGUUGAAUCGGCAUCGUCGAUGAAAAAAAUAAAUGACAACUAUAUGAGACAUGACAACUUGCUGCCAAUUACAGUGGUGAAAGAGAAAUAUUGAAACACCAAUGUAGAGGAGAAUAAAGUAGUUAAGUUGAUUGUCUGACAAAUUGUCUAGUUGUUUCUUGUGAAGGGUCAAUGUGUCUGGUAGGAAAUACCGCCUUUUUUUUUAUUUAAUAAUAUGUGAUUGAAAUUUAGUAUAAAUAUUAAGUUCAUAUUUUAUCUUUAAAUUCAAAUAACUCGCUUAAUCUCUUUCACAAGCUAUAAGCUAGAGUUUCACCUCAUACAUGAUGGUAAAUAUAUUGAUGCAUCCAUUGUUGGAUUAGAGUAAUAAUAUUUCAGUUUAUCUUCUUCUAGUCUUUAUUGGAUUUAUCUAUUAGUUUGAAAUCCUGAUCCUUAAUAGGAUCAUACAAGUCUUAGAAAAAUAACAAAUCUUACCUUCGGAAUUUUCAUAUUGAAUAGUUGGUAGAAUCCAACUGAUCGUGAUUCAAUACCAUCACUAUCUCCCAUUUGCAAAUCACGAAGCAAAAGCUCCUAACCAAAGUUCGGAUACAAGUUGUUGAAAAAAUGAUAAAAAUUACGAAUAAUAAUAGCAAUAACCCCAAAUUAAAUCUUUGCCCAAUAGAUAAUAUAUAGAGCACAAAACAAAGAAGGAAAAAUUAGGAGACACAAGAACUUUUAGCGUGAAAAAACUCUAAUAUAAAGAAAAAAAAUCUACUUAACUUAGUUUAGAUAAAUCUUCCACUAAUAAUAAUUAAUAGGUACAAACUCCUCUUAAAACUUCUAAGGAUUUAUAGAAAGUAUUCUCCUGAGUAAAUAACAAUACAAGAAAAUAUUCACUCGAAAGUUAACUAAACAAAGAGAUGAUUGCUCUCACUUUCUAAUCUCACCAUAAACACUCGAAAAUAAUAAUCCCAAAUUAAAUCUUCAUUCAAUAAAUAAUAUGAAACACAAAAACAUUCCUUUCCUUCCUCGACCGUUCGGAUUGGUGUGCUGGAAUGGCUGUCGAUUAUGACUUCCCUCGUUUUCAUUCUCUCGGUUUGAGGCGGACCGUUCUGUAUGAACUCGUUCCGCCCUUAGUGCCACAAUAUCCUCUAUGUGUUUUCGUUGUAUCUCUUGCUGUAUUUGCGUCUGCACCUGUAUGGUUUUUGCAUGUGCUUGUAUAUGUGCUUGCAUCUGUGCUAUCAAAUCUUUGGUAUUUUGUUGUCCGUCCAUGCUCCUCGUGGUUACUAUUGGGGCUUCUUCUACUUGCUCAUGACCCCACGAUGGGCGGCAAAAUGUUUCGGUAGGGAUUUUUUAUGACGUGUCUUCCUUGUUUCCAGAUGCCUGGAUCGCCUGAAUCGUCUGCCUUCCUUCAGGAACACUCGCUCCUUUAUGACUAUCCGGUCUCCUUCUUGAGAGAGAGGGGAGUUACCUGCAAAAGGCGCUCAAGUUAGGAGCGGUUUGAUGAGCCUGAGCUCACAACUGAAUAUUUAGUGAAUUGUUAUUACUAUUAAGUAUUUAGGGGGAGUGGAGUGUGAAUAAAGCAUACCUGGCUUUUGACCCUGCCUUACUAUUUACAAGUUGUCUAAUAGUCUAAUGGACCUUUAACUAACAUAAACUCAAUAAAAUAUAAACAUAAUAAAAUAUGAACAGACUUACCUAAAAAUUUUGUUAGUUGCUAAAUAUCUUUAAUUACAUAUUCUUAAUUAUCCUUUGAUUAUUUUAUUUUUUGCUUAUAAUAUCUUUAAUCAGAUAUUCUUGAUUAUAUACCAUACAUAUGGUGACCCACGUAAGACUAAUCUAAUAUUUUUCUUAAUAAGUCCUUGUUAAAUCCUAACUUCAUGCUUUUUAUGUUAUAGAAGACGCUUAAAUGAAAAAGCAUUUAUCAUUUAUUCACUUUAAAAGAAGUUACCUUGAUCUCACCGUUCCUAUAUGUACUUUUUGUUUUAUGAGCGAAAAACAUUAUAAAUUAAAAUUGAAGCACCAAUGGUGUCGGCAGGAAGAGAAGAGAUUUCCAAUUUUUUGUCGCACAGCCUUUUUUGUUUAAUAAUAUGUGAUGGAAAUUUAAUAUAAAUAUUAAAUUCAUAUUUUCUCUUUGAAUUACCUAGGAAAAAUAUGAAUAGGAAAAAUAUGAAUAGACGCAUUUGAUUUUCUUAUUUGUUGGAAUUUAAAAAAUAACUGCCAAAAUAUAUAAAUUUUUCAAAGGAAGAAAGGUUUGAAAUCCUUUGUUACACCAAACAACACACUUGUAUUAAUUAUUAAGCCAUUUUAGACAUACAAGAACGGAAAACAAACAUCGAGACUUGUUACAUUAGAAAAGAAAGCAAGCAUCAUCAAAUCCUAAUUUUACACCAUGAAAGAAAUGGAAGCAAACAUUGGCUAAGGAAGAAUCACAAGUCUUCAUGCUGAUGUGGAUAAGAUUGUUGAUGAUAAUGAGCAUCAAGUCCUUUAUUGUCGCGAGGCAGAAUACCCUUAAGAGAUGGCCAAAAAUCAACGAUACGCUGCACAGCAGUCAGAAGAGUGUCACGAGUAUCAUCUGGGGUGAAAUGGAUCCUUACAUACAUCUCUCCUUUGAAAAGAUAAGCUUCACCUUCCUUAUGAGUAGGAAAACAUGCAUCAAUUCCACUUUCAAAGAUGGUACCUUUAAGAACAGGAAAUCCAUCACUGAUGUUACGUAUGGUUCCAAUGAGCUGCUUUGAAUCAUAAGCUAUGCGACCAUACUUAUUGUUCUUGAAUAAGUAAACUUCUUUGCCUUUAGUUGACCUAAAUGCAGAGUCUAUACCAUUCUCAAACACAGUAUUUUUCAAGACAGGAAACAUGGCUGCAAUUGUCAUAGGACCCGAGAGUAUCUUGUCAUUCAUAGUUCCUGGAGCAUAGUCAAUGUAGGCACAAAGAUUGGUGGAGAAGAUAUAUGCAUUGCUAGCUUCAGUAUCGAAGGCACAGUCUAUUCCAUAUUCUCCAAACGGCGUAUCAGAAAGGGAUGGAUAGCCAUCACAAAUCAAACGCGGAGCAGUGAGAAUCUUAUCGUCUGUGACUCCAGGAGUGUAAUACACCCGCACAUACAUAUUUUUUAAGAAGAAAUAAACUUCAUUUGGUCUUGAUGAACGAAAUGCAGAAUCUAUGUAACUUGGUACCUCUACAACUUUAGUAGUAUACCACUCAAGAACAGCAUCGUUAUCAGCUUCCAAGGCCUGUCUUUUCUUUCUCAGAGGCGGAUAAGUUUCUUCCGGCAGGAAUCUAUCUCCGUCCUCAUCCCUGUAGUAGUAAACAGGGUUAAGAAUUACUACUUGAUUGUAAGGAGCGGACACUGGAUUGAAAUUCCUGUUUAUGACCAAUCUUGUUUCUCUCCGAAAUGUCGUAAACCUGCACAAUAUAAUAGUUAUUACUGUUAUAUAUUGAUUGAUAAGAUGAGUUGUUGAUUAUAAAAAUACCAAGAGAAAUAUGUAAUAUUCCAACCUUGAUCCGGCUUCACGUGUUGCUGUGUAUAUGAGACAAGAUCGAAUGUACUGAGGAGCAAUGCGUCUAACAAAGCAAAUUUCAGCUUGAGAAACGUAUCUUGAGUAUCUAUCCCCAAGGGUGACAGCAACCCAAAUGCCACCGGGAGCAUAUAUUUCAUAGCGAUAAUAUUGAAUCUGAGAGCCUGGUCGGAUCGAAGGGUUUGGUUGCCAUUCAUUGUUGAGAGUGGUGCUGACAAAGACAUGUGUUUCAUUUGGAGGCCUUCUUGUAUCAAGAGGGGCACCUGCAUGUUCAAUGAAGUGAAGCAAAUUAUAGUAAGUGUCGUUGCGAGUUGGUCCCUGUGGCCAUGCUUGGAACCCAUUUGCAAAGAUCUCUUGAUAGGGCCUAUUGUCCCAACGAUGCACAGGCCGACGGAUAUCAAGAUCUCGGUCACCUGUCCUGUAUACAACUCUCAAGUUUCCUUGAACACUGUUGACUUGGGUCACAUUAUUCAAGAAAUUUCGAGCUCGAGCAAUAUCUUGUUGCCCUAGAGGCUGUGAGAAUCCCGAGGAACAUCCUCUGGAUGGAUCGUUUGGUGGAGGGAUUGACAUUUCUCUUCAGAAACUUAAGAAAAGGAUGAAUAAGGUAGAUAAAAUGGAGUAGAAGAGAGAGCUAUGAUUUGGUAUGAGGAUGCUUACCUUCCUCUCCGAGGCACCUAUUUAUACUGUCAUGGACUUCCAUCCCUUAGCUUAUUUCUUUCCUUACUCGGUAUCGGAAACUACGAUGACCACACUUAUUAAUUCGUAAACCAUGUGACGAAUGUGUUACAUGAUCUCUUAGUCAUACGUUUUUUUUUUUGUUACAUAUUACUCUCAAGUUGAAAGGGAGACCACAAUAAACGACAAACAUGUUAAUUUACAUGCAACUACACAAUUCUAUAUCAUAGAAGCAAAUUUAUACAAUUCACUACAUAUUUAUUUAUGAAUGCCAUAAAUAAGAAAAUAAUUCAUAGAAUUAAAUAAGAAAAAAAUUAAUAGUAUUACUAAGGUUGACUAACCGGUCAUAUUACACCUCUUAUAUUUCAAUUUUAAGAUACAAGAAAUAAACAGGAAAGUUAUAUGUUUAUAGAAAUAACAUAAAAUUACUGUUAAAUUAUACAUAAAAAAAAAUAGAUUUUUGAAUCAUUGUUCAGAACAUGGCUCUUCUGGAAAAGGUUAAGGGUCGGUUUACACAUAACCUAAUAAAAAGCGACCAUUCUUUGGUUGUCCUCUUUAAAUAGUUUGUUUUAUUAAUAUUUCCUCUUAAAUAAAGGGAAAACGUUUUAAAAUAUUUGGAUAUUUUUAAUGGUUGUUGGGGGCUUGGAGAUAACACUAAAGAGAGGGUUAACAUGUAACCAUAAAAGCUACUAAAUUUGAACACGUAAACAAAUGUUAUCUAACUUGUGUCGUUUUUUUAGGUUUAAAUCCUCGGUUGUUUCUCACUUUUGUAUGGUAAUUUAAGUUUGUAACUAUCUCAAUUGGGUCAUAUUUUUUUGUAAAAUUUAUCCAAUUUUACCCUAACCGUUAAGUUGUCCCAGACGGUAUUAAAUUUUGAUGACAUGUUUAUGCUGAUGUGCAUUGUUUGAUUAGGUAGAAUUUUUAUUUAAAUUAAAGAAUUAUGACAUGGCAAAUUAAGGUUUUUCAUUCUGCAGGGAGGAAUAGGUUGUGUUGUCACACGUAGGGGAGGUGCGAAGGAGAUUGAUUUCAUGGCGGAAGGGUUCCCCUACCCUGCAAGUACGGGAUUCUUGUUAUUGCCAUGGAGGAGGCUCGUAGAGAUUUGCGUAUCGCAACGAUAUAUGUAUAGUAUGAUAUCUAAGCCGAACGGUUAGCAUCCAAGACCGGUCAAUCUAUUCACUAUAGCAACACUCGUCAAAGGUCAAACUAGGUUCAACAUUCGUCAAGGGUCAAACUAGGUUCAGUGCUCGUCAUCGCUCGUCAACCAGGUCAAACCAAGUUAAACGAUGUUGGGCCGCAAUUGGGCCAACAUUUAAGUGAUUGGGCUAAUAGUCCAACAAAGAAUAAAAUAAUCAAACAUAUCUGAUUAAAGAUAUUGAUAAAGUUGUUUAUGAGCAACCAACUGGAUUUUAAGGUAAAUUGUUUAAGGUAAGUCUGUUUAUAUUUUAUUAGGCUUGUGAUAACCUAUAAAUAUAGGAUCAAGACUAAAAGUCAAGUACGCUUUACUCACUCAAAAAUAGUCUACAAAAAUAGUCUACAGUGAUAAUAAAAUCACUUUCUGAAAAGCGAAAACUCUAUAACCCACAAGCGGUACAAGCUGAAGAAGCGUUAACCGCUCAUUAUGGCCGCUCGGCAUAGAUACAUACUAUACAACAAUAUCAUCUGUAUAUAUAAUGUCAAAACAAACCAGCCUUGUAAAUGUUAUCGGUGGUGCAUGUCCUUCCUGUUGGAUUCAUCUAACUUUAUCAUUGUAAUAUUAAACGGCAAACGUGGUGAGAUUUUUUUAUGCUUUUAAUCUUUCUGAGACUGUUGCAUUUGGGGAUAAGGUUAGAGGGAGGGGUAAUACGUAACCUUAAAAGCCACUAAAUUGAAAGACGUAAGAAGAUGUUAUGUAACUUUUGCAUGUGCUUUUGUCAUUGCAUAAACAAAUGCUGUGAGCUUGUUGGAUUCUGCACUGUUAUCUCAGCUUCCAAUACAUUAAUGUGUUAUUUAAACCGUUUGCUGUUUCCCUCAUCACAUAAACACCAUAAGUUGUUGUUCUAUUCAUACUACCACAUCAUAUUUUAUAUAUAUAUAUAUAUAUAUAUAUAUAUAUAUAUAUAUAUAUAUAUAUAUAUAUAUUUCAAUUAACCGUGUUUUACAGUCAAUUGGAAACAACUUUGAAUGGUUAUAUAUAAAGUUACAGAAAAAUACACACAUAAAUAAACCUAAAACAGCUAAUUGGUAAACCUAUACUCAAUAAUAAUGUGCUCCAUUGCUUCUACGAUAUGAUAGUUUAAUUAAUAAUAUAUAAUCAAUUAUUGCAUAACAAUAUUAUAUAUCAAACUAUUGAAAGAAAUAAUCCAAUGUACAUCUGCAAUGCAAUAGCAUAUUUUCACAUGGUUAUAUCAGAAAUUAUUUUAUAAUUAAUCGUCGACUUAGGUUUGUGUGUCCAUGUGAACAUGUACUAGGAAUAUAUAUAUAUAUAUAUAUAUAUAUAUAUAUAUAUAUAUAUAUAUAUAUAUAUAUAUAUAUAUAUAUAAUGGGCAGAAACUUCGCUAUGCAAUAUUAUAUAUCAAAUUGAAAGAAAUAAUCCAAUGUUCAUAUGCAAUGCAAUAGUAUAUUAUCACGUCCCAUGGGAUGAGGAAUUAUUUUAUAAUUAGUCGCGAUCUAAAACGCUUAGGUUUGUGUGUGCAUGUGAACAUUUACUUUGUAAUUUAUAGUCGUCGAUCAAAACGCUUAGGUUUGUGUUCAUAUGAACAUUUACUUUGUAAUAUAUAUAUAUAUAAACUUCACCUAGACGCUAAAACUUUCUCAAUCACAAAUUCACGUAUAUGCAUUAAUUCUCUUAUCUCAAUAUAUGAGGUAAAUUACACUAAACAGAAUUUUGAAAUGCUAAAACUAAAAUUAGAACUUUACUAUCAAUAUAACAAUACACAUAAUUAUCAGUCAAAAUAUAAAGUCGGUCAAAAUUGACACUAUAUAUUAAAGUUAGGUAUAUCAACUCUAGCAUAAAUUCUAAAACAUUUAUUUUGAACGUUAACAUUUAAUAAAAUAAUCAAUUAUUGCAUAGCAAUAUUAUAUAUCAAACUAUUGAAAGAAAUAAUCCAAUGUUCAUAUGCAUAGCAAGAAACAAUUAUGUUAUGUGAUAUGUGAAUGCUUGAAUAGAGAACGUAUUUUGUCUAAGAUUUUACUGCAAUGUUAGUUAAAGACCAAUUUCAGUGAUCUUUUAUUGUAUUUUUCAAUCUUAAAUUUUACGUUGUUAAUUAUAUGCUAUUUACCCAAAUUUAAAUCAAAAUGUUAUCAUCAGCCAAAAGUGCACAAAAGAAGUAGGAAAGUGCAAAAAAGAAGAAUCGCAGCCAACUUUAAGCGCUAUUUUGUCGUUGAGAGCCAAGUUCGUUGUGGAGUUCACUGCCUGACGCUUGAACGUCAUCGCUGAGGGACAAAUCCAAUUUUCGCACUUACCGCUGAGCGCCAUUUUCACCGCUGAGCGCCAGUUUUGUUGGUGAGUUCUUUGUCUCUCACAUGGACGUCAACGCUGAACGUUAUUUCUGAGUAUCGCACCCACCGCUGAGCGCUGUCAGUGUGGGCCUGGGCUAGUUUUAUGUUAUUUUUAUAAACUAUAUAAGGAUUUAGUUGACCUAGAGGGUCUAUCUUUUGACAGAAAGAGGCGCAGAAACACUUUUUUCACCCCUCGGAGGCGGAUUUUGGAUGCAGAAGCUCCAAUCUACAAUUUCUAGGGUUCUAUCUUUCAUUCCUUUCAUUAUUUUCAUCUAGUUUCACCAUGUUUUUGGUGAACUAAACCUCCAUUGUUGUUGAGGAAAUGAUGUAAUCCUUUGAAACUCUCAUGUAUUGAAUUGAUCUUUAUUACAUAUGUUUUACUUCAUUAAUUGUUAGGGUUUUUCCUCUUUACUCUAUGCAUUCUUUGUUUAACCCAUUCAAUUGCAUGAUAUUUUAUUUUAUCGAUAUGGACACAUACGGGGAAAUCUAAACUUGGGGAAACUCUCUCGGGAGCAAUAUUACCUAGACAUAGGAAUAAGAGGACCGAUUGCCUUUAAGAUUCUGUGCAAAUGUAAUGCAUAAUUAAUUGAUAGGGAGACAAGACAUUGUAAACAAGCAAUUAAGAGUAGGCUUUCUUCACCAAGACAUCAGAGUUUAAAGUAAAUUAGAAAGUGACAUUAACAUUAAUGAAGGAGUUGAAUUCGUAAAUACAUGAGAGUGGAUAGGAUAAGUCAGAAACCCCAACAACAUAAUCAUUCCAUAUUUUAUACACCAUUCGCUUGCGCAUUCUUUUGGUCAAUUUAUCAACACAUGCAUUCGUAUUUACGUUUUGCAUUAUAAACACUGAUUUUCAUUUUUAAGUCUUAAAUAAUCAACAAAUCAUAUGAUUAUUUAGGUUAAUGAGUCUCUAGGAAAAACGAUACUUGGUCUUACCAUUUAUAUUACUUGAUAUGAUUCGAUACACUUGUCGAAGUCUUAACAGUGUGCGCUGUGCGAAUUUCUUAACUUUUGUCCUUUAAUAGCUGCUAUUCGCUCAGUGCACAUGUGUUGGUGCGUUGUGCAAAUGUCUUCCUUCUGGCUGUGCAAAUUUUGGCUUGCGCUACACGAGAAUUGGUUGACAGAGUCUAAAUAAUACAACUUUUCAUGUACAAUUUACAUAACAAUCUACUUCCUAUUAAAACUUUUCACUAAGGAACAACAUGUAUAAUUACAAGAUUGAGCUUAUUAUAAGUGUAGAAACAACACUUUUUCACGCUAAUAACUUCCCUAAACUUGAACUAUUUCAUGCCCUCAUGAAAUCACAGAAGAAAAUGAACAACACAAUAAACAUUUGACAUUUUGAUAAAAAUGACUUUGCACAUCAGAAAAAAUCACAUGCAUUCCCAAAGAUUUCAAACAAAUAUGACAUGGUGCAUCACUCAAAAAAUCACCCGUGCAUUGAAUAUGAACAACCAGAUUAGCAUUUAUCAUUACUCACCACUCAAGUGUCUGUCCUUACAUGACAGUAGGAUUGUCAUAAAACUUCAUUAGCUUUUUCAUUUCAUUUGAUUCACACACUUCACACAGUAUUGGUUAAGUCAAAAGAUCUUUUGAGGUUAUGGCUUGGCUUGACUAGAAAAAGAAUCACAUUUUUUCUUGGAUUCAAAGACACCUAUUAAGAAGAGAACACUAAUAUAAGCUUCAAUUCCCAAUCCAGUACUCAAAUCCCAAAAUAUAUCACUCAUUACAUACCAUUUUCUUUCACAACUCAACCUUCUUUUUCAUUUUGAGCACCCUUUUUAUCAUUUUGUCUGUUUUUUUUAUUGAUCUUUUCUUUCCCCAAACUUGAAUUCAACCUUAACCUCAUUUAAAACAUUAUGCAUGUUCUCUUUUAAGGUGUAAGGUAGGAUAACAUAAUAGGCUCAAGGUGGAAGAAAGAAAUCAAGGCUCAAAGAGGGUUUUCAAAUGUAGCACAUUGUCUUAAGGUUAUUUGGCCAAGUAGUUGUAUAAUCAAUAACAAAUAAGGCCUUUUUCAUCCUUAACCAAAAGGUGUGUGUAUGUACGUAGAAUCAAAAUCCUGCAAAAGCCAAUUCCAUAUCUAGACAACUCAUAAUAUUUCUCAAUCAAGACAUGCUCUCAACACUCACAGAUCUGGUCAUAUUCAUACACACAGAUAAAAUUUCUGAAGCACAUAGCAACCACAACAUACAUGUCAUCAUCUUCAAGAAUCAUAUCACUUAAUUCAGAUGAUGCAUAAUCAUUAAAUCAAAACACAAUUGUCUUUACAACUUAACACAAUAAACAUAAAUCAACUAACACAGUUCCACAUAGAACAAAUGAACUCAAAUAACAAAAUGAAAAUAAACAUAAAUCAACAGAAGUCUCUGUCCAUCUGCUCUACCAAGACUGAUCUGGUCUUGAUCUCCACUAGCUAUCCUGUGUUUCGUAACUAGGUUGUGUCCACCUAGGAUCGGGCCCCUCUUCCUCAUCACUGUCACCUGUCAUCAUAUCCUCCUCUUGUUCUGGCUCUAGCUCUGGUGCUGGGCAAGCACUCCCCCACCUAGACUUGGGCCUACCCUCAGGCCAUGAAAUCUGCACCAUAAAAUGGGCUCUUGUCAUCAACGAAUCUGUAGGGAAGUCAGGGAUGCCCAAGGAAAGGUUAUACAUGUUCUCCUUUAAGGACACCUGGCCCUGCCUCAUAUCGGUACACCAUUCACGCAUGUAGCUAGUGAACAUGUCUACUGAAGGAACUGAAGGUACUGAGGGAGGUCUGGCUGCUCUAAAAUUUCUGCAUGGAGGGGGAACUAGAGGAGGGGCGUUCAUAGCAGACAACUCUACCCUGUUGGUGCAAUUACGGUCAAAGAAUCUCUUGUUCAGGGGGGGGUUGUAAUUUCAGAGUGAUAUCUGACACUCUAGUUACUCCAUUCGCCUUACACAAGGUUGUCACCAGAAUUGGAAAACCCAGUUUACAAGAAUCAUUAUUAGCUAUCAAAGCUAUCUCUAGGGAAAUAUAAGCUCCCACAUCCAUAUCAAUACAUGUCAUAAUACCAAAAACCAUAUACGAGUGUUCCAGGUUGAUGUCGGAAGUGAGAGUUGGGACUGAUGUUUGUGAAGGUGAAUGUACUCCAGAUUAUUGCCAAUGAGUUCAGAUGUUUCCUUAAAAUUCUCACCAGCGUCCCACUAGUCCCUAGCUGAUAUCCACCUAGGAGGCAGAAGGUGGAUGCAACCAGAUCGUGAUCAGGAUAGUUGGACAUGAAAGUGCCUAGAGGGCACUACUGAAAUGUGAAUGUAUGCAGCAUCCUGUUCAAUGAUCGUCUGUCAAAAUGAACUAGCUUGCCUCUCACCUUGGAGACUCUAUGGUGAGGCUGAGAGUGGACAGGUUCCAAGGCAUUUGCAAAAAAUUCCUUGACCAGGACUUCAUCAAUUUCAUCUAGGAGGCUAGCAAAUACAAAAUGCCAUUUCCUCCUAUCCAGUUCUUCCUGAAUGUGAUCAUAUUCCCCAGGUUUCAACUCAACACGCCUCUUAGGUAGCAAUCCUUUGCCCAUAAUAUUCUGAUUAAAUUUAUCCUAGGCCGCCUCUGAAACAAAACAGUCUUGAUCAUAAUUGAGAACUAAGUUCUCCUCUUGGGCAUUCAUAGGUUGUGAUAUAGAAGAAGACCCUCUGGUGGUCUUCCUCUUCUUCUCUUGAGCAUUCUUGGGAGGUUUCAUCUGCAAGAAAGAAUAUACAGUGCAACAAGUGUGGAAUAGGAGAUCAGAGCAAUUGAAUCAAGCAAAACAGUGGUGCAGUGUUGAGUGAUCGGAUCGUAGGAAGUAAUGAUCCUAGUAAGACAAGGUAUCAUUUUCCAAUAGACUCUCGGCACUAGACAGUCAUUUGAUAACUCGAUUAACUAAGACUUAAAACGAACAAAAUCAUUGGUUUAGAAUGCGAAUACAGAAAAUUAAAUAUGAAUGUAGUUUUGAUCAAUUGAAGUAGCACAACGAUGAAUGGAUGAUGUUUGAAUUAUGAGAUGAAUAUGUUGUUUACGUUAGAUUUCACGAAGUUUACUCUCAUGUAUGUAAGCAUUAUUCUUCUUUCAUUAAUGUCAACGUCACUCGCUAAAUUACUUAAAACUCGAUCCCUCGACCAAGAAAGCUUAUCCUUAAUUACUAGGUCACAAUCCAUUUCAUCCCUAAUAAUUAAUUUCUACAUUAAGAUUAUGAGCUUAAGACGACCAAGGCUCAUAACCCCAUCCAUGAGAAAUACUGCUCAUGGGAAUAAUUCUACAAGAACCUGAAUUGUAAGAAACCUCCCGGCACUCAUGCAAUUCAUACAUCAUGCUAUGAAUGAGUUAAAUAAAGAAGCAUUGAUCAUAAAAUAAUUACCCUAACAAUUAAUAAAAGAAGCAUAUAUUAUUAAGCAUCAAUUGAAAUACAUGAGAGUUCACAAGGUUACAUUAUCCCCCAACAACAAUUAGAAGUUAGUUCACCAUCGUCAUGGUGAAACUAGAUGAACAAUGGAGAAGAAUGAGAUAGAGAAACCCUAAAAGUAGAAGAUGAAAGCUCCCACAUCCAAAUUCUCCUCCAGAGAGUGAAAGAGUGUGUUGUUGUACCUUCUCUGCCAAAAGAUACAAAACCUAGGGCUUCUAGGUCCUUUAAAUAGAGCGAAAUCAAAACAUAAACAAAGCUCGAGCCUGUCUUGUUGGCGCUCAGCGCCCCACUUAGGGUGCCCGGGCGUGGUGUGUUGCUCAAAAUUGGCGCUCAGCUACACUCAAAGGGCAAGCAGGCACAGUGCGUCUAGAAAAGUGGCGCUCAGCGCCCCAAAAAGGGUGCCCAGGCAGCAACCAGUGGGUUUUGGCACUGAGGGCCCCUAAAAGAGCGCCCAAGUGUGGUGCAUUCCUCUUUUGUGGUGUUUUUCCAGGUUUUUCUGAGUUCCAACUCCUUGGCACUUCAACUCUGCUUCCAUAUUAUCUCAUUUCCUGCUAAAACAAGGGAAUUUAGUCAUAAAAUCAUUAAGUUCAACCUCAACUCUCUUAUUCACACAACUUAAUAGAUAAAUAUGAUUCCAAGCAAGUUUCUAAGUCAAAAAGGGUUCAUCAGCAUCAAAGUUAUAUCACAGAUAACGGUAUUUUCAACCGUUAUCAUGCAGUCAGAGGAGAUUCGAUGUGUGUCAUGGCACGCUGAGCGAAUAAAGAAACAUAGUUGUUGUUGUCAAGACUCAUUCUCUAUGCGCACAGAUGCGUUGAGCAAAUUUGCAAAUAUAUAUGUUGUAGGAAUUAUGAUUCGCUGUGCAAGUAGGCACGCUCAAUGAAUAUGCAGACAGUGGGUACAGUGCAAUAGAGUCAUUGUGCGAAUCUUUCGCUUUGCGAAAGUGUAAAAAAUAGUGUAUUUUGGCGUAGCAAGAGUGAUGAAUCAAUGGAUAUCGUUGUGUGCCCCUUUCUUGUGACUCAGUUACAACUAGCAAAAUCAAAAAGCUCAAUGGACAUAGAUGAACAACUAGCCAAACAAUCCUAACAUUCUACAGUCCGAAAGAUGCACCUAAUCUAAUCUAAUCCUAAGAACAACUAAAGAACACCAUAUGAACAAGAACAAAGGAAUAACAUACCUGUAGUGAGUGAAAAGAUGAAUGUGAAGCAAAGAAUAGAACACUUGAACGGGCAGAGUCAAAGCCUACAAGCUUGGGAGUGAUUGCAAUGGAGGUUAUGAGAGAAAGAAGGAGAUGAGUGCAAGAAUGCGCUUUGCGAGAGAGGGAGGUCGUAAGGUUAAAAUUAGGAAGUGGUAAAAUGAAAAGGGGAAGAGUGAAAAUAAAUAAAUAAAAACUUACGAAUAUAUUCACUGAGCGCACCUCAUAUGUGCGUUGUGUGAAUCUGCUCUCAUUUAUUGCCCUACCUCUUUUUCUGCAUACUUUUAUUAUUAUAAUAUUUUUUUGAAUUUUCGGGUCCAGUCUUUGAGCGCAUCUCAACUGUGCACUGUGCGACUGACCAUUUAUUUAUUUAUUUAUUUUAACAACAACUUUCACAGAGCGCACCUUAGUUGUGCGCUAUGCGAAACUAUGCGAAACAAAACCCCUUUCUACAAUUGCUCGCUCUGCACGAAAUUUCGUACACUGAAUAUUUUGACAGAGAGCCAUCUCAACUUUUGUCAGCUUAACGCAAGCUGUGAGCUAUGCGAAUUAAUCAUUGAAUUUCUCCCAUCUUGCUCUAGUGAUUUGGCUCGCUUUGCCUUUCCAAUGCGCUAUGCAAAUUACAUUACAGAAAGAAUCUUGAAUUUUUUAUUGCUAAGCGCAAGUGGUGCAUUGUGCGAACCUCAUUAUAGUAAGAAAUAUCUCUUUCUUAAUGCUUAACGCAUGGAAUAAGCUAUGCGAGCAAAUCUAUGUUUCGUAAAAUUCUUUGGUUGCUGAGCGCACCUCAACUGUGUGCUCUAUGACUAGAGCGUCAUAGAAAUACACUCAAGCAUCUUUCAGUCAUCCUCUCCACACUCAAACUCAACAAAACAGAAACAUGAACACAAAAACACAGAAAAACAUACAUUUACUAGGGUGGCUCCUAGCAAGCGCUUCUUUAACGCCACUAGCUUGACCUAGAAUUUUCAAGGUUAAGUUAGAUUAUUGAUGUUGGUGUGCUUCUUCGUUUCAUGACACCAACAUUUUCUAAGUAACUUUCUUGUCACCAACUUAAUUCUUCUUGAAUAUGGAGCCUCAAUUUCGAGUACUCCAUUUGCCUUUAUGUCCUUAAUAACCCAUAACAUGUUCUUAUGACUCACAGGUUUGCCAGGUUUAAGUUCAUCAGAUUGUUGGUGAACUCUUUGCUCCUCCUUAUCUUCAUCUCUUUCCUUCACUUUGGGAUUGAAACAAUUAAGGUUCUUUUUGGCUAACUUGGCAACUUGCCUUGAAAGACUAGUAACUCCUAAAACUUCAUCUUUUACUUUGGAACUAGUCUUCUCCUCUUGACUUUGCUUCACAUCUUCAAAGACAUUAAAUGUCACCUCUUCAUCUUGGUCUUUUAAUUUCACAGUUCCAUCAUUAACAUGAAUGACAACCUUAGUUGUCUUCAUGAAAGGUCUUCCAAGAAUGAGAGGUAUAUCUACACCUUCCUUCAUUUCUAAUACUACAAAAUCGACCAGGAUAUUUAGUUUAUCAACUUUAAUUACAACAUCUUCCAUUACACCAUAGGGAGGCUUAAGGGACCUAUCUGCCAUUUGCAUGAUCAUUCUUGUUGACUUGACUUCAAGGCCACCAAUCUUUUUGAGCAUAGAUAGGGGCAUCAAAUUGAUGCUAGCCCCUAAGUCAACAAGAGCCUUCCCUAUCAUGAUUUCCAAUGGUGCAGGGGAUAAUAAAACUUCCUAGAUCUUUGACUUUUGGAGGUAGAGAUUUCUACAUAAUUGCACUGCAAUUUCCUUGCACUUCAAUUAUUUCCUUAUCUAAAAACUUAUUCUUUUUACUAAGGAUUGCUUCACAUAUUUUGCAUAAGCAGGAAUUUGUUGCAGUGCUUCAGUCAAGGGCAUACUAAUCUCAAGUUGAUUAAAUACCUUCUUGAACCGAUCCAUUUGUCUCUCCUUAUCCUUUUGUGAAGUAUUUUUAAGAUAAGGAAGUUGUUUCCGCAAAAAUUUCUCUUUUUGCCUUCCAUCUUCCUUCUUGUUUCUACUUUCUUCUUCUCCAAUUACCUUCUUUUGAUCAUCCUCUUCGUGUGCUUGAAUCUCUUUAUUUUUCGGCUUCUCCUUGUAAUCAAACCCCACUUCUUUUCACUUCCAGCUAUUAUGACAUUACAUUCCUCCCUGGGGUGAACUUCAUUAUUAGCCACAAAUUUCCUUUCAGAUUUCUCAAGCUUCUUAGCAAGUUGACCCACUUUUGUCUCUAAGUUUCUAAUAGAAGCUUUAGUGCUUUUGUGGUUGGAGAUGGAUACUUGCAUGAAUUGUUGAAGUGUUUCCUCCAACUUUUGAAGUCCUAUCAGAUGAAGUAGGUUGUUAUUGAAAUUGUUGUUGUGGUGGUCUACUAGAACUAGCCUGACCCAUGCUAGGAUGAGGUCUCCAUCCUUGAUUGUAAUUUCCAUAAUUGCCUUGACGGCCUUGAUUUCCCAUGUAAUUUACCUCUUCCUUUGCAUUGGGCUGAAUAACACACUGUCCAUUUUUGUGCUCUACACCACACAAUUCACAACCUUGCACAAUUUGAUGUUGUGCCUGAGAUACGAUUUGGAGUUCCUUAGGUAAUUAUGAGAACUUUUUCAUCAAAGAUUCAAGUUGUUGAGUCAUGAUUUUAUUUUGGGCCAAUAAGGCAUCUUGGGAUUGCAAUUCAAACAUGCCUUUCUUUUAGGUUUGCACACUCUCACUUUGAACAUCAUUGUCACUAGAUGCCAUAUUUUCAAUUAUCUCAUGUGCCUCAUCAGGUGUCUUCCACCUAAUGUUACCUCUAGUUGAGGCAUCUAGCAUAAGCUUUGUGUGAGAUUUUAAACCUCCUAAAAGGUCUAAUUGAGUGGGAACGUCAAACCCAUGAAUUGGAGUCUUUCUUAGCAACCCUUUGAACAUAUCCCAUGUUUAACUCAACGACUCUUCAGGCUCUUAUUGAAAGGAGGAUAUGUCCUACUUGCCUUUAUUGAUCUUGGAUUGGGGGAAAUAUUUAUGCGAAACCUUUGCCACUACGUCACCCCAAACAAUCAGACUUCCUUCAGGAAAAGAAUUUAGCCAAAGCUUUGCAUUUCCAAACAAUGAGAAGGGAAAAAGACUCAGACUGAUUGCUUCAUCUGGCACAUGUAAAUUUUUUACAGUGUUACAAAUCUCAUUAAAAGUUGUCAGAUGAUCGUAGGGAUUUUCAUGUGACAGUCCUUUAAACUGAUUACUUUGAACAAGGUGAAUUAGCGCUGACUUCAUUUCCAUAUGAGCAGCAUUCACCACAAGUCGGACUAUACUAUUGAAAGAUGAAGGUACAAACACAAAAGCAUAGUCCUCCAAAGUACGCCUAACUCUUGGUUGUUCAUCAUCAUGAUUUCCCCCCAUAUCCUUUUCCUCUUGAUCUGAAGAAGAAAGAGUGUUGGAAGUAGCAGACAAGCUAGCUUCACUAGGUCGACUAAAUCCUUAUAUAGUUUAUAAAAAUAACAUAAAACUGGCCCAGGCCCAUGCUGACAGCGCUCAGCGCCAAAAUGAUGCUCAGCGGUGGGUGUGAUACUCAGAAAUAACGCUCAACGUUGACGUCCAGACGAGAGACAGAGAACUCAUCAACAAGACUAGCGCUCAGCGAUGAAAAUGAUGUUCAGCGGUAGGUGCGACACGUGGAUUUGUCCCUCAGCGAUGACGCUCAAGCGUCAGGCAGUGAACUCUACAGCGAACUUGGCGUCAAUGGCAAAAUAGCACUCAGUGUUGACUGUGAUUCUUUUUUUUUUGCACUUUUCCUACUUCUUUUGUGUACUUUUGGCCGAUGAUAACAUUUUGAUUUCAAUUUGGGUAAAUGGAAUAUAAUUAACAACGUAAAAUUUAAGAUUGAAAAAUACGAUAAAAGAUCAUUGAAAUUGGUAUUUAAAUAACAUUGUAGUAAAAUCCUGGACAAAAUACGUUUUCUGUUCAAGUAAUCACACAACCGUAUCUUGCUAUGCAUAUGAAUAUUGGAUUAUUUCUUUCAAUAGUUUGAUAUAUAAUAUUGCUAUGCAAUAAUUGAUUAUUUAUUAAAUGUUAACGUUCAAAAUAAAUGUUUUAGGAUUUAUGCUAGAGUUGAUAUACCUAACUAAUAUAUAGUGUCAAUUUUGACCGACUUUAUAUUUUGACUGAUAAUUAUGUGUAUUCUUAUAUUGAUAUUAAUGUUGUUCUAAUUUUAGUUUUAGCAUUUCAAAAUUCUGUUUAGAGUAAUUUACCUCAUAUAUUGAGAUAAGAGAAUUAAUGCAUAUACGUGAAUUUGUGAUUGAGAAAGUUUUAGUGUCUAAGUGAAGUUUGUGCAUAUAUAUAUAUAUUACAAAGUAAAUGUUCAUAUGCACACAAACCUCAACGUUUUGAUCGACGACUAUAAAUUACAAAGUAAAUGUUCACAUGCACACACAAACCGACGACUAAUUAUAAGAUAAUUCCUCAUCGCAUGGGACGUGAUAAUAUACUAUUGCAUUGCAUAUGAACAUUGGAUUAUUUCUUUCAAUUUGAUAUAUAAUAUUGCAUAGCGAAGUUUCUGCCCAUUAUAUAUAUAUAUAUAUAUAUAUAUAUAUAUAUAUAUAUAUAUAUAUAUAUAUAUAUAUUCCAAGUAAAUGUGGGACACAAAAACCUAAGUCGACGAUUAAUUAUAAAAUAAUGUCUCAUAUAACCACGUAAAAAUAUGCCGUUGCAUUGCAGAUGCACAUUGGAUUAUUCUUUCAAUAGUUUGAUAUAUAAUAUUGUUAUGCAAUAAUUGAUUAUAUUAUUAAUUAAACUAAUAUCGUAGAAGCAAUGGAGCACAUUAUUAUUGAGUAUAGGUUUACCAAUUAGCUGUUUUAGGUUUAUUUAUGUCUGUAUUUUUCUGUAACUUUAUAUAUAACCAUUCAAAGUUGUUUCCAAUUGACUGUAAAACACUGUUAAUUUGAAAUAUAUAUAUAAAAUAUGAUGUGGUAGUAUGAAUAGAACAACAACUUAUGGUGUUUAUGUGAUGAGGGAAACAGCAAACGGUUUAAAUAACACAUUAAUGUAUUGGAAGCUGAGAUAACAGUGCAGAAUCCAACAAGCUCACAGCAUUUGUUUAUGCAAUGACAAAAGCACAUGCAAAAGUUACAUAACAUCUUCUUACGUCUUUCAAUUUAGUGGCUUUUAAGGUUACGUAUUACCCCUCCCUCUAACCUUAUCCCCAAAUGCAACAGUCUCAGAAAGAUUAAAAGCAUAAAAAAAUCUCACCACGUUUGCCGUUUAAUAUUACAAUGAUAAAGUUAGAUGAAUCCAACAGGAAGGACAUGCACCACCGAUAACAUUUACAAGGCUGGUUUGUUUUGACAUUAUAUAUAAAUAUGAUAUUUGUCAUGUGCGUUGCGUACAAAAAGUAUAUUCGAGGCAGUUUCCAAUACUAAGUAAAGAUUCUCAAUCCAACAGUAUAAAUAGGGGCCAUGGAGAGGAAUGUAAGCAUCCCUUAAUCAAAUCAUAUAUCUCUCUUGCACUCUUUAUAUCUACCGUAGUCCCUCUUCUUCUUCUGUUAAGAAAAAUGUCAAACCCUCCUUACAUCAAUGCUGCAAUUCGUUCAUCAAGAGAUCAUGAAGUGUAUUUCUUCGCCAAGAACAAGUAUGUGCGGUUGCAUUACACUCCCGGAACAUAUGAUGACAAGAUUUUAACUAAUCUCCGUUUGAUUAGUGGUGCUUUUCCAAAACUUGCAGGAACGCCAUUUGCAGACCCUGGAAUGGACUGUGCCUUUGACACUGAAGCGACUCUAGCAUACGUGUUCUCCGGCAACAAGUGUGCCUACAUAGACUAUGCUCCAGGUACAUAUAAUGACAAGAUACUCGCAGGUCCUACCACUAUUGCUCAAAUGUUUCCUGUCCUCAGAAACACGGUCUUUGCGGAUGGCAUAGACUCUGCCUUUAGAUCAACCAGAGGAAAAGAAGUUUACUUAUUCAAGGGCAAUAAGUAUGUUCGCAUAGCCUAUGAUUCCAAGCAGCUUGUUGGCAGCAUUCGCAACAUCGCUGAUGGCUUUCCUAUUCUGAAUGGUACCAUCUUUGAAAGUGGAAUCGAUGCGUGUUUUGCUACUCAUAAGAACUCUGAAGCAUACCUUUUCAAAGGAGACAAGUAUGUGCGUAUCAAAUUCAGCCCAGGUUCAUAUGAUGACACUCUUAUCGGUGAUGUCAGGCCUAUUCUUGAUGGUUGGCCCGUUCUUAGGGGCAUUUUGCCUGUCAGCUAAACAAGCCUUCACUCUCAUGCAUCAACCACCUAGCCUGGUUACAAUCAAUAAGGGUUUCAUUUCCAAUGUUUGUUUUCUUUCUCUUUAAUGAAACAUUAGGAUUGGAAGCAUGUUUCCUUUCCUAAUGUAACAAGUCUGAAUGUUUGUCUUUCCUUUUCGCAAUGUUUCUUUUCUAUUAUCAUGUAAUUUGUGCACUUAAAAAACUGGGUGGUUUAGUUUAAUUGAAUGCUUGUUAUAGAUUUUGUUCGAUGCAUAAAAUUAUUUUUCUUGACUUUAUAGAUAAUUCUUAUCAAAACGUAAUUUUAUGAAAGAUGUCUCUACACUUUAUGAAAGGUAUUUGUGAUAAAGUCAUCAAUUAUGAAAGAUAAACUCUCUUUCUCAAUAUAUAUGACCCAAUUUGCAUUCGAAUUUUCAACUUAAAAUAACUUAUUAAGCUUGAAUACCUAUUUUUUUAAGCUAGGUUAAAUAAAGAAAUAAAUUACGUAGAUCAUUUUAAAGUGAAUGUGAAUAGAAAAAAUAAGUGUGAUGAGAUCUAUAUUUCUUUUGUAUUGUAUUCAUGAUGUGUAACGGUUUGGAAUUUCUUUUAAGAUUAUGAUGCUAGUCUCUCUCCAUAUCCAGAAUGGACAAUGGUUUGGUCAUUCUGUUAAAUUUUUUGUGAGGCUCAUGAUGUUAGCUUUCUUACAUCCCUAAUAUAUAUGUUUGCAGAUAUGCCCACGAGAGAGUGAUCUGUGUGCUUAAUUUUUCUGUUUUAAGUUUUAUUUAUAUGUUUGCCUUAAGGAUAUAUUGUCCUGAUUUAAAAUAUACUUUCUCAUCAUUUGCCUUGUUGUAGGUUAGUCUAACAUUUUUUAGUAAUAUUUGUAGUACUAUUUGUUCCUCAUCAGUUUAUAUUUGACAGAAACACUAAUAAUAAGUUUGAUGUUUUCUACUCUGCUAAUUUAACAUUAGGCACACAAUUAUUCUACUGCAAUGCUACUGUUCACCAUUGUGUAAUAACUAAUCUUGAUUAAGAAUCAUAUUUACUUAUGUUCACCCUCUGCAUAAACAAAUAGAUGUACAAAAUAUGAAAAUCUUAAUUGGAAGAUAUGUUAUUUUGCAAAGACUUGUAUAAUUCUACUAAGGAUCAGGAUGUCAAACAGCAAUGGAUAGAUCAUCUAUUUACCACCAUCAUGUAUAAUGUGAGGCUCUAGCUUAUUAUAACUUGUGGAAAAGAUUAGGCAAGUUGUUUCUAAAUAUUCCUUGAAUAAAGCAUUUCUUAUUCCUAUGACUGACACAUAAAGUAUGGUUGAACACCACCCAAACUAAUCUCAUUAGUUUCACUUCCUAUUACUAAUCUAAAGAAUGAUCAAAUUUAACAGAAAAAACUUAGUUACACAAAAAUUUUUGAAGUAUAAAUCAAAUUGAAACAAAUAAAAAUAAAAGAUAAUUUUUUUUUUUAUAUAAAAAAUAUAAUUAAACCUUAGUUUAACAAAUCUUUACGUUUGAUUUACAUCACUUUAAAUUUAAUAAUUAUUUUAUAAUUUAAAGUAUAAUUUAUGUAAUUAACUUUAAUAGUCCCAUUUUUUAUCGACUGGCUUUAUAUUUUGAUUGAUAAUUAUGUGUAUGCUUAUAUUAAUGCUUUUGUAUACUUAUUUUCUAUUAAGUCUAGUAUAUCAACGUUUUUAAUAUCUGAUACCUAUUUCAUGUUAACAUGUAUAUUUGUUACAUAUAAAAAACGGAAAGAUGAUUAAGAUAAGAUCAUUUAACUUGUUUUGAAGUUUAACAUAUAAAAUAUCAAUAUACAAUCACUACUUCUCUCUAAGUUAUUUAUUUUAAGACUCAUUUUUUUUAAAAUUUUUUUACAAGUUUUCAAAAGUUUAUUGUAUUGAUUUUAUAUAUCUUUUUUAAGAGAGUUAUCAUUUAUCUUGAAAGAUUUUUAAAACACUUUGUUGUUUUAGAUUUAGAAAUGAAUUUAAACACUUGUAAAGUUUAACUAAGUGGAGUUAAACGUUCUAGACAACUAGUUUAGUGUUGAUACCAAAAAUAAUUAAACUUGUCUAACUGGUUUGGUUAAUUUGUAAACUAAGAGUGGUUAAAUUUUUUUUUUUAGUAGAGCUCUUUAAAGGUUUUUAAGAGAAAAAGUUGAAGUGAAUCAUUAUAAAAUCAAGUGUGUUUUAUUACUUUUGUGUUUAAACAAGUUUUUCAUUCAACACUUUCUUUAUAUGUGUUUAAUUCCUUCUGCAAACAAUAACUCCUACAAAGUAAUGUUAAUUCAUCUACCAUGACUUUCCUAUAUUUCAAAUAUUAAACACUAUUUAAACCCUUUUUAUAGUGUUUUAUUGUGUUUCAAAUAUAACUUCCUUAGUAUUAAUUGGUCUAUCAUGGUGGUUAUGCAUAGCAUGUCACAGUUACUUUACCCUUUAUACCGUAUAUAGUAUAUAUAUAUAUAUUACACUCCAAUGGCAUGUUGUUUUCAGUUAGACAAGUUUUGCUUUGUUUAUGAACUAACAUAUGGAAUAUAAUACAGACGUUUAUACGAUAUACACAUGUGAACUAUGAAAUUGUUAUAUUAUGUAAAUAAUAUUUAACGUAAUUACUCACCCCGUGUUUUACUCUUACUAAGCGUUUUGAUCGAUGACAAAUUAUAAAAUAAUACCUAAUGUGAAACGCAUGAGACGUGAAAAUAUACUAUUGCAUUGCAGAUAAACAUUGAAUUAUUUCUUUCAAAUAGUUUGAUAUAUAAUAUUGUUAUGCAAUAAUUGAUUAUAUAUUAUUAAUUAUACUAUCAUAUCGUAGAAGCAAUGCAGCACAUUAAUAUUGAGUAUAGCAGUUUUGGGUUUAUUUAUGCCUGUCUGUUCUAUAACUUUAUAUAUAACCAUUCAAAGUUGUUUCCAAUUGACUGUAAAACACGGCUAAUUUGAAAUAUAUAUAAAAAUAUGAUGUGGUAGUAUGAAUAGAACAACAACUUAUGGUGUUUAUGUGAUGAGGAAAACAGCAAACGGUUCAAAUAACACGGUAAACUAUUAUUAAUGUAUUGGAAGCUGAUAUAAGAGUUCAGAAGCUAAGAAGCUCAUAUCAUUUGUUUAUGUAAUGACAAAAGCACAUGCACAAUUUAGAUAACAUCUUCUUUACGUGUUCCAAUUUAGUGGCUUUUAAGGUUACGUGUUACCCCUCCCUUUAACCUUAUCCCCAAGUGCCAUUAAAAACACAUCAAAAAAUCUCAACACAUUUUCCAUUUAAUAUUACAAUAAUAAAGUUAGAUGAAGCCACAGAAAGGACAUGCAGCACCGAUAACAUUUACAAGGCUGGUUUGUUUUGACAUGAUAGGUGAUGUUUGUCACGUGCUUUGCGUACAAAUAAGUGUAUUCGUGGCAGUUUCCAAUACUGAGAAAAGAUUAUCACUCCAACAGUAUAAAUAGGUGCCAUGGAGAGGAAUGUAAGCAUCCUGAAAUCAAAUCAUAUCUCUCUCUUGCACUCUUGAUAUCUACCUUAGUCCCUCUUCUUGUGUUAAGAAAAAUGUCAAACCUUCCUUACAUCAAUGCUGCCUUUCGUUCAUCAAGAGAUUAUGAAGUGUAUUUCUUUGCCAAGAACAAGUAUGUGCGCUUGCAGUACACUCCCGGGAAAACAGAAGAUAAGAUUUUGACUAAUCUGCGUUUGAUUAGUAGUGGUUUUCCAUCACUUGCAGGAACGCCAUUUGCAGAACCUGGAAUAGACUCUGCCUUUCACACUGAAGCGAGUGAAGCAUACGUGUUCUCCGGCAACAACUGUGCCUACAUAGACUAUGCUCCAGGCACAACAAAUGACAAGAUACUCGCAGGUCCUACCACAAUUGCUGAAAUGUUUCCUGUCCUCAGAAACACGGUGUUUGCAGAUAGCAUAGACUCUGCAUUUAGAUCAACCAAAGGAAAAGAAGUUUACUUGUUCAAGGGUAAUAAGUAUGUUCGCAUAGACUAUGAUUCGAAGCAGCUUGUCGGCAGCAUUCGCAACAUCAGUGAUGGAUUUCCUGUUCUGAAUGGUACCGGCUUUGAAAGUGGAAUCGAUGCGAGUUUUGCUUCUCAUAAGGAGCCUGAAGCUUACCUUUUCAAAGGAGACAAAUAUGUGCGUAUCCAUUUCACUCCAGGUAAAACGGAUGACACUCUUGUCGGUGAUGUCCGGCCUAUCCUUGAUGGUUGGCCCGUUCUUAAAGGCAUUUUGCCUGUGAGCUAAACAAGCCUUCACUCUCAUGCAUCAACCACCUUAGCCUCGUCACAAUUAAUAAGGCUUUCAUUUCCAACGUUUGUUUGUUUUUCUUUAAUGUAACAUUAGGUUUGGAAGCAUGUUUCCUUUCCUGAUGUAACAAGUCUGAAUGUUUGUCUUUCCUUUCCUGUACCUGUAUGUUUCUUUCGUAUCGUCAUGUAAUCUGUGCACGUAAUAAAACUGGGUGGUUUAGUUCAAUAGAAUGAUUUUUAAUCCGUAAAAUUAUUUUUCAUGACUUUAUGGAUAAUUUUAAUCAAAACGUAAUUUUAGUAAAGAUCCUUUACAACAAGAAUCUCUCUAUGAUCACAAUCUAUAACAGCGCAUGAUCUUUAGAUGUCUAGAAAGUCAGAAUAAAUAAACUAGUUUUUGGAGGAACAAGCGAUAAUUUUUCAAGGACUACAUGUUAUAAAAGGUAUUUGUGAUAAAAUCAUCAAUUAUGAAAGAUAAACUCUCUUUCUCAAUGUGACACAGUUUGCAUUCCAAGUUUCAACUUAAAAUCACUUAUUAAAACACCUAUUCUACUUUCUUCGCAGGGUUAAAUAAGUAAAUAAAUUAAUGAAAUUUAUGAAUGUGAAUCUGAAUAAAAAAAAAAUGAAUGUGAAGAGACUUAUAUAAAAAAGUUAAAAAUGAAACACAACUAAGAAGCUCGGCAGUUCGGCUAAACCUACAAAAUAAAUGAACUUAGUCUAAAAAUAUAUCAAAUUAGGAAAUUGAUUAAGAGUUGCAUCAUUUAUCAUAAGUUUUAUUCAAGUAAAUAAAUGACUAGAAUUACUACAAUGAAAUUAUAAUAAUUAUUGCUCUUUUAUCAAACAAAUUUUAUAUUGGUGGAUGAAAUGUGAUAUGCUAUAAUUUAACCACUCUUCUCUUUUUUACUAAUUGCAUUUUUAUUUUUUAUUAAUUUACCGUUGCAAGCUUUAUUACAUAUAAAUUACGUGUUUUCAAUGUUGAGGUAGAAUGAGUAUUAUUUUAUAGUUUCUUAUUAUAAAUGAUGUUAGUUUGAAGAAUAUACGUAGGUACGUGAAUUUUAGAAAAUAAAAUUAUUAGAUUAGGAAUAAGAGUUUUAUUAGAUUACAAAUGGUCUGGUUCGAAAUCAAUCUUAAAAUGAAAAUAAUUCAUUAUCUUGAUUUAUUGGCGAAAAACAUUAAUAAAAAUAAUAUCUGAAAAGUUGUUUGACAGGUAGAAUUUAUGUGUGAUUUACGUAUACCUGUUAAUUUACUUGAAUUUUUUCACUUAUAUAUGUUUUAUUUUUAUUUAUUAAAUAGGGUUGUAUAAAUCUAUUAAGCUCAAAAUGGAUAUAUGGUUUCAAAGUCUAAAUUUAACAAUAAUAAGUGGACACCAAUUAAGAUAGAUUAAUUUUUUAUUUCAAUAUCAAUUGACGUUGUUCGUAUUAACUAUAAUGAUGUUUUCUAUUUUUGAAUUUUUAGUAUUCAAAACAAGAUAAGAACAACUAUUAUAGGUAUUACGUUAUUAUAUAGUAUGAAGGAGAGACAAUUCUAAUAGAAGUAAAUAAUCUUGAUUAUAUAUAUAAUUCAUUUGUAAUAUAGUUUUAAUUAAUUUUUUUUAUAAUAUUUUUCUAAUUGAAUAUAUCAAUAAAUAAUAUUUUCACAACCAAAUUAUUGGAUUUAUGAAUGAUUGAUGUUUUUAUUUCAUUAAUAUAUGCUUAUUAUAUAUUAGUAUAUAUAUUGCCUUAACUUUUAAGUUUUUACAAAUUUCAACAACUAAAAAAAUUAACAUAUUAAAGAUGGUGUUCUGUUAACUAUAACUUCCUACUUAUUUAGUUUUAUUCCUUUUUUUAUAAGGAAAUGUUUUUAUUUUAAUAGAAAAAUAAUAAUGAUAAUAGGAGUUUGAUUUUUUUUUAUUAUUGUCAACAAGUUAAAAACUAAAUUGGUAUAUUAAAAAUAUUAUACUGAAUUUUCUUUCUUAGUAUUUUCUACAAUAGUGAAUUAUUUAAUUAAUAUAAAAUUUAGUUUUUAAAUAAUUUUAAUUAUUAUUUCCAAUUUUAUUGAAUAAUUAUUCCCUAUAAAAUUAUGUUUCAAUUUUAGUUUACAUUCAUCUUAGUAAAUAUUAGUUGAAGAUAGUUUAGUCGUUUAUUUUAUUGCAUAACUAAUUUAACUUGUAACAUAUCAAUCAAAUUAACUUUUUCAAUAUUUCUCCAUUAUUUUUAUUAAGUUUAUUUUUUUUUCUUAAUUCAUAUAAUCUUAAUUUUCAAUUUCUUUCGCUCUCCCCUCCACCCCAGUUUAUUUAAACAUAUUAUUAGGGAAUAAGGGAUGAAAGAAAAAACAAAAGAGGAUUAAUUGUAUAGCCACAAAUUUUUUUAUAGUUGGAAAGAUGCCCUUAUAAAUGACAAAUAAGAAUAAGCAAUGUUAUAAAAAAUAAUUAAUUACACUUUGUAAUGUUUUUUAAAGGAUUAAACUUACUUUUAUAACCAUUAGUAUAUUUCCUUGGAUAGUAAAUACACAAAAAAAUUACGUUAUAAAAUUUUAAUUGUACAUUCCUAACAAAUUACCAUUUAACAUAAACCAACUUCGAAAUUAAAAGAAAAACCAAUUAAAGAGUAAUUUUGAAAGCAAUAAAGUGGUUUAAACAUUAAUAAAGAGAAAACGUAAACUUAGAUAUUUGAGAACAGGGGAAAGAAAAAUAUUAGUAAAAGAAAGAAACAAAAUAUAAAGUUAAAAUGAAAAAAUAUUAUUUUAAGCUUAAAUUCUCUUUUCUAGUAAUUUUUUUUAAUAGUAGUCCACGUCUUUAUCAUGUUUUUCCCAGUCUUCUAUAUUUUCUUCAAGUUAAUUCAUUUAGAACAUUUUUAUACGUGUAGGUUUGUUUCAAAUAGAUCUUUAUUUAAAUAUAUUUUAAAUGGUUUCAAUUAAGUUUCUUAUUGUGUAAAAUUGAACCAAUUUAAUCUUAAACGUUAAUUGGGUUAAAUAUGCUUUUAGUCUCUGAAGUUUCACUAAUUUUUGGUUUUAGUCCCUGUAUGAAACAUUGAUGGCAUUUCAUCAUCUUAGUAUGAAAACUCGUAUUUUUAGUCCCUAAUAACAGACGCCGUUAGUUUUUUUGUGAUGUGACUAACGGCACAGCCACGUAUUCUUCCACAUCCAUUGACUACGUUGGUGUUCUUUAGCAUUUGGAUUAACAGAAUUUAAUUUUGCACGUGUAGAUACUUUUUUCUGUCAUAUUAUUAAACAGUUCAAACUACAAAAUAAUAAUUUAUUACAAUGGGUCAAUUAGUCCAGCCCAAGCCCAAACAUCCAGGGGUUCCUCAGUUAGAAAAGAGUUAUUGUCGGUCACCGCGACUACAUGGCAGCCCGCACAGUACCUUCAUUGGCGCCACUCACGUUUCCGACAACAGCCACCAGAGAAUCGUGGAUCUCCCAAACGCGCAAUCAACAACAACUCUAAAUCGAAACUCCNAAAUCUNUAAUNGCAAAAUCAAAANNNGAACAAAACCCCAAUACCAAUUAAUGAAAACUCAAUUACAUCAGAAAUUCAUAAUUCCUCAAUCUCAACAAAACCCUAAUCUUUCAAUCGGAACCCUAAUCCCAAUUAAGGAAAACCAGACCUGCAGAGAAGAUCAAGACCAACCCCAAAUGUGAAACAACAACCCAAGAAUUUGGUGAGCACCCGAAACCCUAAAUCGCAAAAUGGAAGAGGAGGAGAAGAAGAAUACAGCCUUCGUCCAUGCGCCGCGAAAAGUCGCCACUGCAACCUAUGUCGUCACGAAGGAAACACCACGCCCUCAACGCUCCUCUACCACGCAAUCGCCUUCCCCUCACCGAUAUUGUCGCGCCAUAGUUGUCUUUCCCCCAAGGCUGGGUGGUUCGCAAGAAUGCAGAUGGAAAAGAAGCUCAAAGCUUCUGGUUAAGAUGCGAAGAAAAAGAACCCAUUUUCUGCUUAGGGUUCACUUUCACGAGAAAGAAAAGAAAACUUAGAAUAGUUUUCUCAUUGGGAGAAGAAAAGAAACAUCUGGUGCAGAUGCUUCAGAAACUAAAGUAUUAAUUAUGGCUUGAACCUAAUUAAAUUUUAUUAAUCCAAAUGCUAAAAAACACCAACGUGUCAAGCAAUGGUCAAUGGAUGUGGAAGAAUAGGUGGUUGUGCUGUUAGCCACAUCACAAAAAAACUAACAACGUCUGUUUUUAGGGACUAAAAAUACGAGUUUUCAUACUAAGAGGAUGAAAUGUCAUCAAUGUUUCAUGCAGGGACUAAAACCAAAAAUCAGUGAAACUUCAGGAACUAAAAACAUAUUUAACCCUCGUUAAUUUGGGAAGACGACGUUAAAAAAUAUUGUGCAUAACAGGGUGACAUUACCAACUUUUACUAAUGUGAUGUGCUGAGUUGGAUUUGUUUUAUUUACAUAUUAAAAAAAAAAAACUUCAAUGAAAUCAAAACACCAUAUUUCUUCUCCAAGCUAUAGUUAAUUCCCUUGGAAGAUUCAAAGAACCUUAAUCGCCGUCUUUUUUUCAAUUUUGGGUUCUCUUCCUUCAGAGCCAAACCCAGUUUUGAGUUCUUCUCCUUCUUUGUUCAUUCUUUCUCUCAAAUAAAACUCAAUCCUAUAAGGCUCUUCAUCUCACACGAGAAGCGGAUUAGGGAAGCACAAGUACCCACUUUCGUCUUCUCAUUUCUUUUUGUUCAGAAACUUCUCCUUCCCCCAAAUCCUUUUUGGCCUUGCUUCGUUUUGCAAGCUGGAGGUUCUGUUUUCUCUUAUCUUUUCCUUGGUUUCUGGCGUGGUGGUUGUAGGGAGGAAGGGCUCGAGUUCGUUGAAUCGGGCACGACAAAGGCGCAGUGAGGAUGUUCUCGUAGCAGUGGAAAAUGCGGAAGCCUCUUGGUUCAGAGAUCACGGUGGGUGGAGUGCAGACAGUGUCGUGGUGGCGGGCGAAGGCGGCAGCGACGUGUUGCGAGAGAUACUGGGGCGGGAGCGAAGUGCGUCGUGUUUCCAAUCUGGAAAUUUUUGGGGUUUUGGAAUUUGAAAACCUCAAGGAUUUUAUGUCUUGGAAUUUGAUUCCUAUAAUUGAGUUUGAAAGGAAGAAUUUUUGGUUUCUUGAUUGUCCCUUAAUUUGUUGUUUUUUUUUUUUGUCGUUUUGGGUUCCUUUGUUUCGCGAAUUUGGGUGUUUUACGGUGGUUGUUGGUGGCUGACAGGUGGCGUCAAUGGAGAUGGUGGUGGAUGUCGCCAUAGGAUCACUGGGCUGGUGAGGGCAGUAACACCUUGUCAAUGAAAUGUCUGAUUAUACGACAAAAGGAGUUAAAAAUAACAAGCUUCUUAUUCUAAAAAUAAAUUAAUAAAGAAACGGAAAUGGGAAACACCGUUGCGUUUUGAUUUCAUUCAAGUUUUUUAAAUAUGUAAAUAAAACAAAUCCAACACUGCACACCAAACUCUGCCACGUCAGUAAAAGUUGGUAAUGUCACCCUGCCACGCACAACAUUUUUUAAUGUCAUCCAUUCAAAUUAACGACGAUGACUAAAUUGUUUCAAUUUUACACAAUAAGAGACCUAAUUGAGACCAUUUAAAACACGAGGACCUAUUUGACACAAACCUGCACAAAUAAGAAUGUUGGGAAUUAUUUAACCUUUCUUCAACUAUAGAACUUUAUUGAGAAUCUUCAUUUUAACUUAGCCAAUUUUGUCUUGUACCUCCUUUAAGAUGUUCUUCAUGUAUUUCAAAAAGUUGAAAAAUCCUAUUUUUCUUUAUCACUUUGAUCAAUUUUCUAUUGACCACUUUUCACCGUUUUGUAUGAAAGGAGUAAAUAUUUUUAUUAGGCAAAAGGGUAUUUUAGUCAAUGGACAAACCAUAUGGGGUGCAAGAAGAAACUCUGAACAUAUGUUGGGUAAGCCCAAUAUUCACCCUUGACGGCAAUUUCUUUUAACACCUUCUUCGGCACCUCCAAAUAUAUGGGAAAUGUCUAAUUUGUCUAUAAAUCCGAAACAUUGCCUUCUUGAUUACAUAAUUAGAUAUUUCAAAAAUACAUUUUAUAUCAUAUAUUUUUUAAUAUUUUUUCAGAUUAGACAGUUUCAAAAUGUAUUUACAUAAUAAUUUAGAAAUCUAAAAUAUAUUUUCUAUUAAAAGAUAUAUUUAAGAAUGUUUUGGCAUAUUUUUGUGGACCAAAAUCGCCCUAGAAGAAGAUCUCUGCUGCUGUGCUGCAAUUGUUGUUUUACUCUCAAUGGAGCUAUCUUCACCUCCAUCUCUUCCAACAUCUCCUUCAUCCCUUCUUCUCAAAUCUAGGGUUAGGGUUUUCCACUCUGUACCCAACCUCACGCGUUCUCCUUUCCAAGCUUUAAUCUUUUCACCCAAUCAACGCAAUCUCACUCCAAUCAACCUUCCCAGAAACGUCUCUUCUGCUGUCGUGGUGGGAGACAAUGCUUCAGCUAUGACGACUUUGCCAAUUGAUUCAGGUCAAUGCAAAGCUCAUCAUCUUUUCUUCACUGCCUGAAAUUUUGGAUUUUCCAAUGCGUUUGAAUGAUUUUUUUAUCAUUUUCAGAUGCUAGAGUUGGAGAGGUUAAAAGGGUCACCAAGGAGACUAACGUAUCAGUCAAAAUAAACUUGGAUGGUUCCGGGGUUGCUGAUAGUAAUACUGGAAUUCCCUUCCUCGAUCACAUGCUUGAUGUCAGUAAUUUCAACUCAAUUUUUGUGCCUUUGUGUUGCUGAUGCCUUAUGUUUUUGUUUUUCACAUGUUCUUUUUGCUUCAUUUACUUUUUAUAUUCCAUUUUUACUGUCUGCCUUAAAAUAUAAUAUUAGAUUUCAAUAAUUGUUCAUAUAAGUGGAUAUAUCCGUGUAUGGUCCACAAAAUAAGUGUUGUGGGAGCUAAAGUAAUUAGUUAAAGAAUUAUUUAGUGAAUAUUCUCUAUAAACUUGAUAUUAGCUUAGUCAAAGACAACCCAAAUGAGAAUGCAUAUUGUUCUACCAAAUUUGUAGCUAUAAUAGAAUAAUGAGCAUGGCAAUGUGAAAUGAAAGAGGUGAAAACUUUGGUGUAUGUCAGAUGAACUUUGAACUUGUUUAUAAAAGAAUGUAUCUCCUUAGAAAGACUUGCAUUGUUAGAAUCUGGUCUUGUACCUUGAAGACUAAACAUUAAAGGCCUACUAAGGAUGUUGAAAUUAUUUAAUUGAGAUAAUAGUUAUGGAAACUAAACUUGAUUGUGAUUUUUCAGCAACUUGCUUCACACGGGCUGUUUGAUGUACACGUAAAAGCCACAGGUGAUAUACACAUUGAUGAUCAUCACACAAAUGAAGACGUUGCCCUUGCUAUUGGAACAGUAUGCAAACCAUUUCAUGAGCUGGUUCUUUCAUUCUUUUUGUUUUCUAUAAUAAAAAUUACAAAUUUUCCUUGAAACUAAAACGUGUAUCACUACCCUGCAUUAAAGAUUUGUGUGCAAGUUAUAUCUUUAUAUAAUUUUAUAUUUCACAUUUUCCUUUCUAUACAAUAUGGCAUUUAAGUAAUUACUGGUGAUUUCAACGUAAGUCUUUAUGGCAACAGGGAUUUGUAAUUACAUUAGUCUUAUUUUUUUUUUAAAAAAAAUGAAUUUAUAUAUCAUGUUAAAACUAAGAGUUGUCUAUUACUACGUAUUCAGGCUUUGCUGCAGGCUCUUGGUGAUAGGAAGGGUAUUAACCGGUUUGGCGACUUCUCUGCUCCACUUGAUGAAGCCCUGAUACAUGUUUCACUGGUAAUUUGGAUACUGUUUCUAGAAAUAGUGAUUAAUUGUUAGAUAAUAUUUUUUUUACAUUCUUACCAUUUGAAGUAAUCAAAUCUUUCUGAUAAAUUUCUAGAAUUUCAUUUUUUUUUUCUAUAUUCUCUAUCGAAAACAUAUUUUACCACAAAACAAUUCAAAUUGUCAAAAAAUGAAUUACCUUUUUAGAAUUCAUCAUCCAAAAAACAGGGUUAAAAUUUGUUUACUUCUCAGAUAUCGAAGCAUCACACUGCUGACUGAACUUAUGUUGAGGCUCAUUCAUUAUCAGCUCUAUAAGACUUGUACUCAAUGCUUCGGAGUUGAAAUUAGGAAGUUCUAGUGUCCAAUCACUUUUAUAAGCUUACUUUUCCGCUAUGAAUAAACUUGUUGUUUACUUAAUUACUUUAGGAUAUCUUUUACCUCAGAUUUCCCUAUGUCAAACAGUUAGUUAUAUUAGAGCAUCGCAUCAUAGUUAAUUAUAGUAGUAGAUGGAGGGACAGAUUUUUAGCUAGGUAGGAGAAGAAGGAAUUGUAAUACAAUAUUUUUACAAUUGGGUUACAAUUGGGUAAAUAGAACAGUAGAUAAGUUGUAAGGAGAAACUCUUGGAGGAUAAAUCUUUCACUUUUUGUUCAUUUUCUCUCAUUUCUUCUCUAUUCCCCCAUCAUGUGUUUCUUGCACACUUUUCCAGGAUUUGUCUGGUCGACCAUAUCUCGGUUAUAAUUUGGACAUACCCACUCAUAGGGUUGGAACAUACGAUACUCAGGUAGUGUAACCUGUUAAGUUACUUCAUUGAAGUUUGGAAUUUUAUUAUUGAGCUUCUGAUGUUUCCAUAGUUUUUUUAAAUGAAUCAUUCAUCAUACUUCUUGUUCCUUUUUUCUUUCCCCGUUUAUUCUUAUUAUUUACUAAUGAAUCCACUGGGUAUCCCUAUUUAUAGUUGGUGGAGCAUUUCUUCCAAUCAUUGGUGAACACGUCUGGUAUGACACUUCACAUUCGACAGGUAUUAAUACAUAGGUUAUAAUCAAUUAUAGUCAUAAAUUAGCAAAUAUAUAUGUACAUAUAUCACUAUGAAAGAAAUAUACUAAAUGUUAUUGAUGUUUUACCAGGGCUCUUGGAUGUUUCUAGUUGAUGCUUUUCUAUUCCUAUUGUGAAAACCUUGUAACAGAAUGAACAUAUAUAUGCAUUCCUCUUACACAGCUUGCUGGAAAAAAUUCCCAUCAUAUUAUCGAGGCAACCUUUAAAGCUUUUGCUAGGGCUCUUCGACAAGCAACAGAGUAUGAUCCACGUCGCCGUGGAACCGUACCAAGGUAUGUAUAUUACCACUGACAGCCUUUAUUUUUAUUUUCUUUUGGCUACUCCUUUUUGUUCUUAGUCUCUUGAUGUUUUACAGUUUCUAAGUCUCAUUACUUAAAUGCACUAUCUGCCAUAUUUUCCUGUGUUGUAGGAUGGAUUAAUAACUAAAGUUACAGAUAUUAAGCCAAAUGCUUUUUUAGCAUUUUUGCAAUAAAAUUUAGGAUUAGAGUAAGUGUAUUGUUGGCUGCUAGUUUGAAAACCUUUUAUAUUUUUGACAUUUUUUUCAUAAGAAAUUAUAUACUAAUCAAUUUUGUUUGUUUAUAUGCAUGUUUUGCAUUUCAUUUACUAUGUGUGUAUGAAAACUAUGGGAAUUUCCUUGAAUGUUGUUGUCAUGUAUCCAUCAUUUUCUUUGUGCAGUUCGAAAGGAGUUCUGUCUCGUAGCUAAUAUCGUCUUCUGUUGGUGGAACUUGAUGUUUCUUUUGGUACAAGACCGGCCACUGUAGACAAUAUUGUAUGUAUAUUCAUUUUAGAAAUAAAAAUAAUUUUGAAGUGUAUUUCGCUGUACAUUUUUAAAUAAUAUUUUUACAUAAUUUUUAAUCUCUAAUCAAUACUGUGUAGAGAUGACACAAAUAUUCGUGUUUACUAGUUGAUGUAUCGUUUCAUUAAAUUGAUGUAUUCCAAAAUUAGAGAGAGAGAGAGAGAGAGAGAGAGAGAGAAAAUAGACCAAAAAAGUUGAGAAAAAAAUAUCAUAUCAUAAAGUUUAAUAUAAAUUUAUUUAAAUUCUUCAUAACUUUACCAACUCUAAUAGGUUUUUUCAAUGCUAAUUAUUGUCCUCAAACAUAGCUCAGAUAUUGCGCAUCACAUUUUUAGACAAACCAAUAUAUCUUUCAUCUACAAGUCAAAACACUAGUGAGAAAUCAAACUCUCAUCACAUGUUUAAAAGAUAAUGGAUCUAUCAACUUUGAAGGUAAGCUAUACUUGAAUACUUCAAAAAGAUAUAUAUAUAUAUUAUAUAUAUAUAUAUAUAUAUAUAUAUAUAAAUAUAUAUAUAUAUAUAUAUAUAUAUAUAUAUAUAUAUAUAUAUAUAUAUUUGUGCCCUCUUCAUUAUUUAAGAAAAAUAUUACUUAAGAAAAAUUAAUCGUUUUAAAAGAGAUGUCACUAUGUUAUUUUAACGAGUAUUCUACACCAUAAAUACUAUCAUUUGUUUUUAAUUUAAUUUUUUCAUAAAUAUUAUUACUAUAAAUAAUAUAUUUAUUUCUAUAUUGCUAACUCCAUUGUGUAUCAUGUUCUAGCCUUUCUAUGUACAUCAGCAGAUGGGCAAUUUUUUUUUUUUUUUUUUCUGUUUAAGAAAUUCAAACUAAAAAUGUGGUGCAUAAGAUGUCUUUUUUCUUUGGCUACAGAAGCAUAAAUAUUAUGUGUCACUAAAGACAUCAUCAUUGAGAAGGUUCUCUGGAUUCUAGGUGGAAUCAAUCAAGUUGCAGAAAGCAUAAUUUAUUGAACAGAACUCAUUUGAGUGGGGAACUUUGAAUUUUUUUUUUUAAUGUUUUUAAGACUAAUAAGCAAAUGCCAUGCCUUGUUCAAUCUUUUGAGUGGAAUUUGUAUGAAAUAGAAUAAAAUAGUGACAGAGACAUUACCAUUUCGCCAAACCAAAAUGGCCAAAAACACGUCAUAGUAAUUAAUAAAAUAAAAGGAGGGUGUUAAAGAAUAGUAAGAAAGUGUACCAUAAAGAUCUUUGGCCAAUUCUUAUUUGUUGAAUUAUUAAAAUAUAACCUUUUCUGAACCUAACUCCAACUUCUGCUACAUACAUCAUUUCUAAGCAUUAACUAACCAGGAAAUAUAAAUAUUUUCUUAACUGUGUAAUAUGUGAUCUAAAACAAUCCAUGAAUUUGAAAGCUAUUCAACCAUGUCAGAUUGGCUUAUGUCAUGAAAACUAUCAGCAAACUUGAAAUUAAAAUACACAUUGAUGUAAAGUAUGUGAUACACUAAGCCCCCACUAAAGGAUUAGUGUUGACAGAUUAAAGUAAAGCAUUUUUACUUAAAAGUAAGAAUACUAAAUAUAUUUCUCAACACAUUCCGCCAAAUUUUGAAAUUUCUAAUAAAUAUCAAUCAAUAAAUGAAAAGACAUUCAAAAUAAUAUAUUGGAGGAUAUGCAUAUACUCUCCACUUCCUUUUGGUGGUGCAAUCGUGAUAAAAGUUUGUCAGAAACAUGACUUUCCUCUAUUAGGAACUAUCUUUUCUUGUCAUGAAUUUUCCAUAACUCAGCUUUUUUCGCUCUGUGGAUCAUCCUACAAGUUUAUAUAGUAUCUAUCACUGUUUUAAACUAUUCGGUUAUGAAAUUUUGAUAAACUAUGAACUCUGUACCAAGUGCUGCAUCAUUUAAAAUAGUAUCUUCCAUGAUUGAAAAUAUAAGCGGUUAUUUCUAUGAAUGGAAUCUUCUAACUCAAUAGUGUGCAUCAAUCUAUCUGUAAGCAUGUCACUCGCAAGAGAUAACUUCCAAUAUUCUAUGUACCGUAAUUGUCAAGUAAAUAGUUAGUGAAAGUUUGUAUUUUGUUACGGUGACAGAAGGUUAAUAUGUGAAAGAAACAACACAAAAAAAAAAAAAAAAAGUAUGGCCCUGUGACCAACAUCUAAAAUAACUACGAUACAACAAUCAGUUUGUAACGCAAAUUUAACCAUGUACAGAAAAUAUUGCCAAAAACCAUGACAUCACCAUCUCCAAGGCUAACAGCAUUUAAAACAUUUGGCACGAAAUGAUAAUUUUCAUCAUGUCUGGUUUGAAAAACAAAUCUUUAUCAGAUGGUCUGCAGCUACAAACUUGAUGUAUACUAAACUGCAUUUUCCUCAAAUCCACAUUGCUCAGUUAAGCAUCAGCUGGGUAAACCAGAAAUUUAAAAACUGUUUGCACAUUUAACAGCAGGAAGUAGGAUGGCAUAACCGAGCAGAUCAAUUAAUCCGUUCUUCCACAAUCAUGCAAAGACAAUCCGUUAUAUUAUGUUUCAUCGUAUAACCAAGAGUUACCGUUCGCUUAGAAAUGCUCAUUUUGUGAAUCUUGCUCUGUAUAGACUCUGAGCAACAUACUCCACUGUCACCAUUCUGCCAUCAAACAGUCGUCCAUGCAAAGAAUGUGCUGCUGAACAACAUGCUUCGGCUCUUCUAUACUCAACAAGAACAGAACCCGGUUCAAAUACACGAUCAUUAUCAUCUUCCGUAUCAGUUACCUUUUCGGGACCAACUAAUUCUGAACGAGUAUCACGUUCAGAAAAGCCUUCCUGAACUGCAGAAACCGUGCCUUUUGAAUCCGUGUUUUCACCCACAAUCUUAUUUUCAAUAUCCACAUCUGUAUCGUUAGUAACCAUUUCAUCAUCCAAUUUGGGCACGUCAUCGGAUGUAUCCUGUUGAUCACAUUCUUGAAUGAUACUAGAAGGUAUGCUCUUACCGCCGACUUUUUCGACUGCAGUAUCACUCACAAGGUGUUCUUGACAUGAUUUAUCGUCAAAAACUUCAAUAUUUUUAUCAGUAUUAACACUGGUACCAUCAUCAACUUUAUAUUCUUCCAAUUCUUUCGCAUCAUCAAAUUUAACCCAAUUUGUUUCUUCAGAUUUGGGGUCAGUAGCCCUGUCUGAAAAACUAGAUUUUGUACUAAUAGAGUUGGUGUCUAGAAAAACUUUAGAUUCCACUUCAUUUAUGACUUCACAUUCUUCUAAUUUGGUUGCUAAAUUCUUUUCACUGCUAUGCCUGACUACAUUAAUUGAUUUAAUAGUCCCAAAUCUGCAAGAUAAAAGGGAUUUCGUACAAUAAGUGUUUAUACUUUAUAAACUUUUAAAAUAAGAAUAAUUCCACAUGAAAAGCAAAUACAGGGUUAUGACCUUGCACAUUCAUAUCGUACAUCAUCUAAAAUUUCUUCAAUUGUCAUGUCAGAUAGAGAGGAAAUAGACUCCGCUGCGAACUAUACAUGUAACACAAACACAAACAAAAAGUAAUCAUAAAGAUGUGUAAUGUAACUAGAAAUAUAAUUAAAAGGAGAAACAUAUAUUUGAUCCAAAGCGGACCCUAACAAAGAUUUGUACUAAGUCCAGAGCUCCCUUUCAUAUCAAAAAAGAUUGGUGGGAAACGGAUCAGCCACGGUUUGGUGAAUUGCUCUCUCAACUUGGCUUUGAAUCAAGAUGAUUUAGAUUCAGAUAUGAAAAGUAAGAGCUUUAUUACACACAGAGCCUUCUGUCUCCUACCCAGUCUUGUAACACAAUUCCAAAACGGACCCUCAACCCCUCUUCUCUGUUACUUAUUUCCCCCCAUUCAAUUAUUAUUACCUUAACUGACUAAUCAUCAAUUCUGUAAGAACUUUGGUAACAGUAACAACUGUUCCCUAGUAUAAACCCCUUGCUGCGCGCCCCCCUCCCUUCCUUCUAACAUAGACCUUCUGGAUCGAUGACCAAACAAAAACAUUACAUAGUGCAGUUUAAAUUUUAAUACUACAAGCAUUUUAAAAAUUAAAUCCACACCAUUCAAAAAAAUAGGAAUGGAAAAAACCCCACUGAAAUUGAAUGAAAAUAUAAUAACUUCAUAAAAGCUAAAUAAAGGAUUUUGUACCACAUUUUUUAUCUCUAGUACUGGUGUAGGCUUUCUGAGCAGUGGUUUUGCAUGCUCCGGAAUCCCAUAAGACGGUUCGCCAGCAUUUUCCUGGAGUAUUUUUAUUUCAUUUAAAAAUGUGGUUCUACUUCAAAGAAACCAAGGAAUCGUACCCAAUAAUUAGAGUGAGACUAUAGGGACCACUAGAUGAUGAGGUUACCAAAGGUGAUGAUGCAUCAGGCAUUGCCUGAACAACUGUAAGUACUUCCCCUCCCAGCUUCAUACCAUUCAUACCAGCACAAGCUUUGACGGAAACAGAGUGAUCCGAAUACUGAACACAGUUUGAUCAAAUCAAUGUUCAAUAGAACAUAUGCAAAAGGAAAGAGAACUAAAGUAUAUAACAGUACACAUUAGCUUUCAGAUUUUGCUUCAUCUUAGAAAUGAAAAAGAUACUGAAAAGAAGAAAAAAGUGACAGCUUUCGCAUCAUAGAUAAGAGAGAGCCAUAUACGCCCAAAAUCAUAAAAACCAAAUCAAAUAACAACCCAAUCGAGUUUAAUUUUUCGCUUAAAUUUGGCUCUUCUAAACUGAGGAUGCACUUUAAAGGAAUAAGUUAAAAGCUAUUAUUAAACUCUUCGAACUUCAUUUUGAGUAAAAGUUAUAACUAAAGCACAUUGUGCACUAUAGUCAAAAGCCCUAGAACCACAUAAUGGGUUUUUAUCUGCCAAAAGCCAUAAACAGAAUGGCUCAGUCAGUACUCUUUCCAGGAUGUGGGAAAGAAGCUGCAUGUAUAAAAUUGUGCGCACCUAUAAUAAAUCAAAUCAACCCAAAACCAGCAGUUUAAUUAGGUUAGUUUUGAUGAUUUAAUUUGUCUGAAUUACUAUGAAAAUCCAAAUAUUGAUUUGAGGUUUUCAAAACCGUUUAAUAGGCUCAGAAAAGGGAUGCCGCAAUUAUCUUCUUAAAAUGACGGUGAAACUUCACAAUAGAAGCUUCAAAAGGGAGAGAAAUAGCUGUAUCAGUGGUUGAAGUCUCUUUUCCAUGGAGACAUCCCACCCUGCAGGGGAUAAAGUAUUUCUUCGUUUCUUCACACUUGGGUUGAGACUAAAUUUGUAAAUAUGUUGAUGAAAGUACACAACAGAAAGAGGAUUUUAGAAAAUAAAAUAUAAAUAGACAAAGUUGAGAAAAGAAAUAUUACAAAUGAAAAAUCCAAAUACCUAUCACAAUUCGUCAUUCUAAUUUCUAACAGAUAAGUAUGUACAAACGGACCCUUGAGCCACUUGGGCUUCGCUCAGGUCAUUGUCUGGCAGUAAGUGUAAAUUCUAAUAUUUCCAUUGUACAGAAGGUAAAAAUUAUUAAAAGAUCAAUACGGAAGAAAUGCGGCAUUACCUCCAGAAAAGCACAUGAUGCAUUGUUGGCGUUGGUUUCAAAGUGGUAAGCCUUCAAAGAUCCAAACGCACUAGCAAUCUCCAUAAGCUGAAAAGAAAUUAAACAAUUAAAUAGGCCUUAGUCAUCACACGAAAGAUAAAGUAAGGACAUUUAGUUAUUAGAUGGAGUUCCAAAAAACUCAGGUCGCCAAGUUAAAUUUUGAAAACGAAUUUUUCGUUUCAUUUCUUAAUUAUUACCAUCUCAGAAGAAAGAAGGUUUGAAAUUCCACCAAUGAAGAUCUGCCACAACAUAAAGAAUGCAAUCAUUAGACAAACAAUUAAUUGAGCUAUAAAGUAGAAAAAAGGAAAGCACACAUAUAGUUGAAUUAGAGUACCAGAGUCGAAAAAUUAAAAACUUGGAUGGGACAAUGUGAGCCAUUAAAAGAGUCAAAACCAGAAUACACUUAAAGCUAUUAAGUCAGGAAAAAAUAACUGAGCAGACAACAUAACAGGCGAAGAAGAUCCUUCAAAUAAACAAACCAGUUCGCAACAAAUAGUACCAAGUUAUUUUGUCGACAUAACAGUUACAAGUUUGAUGAAGGCACUAGUUACACAAGUUAGACCAAAAGGGAAACUAGAUAUAAAUAAGCUCAUUAACACUAAAAUGUAAGAACAAAUUAACUUAUACUAAAAUAGUUAGAUUAAGAUGAAUUAUAUAGGGUGCUAAGCAACAAAUAGCAUCCAGAUUGACACUUACACAUGAAAGUAAAAAUUAUUGUUUUACAUGCAUACCUUGUGAGGUGAAUCAAUUACAACAUCACUUAUUGUGACGCUAGCAUCCAUUGAUCUCUCUGGUUCACCAGUCUGCAUGAAAAUAGCAAUUGUCUGAAAACCUGCUACAUGGAUGAUAACCACAAUAUACCUUAGAAUGGUAAGGCUAACACAAAGGCAUUAGUUUGUAAUAAUAUCUUGAGUGAUAGAGAAAAACAAAAUUAAGAUCAGUUGACAUUAACCAUACUUUAAAGAUGAAUGUAAGCAACAUAAUUAACGUGACAAAAAAUAUAAAAACAUAAAAGAUCAUCCACCUACACAAGAUACUGCUCAGACCUUCUCAGAUCAGAAAUUAGCCAAAUAAAUUAGUACCUGACACCUAUGCAACCCAAAAUAUUGUACAUUUAAUUUAUAUUGUUCGUUAGAGAAGUUGUUCCACAUACACGUACAAUAAAUAUACAAUGCAACACAUAAAAUGAUUCUUCUUUCAGAGGUUAGAAUCCUCAUAAGAGGAACCCAGAGAUCAAAAGAUGUCAAAUAACAAGAUAUUUCUUUUGUUUUUCCAGGUGAUUGAGGUAAAAACAAGCUAAUAAAAUUCAAGAUGAUUUUUCCUUACAAAUACUGCCUUAAAAGGUACCAAUUAAUCAGCAUUUCCACAUUUCAGAUCAUUCAUACCACCCAUAGUAACUUCACAUAGCACACCAAGAAGAAAAGAACAUGUUCCAACACUUGAAUAGUUUAUUCUUUUAAUGCAGUUCAAAAGCAAAGACCACCUUCACACAAAGGGUCAUCUAUGAAAGAAAUUAAGACAAAAUUGAGACCUCAAUCUACCAGAACCAAAACAUUAUCAUUUUUUGUCAUGCAUGUAUGUGGCAUGGGGAAAUACCCUGCAAAACAGCAUACUUGAUUUGCCAUAAAAUCAAAUGAUCUUGGGAUCAUAACAAAAUUAACAGAAUUACCAUCAAAGCACCCUCCAGCAAUGAAGUUACACAAGUAUAUUCAACCUCCAAAAGGAUGCCAUGUAAGGAUGGAAUACCAGAGGACUGCUUAAAAGUUAGAACAUUUUUCAUUCCUUUAAGCUUAAGUAAUAGAGACAUAGCAUUGAUGUAUUAAAAUUGACUACAGUGAGAAAAGAACCAUUUAGAUUAAUAUGUAGACACUCCAAAUCAAUGCUUUAAGCGAUAUAUGUGCUGUGUCAAAUGAUAAAAACUGAUGCACAUAAAAUAUUAUGUGAAAGUUGAGAAGAUACGGAGUAAAGAAUGGUCAAUCCACCUCAUCUAAAUCAAUCAAGGAUGAUGUUUUUAGAAAGCAACAUAAACCAAAUUUUCAAGCCUUGGGAUAUUCAAUAUGAUGAUAAAUCAGGAUCCACGGAAAAGAACAAAACAGGCCCUGGAACCGCGAGUGACAUAAGAAAGUCGGAAAUAACUUGCAACCCAUAGCACUUACAUGCUGAACUCGAUAGAACAAACAAAGCAUGAGAUCAUAAAUAGCAUUGUCAGGGCAGCCUAGAACAAUAACCCUGAAACAUUGGCCAGCUAAAUCCUGGUAACGCAUCAAACUUGCCAAUACACCUGGAAGUCUUCUUAAUUAGGAGUCAGCUUCAUCACCAUCCAGAAUGUGUAUUACGAAAUACCCCAUAUAAACAUCCUAUUUAAAAGAUUCCAAUACUAGGGUCAGAAGAUAUCUCAUAAAAUGGAACAAGCAGAUCACUCCAUGUGAAUUAUAAAGCUCUUGAAGCUACAGAAGCAGUUUCUAGCAUUUGGUUAUGAACAAUAUGAAUUUAUUGUCCAAAUGUCCAAGAAACCUAUCACUAAAAAUGUCAUGAAACACAAUACUAGAUUAAUAAAGUACACCCUCCCAGCAUUACCCAGAGGACUGGAAUCGUGUUUCAGGCAAAGUUGAGAUUUAAGCCUUCAAGGCUGAGGACAAGACAGCCUCUAAAAGUUAGCACCUACUGACACAAGAUUCUUCAGCGACAACAAAAUUAAACUAGGAGGUUCUUUUCUAAUGAUUAUAAUUUUUAUCAUUUUUUUAUAUAUGAAAAAAUUAGGAUCUAGUACUCGUUAUAUUUCACACACAAAAGAAAAUUAAUUUGCAACCAAUACAAUAUUGCCCACCUCUAAUCAGAAUAAUAUUCUUGAAUUCCUGGCAAGCACUGGAUAUGUCCUUCAACUUUAAGCACCUUUUUAUCAUCUGCUAUGAAAAUUAGGAAAAUUGGGUGUACAAGAUUUUGUGCCAUGGUGCUGUUUAUGCAGUCAUUAGGAGCAUUAGGUUGGAGUAGAAUUCUCCAAUUACUGAGAAUUUUUUUUCUCAAAACUUGCCUGGAAUUGGAUUAGGUAUCUUUGGUAUUCAGCACACAGCUAUUCCAAGGAAAUUGAUCUUUCUAGCAUAGAGAUCGAUUGGGUAGAUUUACUAGUUUAUUUAUAAGUUUUUUCUAUCACAAUUAAUUCUCCCCCUAAACUAUUUAUCCUGCUACAGAAUAGACGUACUAAACAAACAUUACCUCCAAAAAUAAUAUAGCUUGAGAUGGGAUAUAUGGAACAAUGGCUUAGCUAAGAGAAAGAAUGUAACAAAAUUCAUCUUUAGAAAGGCAAGCCAAUUUGACAUAUUUUGCAGGAUAGAUAAACUAAAACGUAAAAUUCUCAUGUUUUAGUUUAUCUUAAAAGAUCUUCAUAUCCAAGACACAAGCAAAAUCAAACAGCUGAAAGGAAAAACUAUUUGGGUCCACAUUUUAAGCUAAAGAAAAUAGAAAUAACUUAAUAGCUCAAAUUAGUUGCAUUUCCAUAACAGAAUCCUGAGAAAACAUACAUUAUAAUGAUUGAGUCGUUACUUUUAGAUAUACAUACAAAACAUCCAACAUAAAUUUAGAGCACAUAAACGAUAAGAUGCAAUGAAAGUUUAUACAUGCCCAGCCCAGGUAUCUGUUGCUUUGUGGACAGAAACUAGAAUAUAAAAACAGGACUGUCUGACCAGCCUAACAGUAUUUCAAUUAGAAAAUAUUAAAAAGUUCAGUAACUAUGUGCAUAUUAAACGAGUGGACAGCCUUAGGAGAUGGCCAAUAACUUGAACCAUCACUACAUUCAGUUAUGAUAGGAAAGUCAAUAGUGGGAAUAAAAACUAUGUUACCUAGGAAUUAAUUUGUAGUUGAAAGUGGAAAAGAUCAAUUACAUAUUACACGUAGCACAUAAUCUUCAUCAAGGAGAUACAUCUAGACCUUUCUAAACAAGAAAAGUUUACAUAAUCUCAAAUCAUAAAAGUAAAUCCUUCUCUAAGAAAACCAAACCAUUAAUCUGGGUCCAUUAAACUACUUCUGGGAACCAAUGAUGAAAACUGCCUAUCAAAUUCUAAAGCCUGCAUAGGUCUCUGUCAGUAUGACAACAUACAAUCCAAUGAUUCAUUGAUUAUAACAACCUAUAACAUAAAAUAUCUAAUAGACCCUUCGGUGCUAGGGCAUAUAUGAAACAGUUCCUAAGGGAUGGGAAGUAGAGAAUCAGCUUAUAUGGAGAGAGGAAGACAGAGUAGUGAAUAUUCAAUUGUAGCAUAACAGGAUGCUUAUCUAGCAGUGACAGCGACAAAUGAGUAGGGAAGAGGGAUUUUGUUUGGAGGGAUGAAAUAAAUGAGAGCAGACACAGGAAGCAGUUAGACAAGAAAUUUUGUAAUAGUUUAGGUAGAGAUGUAGGCAAACCCUCAAAAAAUCAGUAUAUGCUUCUAUAUUUUCUUUCUUUAGUGUUACCAGGUCAGUUUUCCCUAUUAUAAGGAGCUACACUCCAUUGUUUCUCAUAAAACAUCAGGUCCUAUCAAUAUCAAUUUCUGGAGUGGGUUCUUCACAGUUUGAAAUAGAAAGGCAGAGCCUUUGCAAGAAAUUGAUGCUGCAAAUCUGGUUCCUCUGAAGAUUAAUUGAGUGAAAAAUGCAGUUUGGUAAUAAUUGGAAAUUUACAAAAUUGAUUACCAUGAAAUUACAGAAAACACAAUCAAAUAUUUAUAUUUCAUUCAUAAAUGCACAUACAAUAGGAACCAUACACCUAGGUUUUAAUUUUCCGUCAUCCUACAGACAAACUACCAGCAUACCAGGUGUCUACAAAAGCAAGUCAAAUUAAUGUAACAUUAAUUUGAAAUAUGGGAAAGAGAUAGUGCUGCAUAUAUUUCAUUUCCCUUCUAUAGGCAAUAGCUUCUUAAUAUUAAAAACAACCAUAUAUUAUUCAGAAAAUUCCACAAGUUCAUUCGUUAAAGGAUAAAUUGUCCAAAUACACCCAAAAUUGAUCAUAUCAUAAAAUUCAAUAAACCUAUAGAUAUAAACAAAAAGUAUGGAAGAAUGCACAAGCAUAAUAAUUGAAUCUUUUCAAAUUGAAACAGCACUAUCAUCACAACAGCAAUAAGCAAACCAAAAUCAAAGGAAAAAGAUACUACUAGAUUAAAAGCAGGUACAGGUAAGCAAAGUAAGUGGUGGUAAGACAAAUUCCAUGGUUUGAUCCAAUAGUUAUCUAUAAAUGGUUGCAUAAUUUUUUUUUAGUAAAUUAAGAACAUUUUGGUAGAGUAAACAUUGAAAUCUAAUAUCUACAAUCUAAAAUGAAGUAUAAUAAAAAAAUUCAAUCCAAGAGAAAAAAAAAAUAUCAAACACAUCAAUAGCUAUUAUAUUAACAGUCUUAGUUCUAUUAUACAAAUAAAAGAAUGGAUGAGUGGAUAAGGUUUUCAAUCUUACUGCAACUUCAACAUAGUCUUUGGGUCGUCUAAUUUUCAAAAUGGAGCCAAAUAGUGUACUGCCAUCGAAAGAAAGGGCAGAUGAUGCAUCCUCAGCUGUAAGGAAUUCUACAAGAGCUUGGCCCCUAUCUUUAUGCAACUGCACAAAAGAAAUACAUGAACAAAUUCAAACGCAUUUUUUCAUAAGAAAAGGGAAAGCUAAAUUUUCAUAUUUUACACUACAGACUCACAACGCAGCUGAUGCACGGUUGAGCUUGCUGGAUAUGAUUUACCCGACCAGAGAGUAAGAGGUUAUUGAAGCAAUCCAUCACAGCUUUCUCAGAGGCAGAAGCAGGUAGAUUCUCAAGAUAAAGCCUUCUAAUAGGCCGGGUAGCUUGUGUCAAUUGGACAGAAUCAAUAUUGGAAUUUUUCCCAGUUGAUACAUCAUUUAGAAAAGAUAUUGGUCGUCGCUGCACAAGGGCUAGAUCAAGAGAAUUGGUUGACACCACUCCAUGCAUGUUGGACAACACAGCACCAUUUGAUAAUAGAAAACUUGAAGAAACAACAGUGGGAGAAGGAUUAUUUGCUCCUACAGGGGGUAGAUCCCAUCCAGCACGUUUCUUCUCAAGAGAGUGCUUAGAUGGGGAAGGAGUCUUAACAGCAGCUUCACUUUUCCUCUUCCUCGGAGAAUAGCCACCCAGUCUACUUGUAGAGCCACCAUGACGACGAUGGUGACUACUUGAACCAUUAGUUGAUACUCUACUUUUAUCAAUAUCAGGAUGCUUUUUUCUAGAACUAUCUUUCAAAGAAUGCAUAGAGGACUCUUUACGCUCUCCAUCUUGAUAAGUACGUUUUUGCUCCCUUGGUGGAAAAGAAGGUGGCCUAUCCUCACGCUCUCGACUUCUUGAACGUCUCCUCUUUGCUGUUAAUUCUUCAUAAUGUGACUUGACCUUAGCCCGCCUCUCCUUCCUUUCAUAACUGUGCAUGCUAUGAUGUUUCACAGUAUCAUGUUUCUUGGGUGUACUCAUGUCUUGAGUUUCAUCAUCUCCAUUUUGGUAUUUUCUCUUGGUUUCCCUUGCAUAUUUUGCCCUACCACCUGCAUGCUUAUCCUUAUCUGAUUCUCUAUAAUGCUUCUUUUCAGGCACUUCUUCAGAGUUAUUGCUUAACCACCUUUUCAAUCUCCAGCUAUUAUCUCUAUCACUAUCAUGCCUCUUUUCGAUAACAUACUCAUUAGGAUUCUCAUCCUCUUUAACAUGGUUUUUUUUCUUUAUUUUCCUUUCAGGUUUUGGUCUAUUUGCUUCCACAUAACUAUCCCUAUCUCUUGAAUGCUUAUUUCCAGCUUUAUACUCAGAACUUUCAUGAAUUUGCUCAUUUUUUCUAUGACCAAACAUCUCUUUCUCAGUCUUUUCUUUGGUUAUCUUGCCUUUAUUAUAUAAUCCAGCACUUGAUUUAGUUUCCAAAUUAUGGUUAGCCCUACCUUUCACUUCAAUUAAAUCGUCUUCCUUUACAUAUGUGUUUUGAACCUUCUUUCUAGAACUUACUUUCACAUAUUCCUCAGAAGCAUGUUUCUCCCUGCCGAAGGAUGAGCUUUUGUCAUGUUUAUGGAUCCUGGCAGACUCAAAAUGAUCAUCAAUUUUCUCUGAAGAACAUCCAAGUGUGCGGUCUUUAACAUUUUCAAGCAGUUCUUUGUUUCUUCUUCUAAGCAUAAUCUCUUCAAAACUAAAUGGCCUUGUACGGGCUGCACUCCCUUCAUCACAAUUAUCCCCAGAAAGCUUAUCACUUUUUCCAUGCUUACCCUUUGCACGAUUAGAUUUGCUCAUCUUGUAUGAUGCAAACCAAAUAUUACAAAAGACAUUAAUCACAUCCCGACUAAGAGAUUAGUAAGGAGAGCGCCAGUGAAGGAGUGUAUUGAAAACUUAGAAUUAAAACCAUCGAAUGAUAGAUUAUACUGUUCCUGUACAAGCCAAAAAAGGAAAGACAAUGACAUCACAACCACAAACAUGAAACCAUAUGUAAUAAUUCAUUCAACUGAAUGGAAAACAGAAAGUUCAGUUCAAGCAUUAAUAUGUUCAAAAAUUCUGUCUAAUAAUGUUAUGAAGGAAUGAUUGACUACAAAAUGAAUAUACUAUAAAUCAGCCUCCUCUAAAGUGAGCAAGUCACAUUUGAGAGCAAAAUGGGUAAUCGCAGUUGUCGACAAGAAAAAUAAGAGUUGAUGUUCCGUAUACAUGCAUUACAUAUAAAUCAAACAUGUGUAACUGAAACUCCUCACUUUACCCUGACUCAUUUUAGAGGAGCCAAGCUAGAAUAGUCUAUAGAUUUGUUACUUAAAUUGAUCCAAUCACUAGAGGAUAUGUUUGUUUGUCAGUAAUGCACAGUGCAUAAUAAAUAACAAACUGAAGCUAACUAUAGCAGAAUAAAACCAUAUAAAAGAAAUACAUAAUUCACCAGAUUGCAAACUUUUGUGGGUCCUAGGGCACAAAAGGCAUAAUUUAGUGAAUAGCAUAAAAGCUUGUUAGUUUUAAAGUUUAAUAGAAGAAAGAGACCAAUAAACAAAAGCACUAAGAUUUUUAUGUUUAAAAAAGCCAAAUGUGUCUUAGUAUUGAGUGCUACCCAAAUAAGCACAAAGAAGAUGCAACAACAUAGACCAAAGCUUUUCCCCACACAAGAUUUUAAAUCCUUUUAAUGGUGUUACUGAGAAUUUUCUUGAUUUUGUGUAGCUAGUCUUGCCAUACAAAUUCUUUUACCUUAAGAGACAUCUUUUCACAAAUACACUGAAACCAUUCCUUUAUUUCAUCCAAGAUACCUAAAUAUUGUGACGAGUAGAUAGCCACCAAUUUUCACCUCCAAAACAAUGCUAGUACAUUUCUUGUUGAACUUGCAUUUCACUAUGCAUAAGGAGUGGGUGUGAUUAGCAUUACAAUAAACAACCACAAAAUCCUUAUCUUAUCCCACUAAAAACAUCCGAUACAUAAAACGUACGACACCAUUAGACUCAACAAAAUAGCUUGGCAUUCUAACAAAUAAAACUUACUACAUUUCUUUGGAAUUGUAACAAUUAACAAAAUCAAGACGAAAAGUGUGUGAUUGACAUAGCACUAGUACUACUUUCUUUUUUCGUUUAACCUUUUAAAAUCAACUUCUUACAUUUUCAGGAACCUCAAGUUCCUGCUCUGGAACACCUUGAAACUACUUAUUCAUACAUACUCAUAAGAAGGGGAAGUCCUAUCACAGCGGUAAACUUACGCCUUCCCAAAUCCAUAAAUAGUCUCUUUGCAUAUGCAACGAUUACAAUUACCCUCCCUCCGUAAUAGCCUCGCUUUUCUAAUACAUACUCAGCAAUCACUAUAAUUUAUUUUCUCACUUGGAAAUUGAAGUUAAACUCAUAUAAGCAUUUUCGUGUUUCCCUUCAAUAACCUAAUCUAUGACCUUAAUAUGCUGGAUACGAUUGCAUUACUCCUCAAUCCCAUAAACUAGAGUUUGUGCUUCCCUCUAAAAUACGCGGUACCAUGCGAAUCCCGUAACCUAAAUAAAAAGGUGCUAUUGCGAAUCCUGUAACUUGCUAAACUUCACCAGCAACGUAUAACGGUAUAACCAAAACCUAAUAUUGAAAAUUCGAAAAAUGCUACGGCGCAAAGAGAGGGAGAAGAGAGAGAACCUGGGUAGAGAAGAGUGAAGGCGCGGCUGUCUACGACGGAAUAGCGGCGGCGUGGAGAGUGAAAAUGAAAUGUAAGAGCAGUGGGUUAUCUGAAAUCAAGAAAUAGUAUUUCCUCGUCUCAUCUUCUCCUCUUAUUUCGAAAAGUAAAAAAAUAAAAUAAAAUAAAAAAUAUUAUAUUAUAUUAUAUUAUAUUUACAUAUAAAUAUAAAGAAAAUUUACUUCGUAUAUAAACUUAUUAAGAGAGUAAUGUUAUUAUAUAUCAUAAUUUUUGUAAAGUUCAUCUUUUGAUUAAAAGUUUUCAUUACAUAUAUUAUAUUUGCCAAAUUUUAUAUCAAUUUAGAUUUAUUUAUAUUACAUCCUUUAUGUGAUGUGUAUUUUAAAAAUAUACUAAAAUAAAAGUUAUUUGAUCAAUUCACUAUUAUAAUACAAUUUUUAAUAAAAUUUAACAUAAAUAAUUAUGAUGAUGUAAAAAUUAUGUAAAAAACGAAUAAAUAUGUGUAAAUAGAAUAAAUAAAUAAAUAAAUAAAUAAAUAUAUAUAUAUAUAUAUAUAUAUAUAUAUAUAUAUAUAUAUCGUUCUUAUAAAAAGAGUAAAUAUUUAAUUUGGCUCCUUUUUUGUUUUUUCUUAAAUAUUAUUCAUAAUAUCAUAUAACAGCAUUCAGCAAAAUGCAAAAUAUACUUUGCGACUGUUCUCGAAAAAGUUAUAAAAAUUUAUAAACAAAUAUUAUUAUCUAUUAUCUAUUAUAAUAUUUACUUUAUUAUUUAUUUUUAUUUUAUUGAAAAUUAUUUAAAAUAUUAUUUUUUAGUUAUUUAAUAUUAUUAAUUUAUAUUCUUUUCUUUAUUUUCAUGUCAAAUGUAAUUUAGUUUUUUAUUUAUAACUUAGAUUUAAAGGGUGGUCAUUUAAUAAAAUUAAAUAUAAAAAAUAUAUUUUACUUUUAUUUUCAAAAUUAUUAUAUAAUAAAUUAUAUCUGAUAAUAUAAAUUUUUAAUAAUGUUAUUUAACAAUUUUACCUCAAAAAAAGUAUCAAUAAAAUAUUAUAAUUAAUUUUUUAUUAAAUUAUAAUAUAGAUUUUCUGUUGAAUAUUUUUCAUAUUUUUAAUAUGUAAAAAUUAAAUUGAAAUCUAUUAUUUAUUAAAAUAUAAGAAAAAAUAAUAGCAAAUUUAUUUUCUUUUUCGUAUUUGUUUUGUUGAAAAUAUGUCGUAGUCAUUUGACAUUAUUAAUUUUAUGUUUUUAUUUAUAUUAAUGUCAUAGUGAAUAUUUAAUUUAUCUAUAACUUAUAUUUGAAAUAUUAAUUUUUUAUAUUUUUUUCAUGAUUUUUAAUUACGGAGUCAUUUAAUAAAAUUAAAUAUAAAGAAAUAUAUUUUAAUUUUAAAAUAUACGUAGAAACAAGUUCUUACAAUUUGAAAAUGUUUCCUUUCCAUUUUAUGAGAUUUUUUUUUUACUUUUUUAUGAUAUUUAUCAUUGUUAAUUUGUUACUUUGGUUCUGCGUAAAUAUGUUUUAGAAAAUAUAUUCCAAUUUGUCUUUUAUUAAUAAAUUUAGUACAUUUUUCUUUUAUUGGAGAAUUAUCUUAUGGUGCUAUAGAAUUCAAAUGUAACCAUUUCAAAUAUGAUCAUAAGUGUUAUAAUAGACUUGAUAAUCAAACUUUAAAAGUUUUACGUAUAUAAACAAUGUAAAAUCCAAUUUUUUUUUUACCAAAAAAAUAUAGAAGUUAAUAAAAACCAAAAGAAAUAUAGGAUUUCAAAUUUCUACAACUUAAUUAUUUUUUUCAAAUGCUUUCAAAAAACUCCAAAGCGCAUUUCUAUCACACAUAUUUGUUUCCAAUUAUAUCUUUAUAAAUAUAUGUUCUCAUAUAAUAACAAUAAUUAUAUGGUUAUUGUAUAAAUAAAAGAAUGAGCUAACAUGCUAAAUAUCAUUCAUAAAACAAUCUUAAAACUAUGACUACACAUGAUCCAUUUGAAAGUACAAUCUUGACCAUUUGGAUUAAGUAUUGAUGUAAAAUCUUGGGAGAUCGUGUAUUUAUGAUAGCCUCUAUUGUUCUUAUAGAAUCAUUUUCAAUGCAAUACACUAUACUACACACAAAAUUACUUCGGUAACAUUUAUGGCCAAAACAAAACUAAUAUUAAGGGUGGUUAAAUAGAACUGAACUGCACUAUACUACUAAAAUAUGUAUUUAACUAAAAACUAAUUUGUCUCAAGUGAACUGUAAAACAGUUCAGACAAACUGAACUGUUUUUUGUUUUGUCAAACUGGACUAAAGUGAACUAUACUAAAUGGUAUUAAACUACAAUAUAAACUGAAUUAUUAACUAUACUAAUUUUAAAUUAAAUUGUACUAAUUUUAAACUGAAUUGUAUUAGUUUUUAAACUGAAUAGUAUAGCAAUACAUAUUUUUUUUAAUUGAAAUUUAUUUUAAUAUUUAUUACAAAUUAAUUUUUUAAUCAUUUGAUAUUAUUAUUUUAUAUUUUAUUUAUAAUUCUUUUAUUAUUAUAUGUGUAUGAAAAUUAUUUUAUUAUUCAUUUAUUUAUUUUAUUUUUUUUUAUUUUUUAUUUUUUUAUAUAUAUUUAUUUUGUCAUGAAUAUUGUUUUACUUUUAUAUUUUAAUUUUUUUAUUUAUAUUUUUUAUAUAUGUAUAUAAUUUAUUUUAUCUUUUUAUCUACUUAUUUUAUUUUAAAAUAAUUUUUUUAUUUAUAUUUAUUUUGUUGCCUCAUAAAAUUUUUUUAUUAAUCAAUUAUUUAUUAUUUAUAUUUUAUUAUGUAAAAAUUAAACUAAUAUUUAUUAAUUAUUAUUAUAUAAUAAAAGAUGAUACUAGAAAAGUUACUUUUAACAGACGUUUGUUAACUUUUUUGUCAUUUGAUAUUUCUAUAAUAUUAAUUAUUUUUGCUAUAUUACUAUUAUUUUAUGAUAUUUCAUUAUAGUCAUUUAAUAAAAUUUAACGUUAAAAAUAUAUUUUAAUUUUAGUGUAUAAAAUACUGUCAUUUAAAAAUAAUAAUAUUGAUAUUUAUUUUAAAAUAAGUUGAUUUUUAAAAUAAAUAAUUGUUUUAGUGUGUGCGCUUACACACAUUUUAAUAUUAUUAAAAAAAAUUUAACAUAUUUUUACAUAUUUAAUAAUAUAUUAAAGAAUAUAAUAUAUUUAAAGUAAUAUUAUUUUAUAUAGUCGUUUUUUUCUUUUAAGAUUUCUAUUACUUAAUAAUUUAAUAAAAUUAAAUUUUAAAAAAAUAUAUUUUAUUUUUAUUACUUAAAAUAAUAUUAUUUAAAAAGUAAUAUAUGUUUAUUGAUAAAAAAAUAUAAAAAUUUGUGAUAAAAAAUUGUCUUAAAAAAUUAAUUAUUAAUUUUUUAUGUGAGCAGUUUUUUAUUUAUUAAUAUUCUAUUAUUAAAUAAUGUUUUCUUGGUAAGACGUUGAACUAGAACUAGAGAAGAGUAAAAAGUAGAUAGAGUUCUCGUAGCUAUAUUGAACUUUUAGUAAAAGUAUAUAAGUUUUUUUUAGAAUAAUAUAAUAUAAUUAACUAUAGUACAAUAUAAAUGAGUUAUUUUUUUCCAACCCUAGUUCAUAUACUAGAACCUCAUAUUCCUCUCACUACACACAUAAUCUUUUUCUACUUGAGACUGAAUGAUCAUUAGAGUAUCAGUAAAACUUCCAAUAUCAAGACUCCCAUGUCAACGCAUGCACUAACAAAAUUCUACAUAGAAUCUCUCCAAAUAUUAAAAUUAUGUCAAACAUAUAUAUGCUAUCACAGAAUAUAUAUUCUCGAGACGAGAUCCUUGAAAUAUGCAUGUGGAGGUAUUAUAUUUAUAUUUUUCUAAUUGAGGAAAAUGAUUGUUAAUAUUAUAAUCUCAAAUUUGAGUUUGGAGUUUUGUCAUAAUGUUGUUUUUAAAAGUUUUUGAUAGGAAGAGAUGUAUUUAAAUUAUUUUUAAUCUUAAUUUUUAAGUGGUGUGAAAUUAUUCAAUAUAUAGAAAUUAAUUAAUAUUUAAUUAGGCUUGAAUAAAUAUAUUUAUGAAUAUUGCUAAUUUUUAGAAUAAUUAAUAAUUAAAUUUAAUAUAAUUUUACUUUAUUUAAGGAUAAAAAUAAUUUAAAAUUGUAUUAGUUUCACUCCUCAAAUAAAAGGUAUUUUAAAGUAGCCUCCUCUGCCAAAUAGAUUUAGUUUAAAUGCUUUGUGAUUUAAGUUCAAAGUGAGUGUAGGUUUUCACUUGAGUUUUUGGUAAUGUUCUUAUAUUUUUAAAGACAUGAAGGGCAACACCAAAAAUCCCAAUUGAUCUAAAUUUAUAUUAAUUUAAAUUCUCCAACUUGGCUUGUUGAUAUAUAAGAUUAAUCGUUAAUAAAAAGUUUCCAACCUUCCUUCAUGUAGUUAUAUUUUGACCAAAAGCAACAAAAACACAAGAUUUUUCACAUUGUGUGGUAGUUAAGAUUGCUUCACCAAAAAGGAAGUUGACUUUAUACCAGAAGACAUAUGUUGUAAGAAAACAUUAUUUUGAUUAAUUUCUAUUGACUGGGAAUUACAAAAUAUGGUGAAUCUUUAUAGCUUAUUUAAUGAUUUUGUAAUUUUUUAAUGAAAUUUAUUCCAUAAGAAAAUGUUAGAAAAGAAGUGCUCUUAUGAAAUUUUUUUAAUCAAUAAAUAUAAGUUGUUCUUUAAACACUUUCUAAAUUGUUCUAUUUUAAAAAUUAUAAAAUAGAUAUGUCAAAAAUCUUACAUAAACUAAAUAUAAACAAAUUUAAUAUAUUGGUUCAUCGAUUUUCAUAACACUUAUAAAACCAUGACUAAAAAGAAAAACAUGAAAUAAAACAUUUCUAUAAGUUAAAUUAGUUAACAAAUUUCUUCAUCGAAUUGAGAAAAUGUGGUAAAUGUGAAAAAUGACAUCAUGGUGGCGUCAAGAUCCCGUUAAUGGUGGCUCUGUAACCUAAUAUAUGAUAAUGAAACUCCCACAUAACAUGUCACUACACAUGAAUUAGGAAGAAGAAGACCAUAGAAGUUGUUUGUAGUUGGAUAUACAGAACAAUAACUGUUUAUAUUCUUUCUCCAAUUAUAUGCAUAGUUGACCUUUCUCGUAAAUUAAUUCAUAGUCAAAUUCAAUAAUUGCAACUUCAACACUUCAACAAGAGUUUUACUUACUCUUUUAAUCACACUUUUGCAACUAAUCUGACAUUUUUUAGCAGUGGUUUGCUUUGAUACGUUGGUUUGUGUGUAUAAAACAUAGUUGUCUUGUCCGAAAAUUGUAAGAAUAUAAAGACUUAAGCUCACUCAAAAGAUUAAUAUAUACCUUUUAGUAUAUUAAAUAAAGCUUAUAAUAUAUCUUACAUGUUUAAAUAAUAAGAUUAUUAUCUCUCGAUAAUUUCAUAUUUUCCACCUCAUUAUUGAUGUCAUAUUUUGAAUGCUCUCACUGUGAACCCUUCAGUGGGACUUAGUGUAUCCCAUGCUUUACUUCAAUUUGUCAGCAAAAUUAUAAUAAUAUUAAUAGUUUUCAUGACUUAAGCCAAUUUCACAUCAAAUUAUUGGACAAACUUUCCAAUUCAUAAGGUGUUUGAGAUAUAAUAUAUAUACAUAUAUUAGGUUGAGAAAAGGUUAGGUUUUAAUGAUUGAACGGGGAAAGAUGUGUAUGGUAGAUUUUCUUACUAUUUUAUAGCAUUUUCUUUUAUAUUAUGUUAUUACUUAGUAUGGCAUGUUUUGGCCAUUUUGGUGUGGCCAAAUGGUAUUGUCUCUAUCACAAUUUUAUUUUAUUUCAUACAAAUUCCACUCAAGAUAUAAUAAGCAUGACAUUUGCUUAUUGGUGUUGAAAAUUAAAAAUCAAUUUUAAAGUUCUCCACUCAAGUGAGAUUCAAUAAAUUAUGCAUUUUGCAACUUGAUUCAUUCCACCCAGAAGAACUUUCUCAAUGAUGAUGUCUUUUAGUCACAACAUAUAUUUAUGGUUUUGUGGCCAAAGAAAAAUAAGAACAUCUUAUGCACCAUAUUUUUAGUCUGACUAUUUUAAACCGAAAAGAAAAUAAUAAUUGUGCAUCAUGAAAACUUUUAUAAACAUGAUGAGAAUAUUGUGUGUGUAUAUAUAUAUAUAUAUAUAUAUAUAUAUAUAUAUAUAUAUAUAUAUAUAUAUAUAUAUAUAUAUAUAUAUAUAUAUAUAUAUANNNNNNNNNNNNNNNNNNNNNNNNNNNNNNNNNNNNNNNNNNNNNNNNNNNNNNNNNNNNNNNNNNNNNNNNNNNNNNNNNNNNNNNNNNNNNNNNNNNNNNNNNNNNNNNNNNNNNNNNNNNNNNNNNNNNNNNNNNNNNNNNNNNNNNNNNNNNNNNNNNNNNNNNNNNNNNNNNNNNNNNNNNNNNNNNNNNNNNNNNNNNNNNNNNNNNNNNNNNNNNNNNNNNNNNNNNNNNNNNNNNNNNNNNNNNNNNNNNNNNNNNNNNNNNNNNNNNNNNNNNNNNNNNNNNNNNNNNNNNNNNNNNNNNNNNNNNNNNNNNNNNNNNNNNNNNNNNNNNNNNNNNNNNNNNNNNNNNNNNNNNNNNNNNNNNNNNNNNNNNNNNNNNNNNNNNNNNNNNNNNNNNNNNNNNNNNNNNNNNNNNNNNNNNNNNNNNNNNNNNNNNNNNNNNNNNNNNNNNNNNNNNNNNNNNNNNNNNNNNNNNNNNNNNNNNNNNNNNNNNNNNNNNNNNNNNNNNNNNNNNNNNNNNNNNNNNNNNNNNNNNNNNNNNNNNNNNNNNNNNNNNNNNNNNNNNNNNNNNNNNNNNNNNNNNNNNNNNNNNNNNNNNNNNNNNNNNNNNNNNNNNNNNNNNNNNNNNNNNNNNNNNNNNNNNNNNNNNNNNNNNNNNNNNNNNNNNNNNNNNNNNNNNNNNNNNNNNNNNNNNNNNNNNNNNNNNNNNNNNNNNNNNNNNNNNNNNNNNNNNNNNNNNNNNNNNNNNNNNNNNNNNNNNNNNNNNNNNNNNNNNNNNNNNNNNNNNNNNNNNNNNNNNNNNNNNNNNNNNNNNNNNNNNNNNNNNNNNNNNNNNNNNNNNNNNNNNNNNNNNNNNNNNNNNNNNNNNNNNNNNNNNNNNNNNNNNNNNNNNNNNNNNNNNNNNNNNNNNNNNNNNNNNNNNNNNNNNNNNNNNNNNNNNNNNNNNNNNNNNNNNNNNNNNNNNNNNNNNNNNNNNNNNNNNNNNNNNNNNNNNNNNNNNNNNNNNNNNNNNNNNNNNNNNNNNNNNNNNNNNNNNNNNNNNNNNNNNNNNNNNNNNNNNNNNNNNNNNNNNNNNNNNNNNNNNNNNNNNNNNNNNNNNNNNNNNNNNNNNNNNNNNAUAUAUAUAUAUAUAUAUAUAUAUAUAUAUAUAUAUAUAUCUUUAAAAGAAUUAUAAUUUUUUUUCUUUUUGAAUCAAACAAUUGUUUUCUUAAGUGGUGAGAGAUGAUGAAAUAAAAUAUGGAAAAUGAUAUUUUGACACCAAUUUUUGAUACUAUUUUGACACUGCACAUGUGUCAAAACGUGAUUGGACAAUUUCAAAUUAAAAAAAGCUGAGACAAGGGCAUAUUUGGAAGAAAAAAUCAAUUUUUUUUUAAAUUUGAAAUCGUCCAAUCACAUUUUAACACGUGUACAGUGUCAAAAAAUUGGUGUCAAAAUAUCAUUUUCCAUAAAAUAUAAGCAUGUAACGGAUAUGUUUUUCUAUUUUGGGAAAGUCAAGGUCUUCUUAUUGUGUAUUUUUGUAUAGCCUACCUCUCUAAUAUAUUAAUUACGAUUUAACAAGAAUUAAGCUUAUGUACAAUGCGAUGCACGGAUAUUAAUAUAGUAUUAACUAAACUUUUCAACUCUUUCAUUUCAAUAACAAAGAGUAAAAAUUGGUUUUAAAUUUGCUUGAGAAAAAAGAUAAAAUUAUGAAAAAAGUCUUAGAAAAAGUAUUUUAUACACACAUAUCCAGUAUAUUGGAAGUUUGUUAAUUUUAUUAUAUAAAAAUAUAUCAAUGAUUUGUGAUUAAAUAACAAUAUACUGCAUAAUAUUCAUUAUGUAGGAAUUGUGAAAAUCUAGGCUGGGUCCAAUCUCUUUUCUUUCAUCCACUCUUUUUUUUUUUAAUUUUUCCCAUUCCUUUUAUAAUUUUAAUCUCAACUAUUCCUUUUAUAAUUUUAAUCUCAAAUAUUCCUUUUUUAAUUUUAAUCUAAAUUAAAUUUGAUGAGUUUGGACAGUUAUAUCAGUUUUGAACGUAAUAAUAACGACUUUAAACAGCCAAAUUGAGUGUUUAGUGGUAAACCAGGCAACUUGAAUUUUUAAUAAUGUUAAAAAGUAUUUUUUAUCAACAAAAAUAAAUAUAAUUAAAUGAUCUAAUAGGGUUUCCCAACCCGUAUAUAAAAACUGUAAAAAGAAAAAAUUCCCUUAGUAUAGAAUCUGUAAGAGUUUAAGCAACAAAGAAACUUAAAAUUGAACCACAUUUUUCAGAAAAAAAAAAUCAUUAAUCUAGCAUAUAAAUCCUUAAUACAAGAUUUCUCUUUAAUGACUAUCUUAAGUUUAAAAUUCUAACCGUGUGUUUCUUUUAAUGAAUUUAUUAUCUGUGAGAGAGUGAGUACAAAUGUUAGGUUUGUUCCCGAAUUUAUGGGUAAACGAGAGAGAAUAUUUGAGAGAGGGAGGUGAGAUUCUCUCUCAUGAGUUUAAGUAUUUGAAAAUGAAAAAUGUAAUUAUCAAAUAAUUUUUUUUUAACUUUACAACCAUUUAUCCAUGAUAACUAAUUAUAAUAAAUAAUAAUAAUAAUUUUUUCUUUAUAUUUGUUAUAUUUAUCAAAUCAUUUCUAAACUUUUAUAGAUUUCACCAUCAAAACUUUUCAACUUUCACAUCAAAAUCCUUUUAAAACAAACAGCAUUAAUUUAUUCUUUGUUUUACCUUAAAUUCAUCUUCCUCAAUCUUCCUAUAAAACCUAGACCCUAACCCUAAAUAAAUAGAACCUAAAGUCUGAUUGAUAUAACUAUACAUAAAUAGAAAUUUAGUUUAAAAUUAUAAACUUGAGAUUAUGUGAAUUAUCCUUUGAAACAAAGAGCCUAAAAGAAAGUUUACAGUGUCUAUCGAAGAUUUCUGACUUCAUUUCAUUGAGUAAUUAAAAUAUCGGUAGUGAAAAGUUAAGAAAAAAAUUAUCAAGCAUCAUAUACAAAUUCGCAAAUUUAUGUAAACAUAUGAGACUCGAGUAGACUCGACUCAUAAACUCAACUCGUAAGAGUUUACUUCAGAUGAAAAAUACUAUAUAAAUAAUAUCUUAAUUCAAAUAAGUCUACAAAAUUAUAUAGCUUUAAAUAAAUAAAAUUUAUAGAUAUAUAAUUCAUAAAAAUAAAUAUUGUAAAACAUAAAUACUUGGAUUAUUGUCAUUAAUUUUGAUGCAUUUAAUUAAAUAUAUAAUAAAAAAGACCAAAUGACCUUGUUUUUCUUAAUUUUUCUCCCUUUCAAGCUCGUAGAAUCGCUCGAAACUCGCGAUUCUACACUAUCCUACCGAUAUCACAAUUAAUUCUACCGAGUUUAUGCAAAAAAGAGUUUACUUCCGAGUUAACUCGAAAACCAUAUAUUGAAACUUAAACUCGUAAAAGUUUAAGAGUUAACUCGAGAGUUUGAUAACCAUGAUCAUAUAUAUCCGAUUGAUGAUCAAAUUUGCAAUCGAGAAAAUUGUUGUUCUUCCCAAGCCUUACUUGACUCAUUAAUACAUUUCAAUGUUUCUAUCACCUUAUUAUAUUCAUAUAUCUUCUUCCCCCAACUAGUAAUACAAAGUUAUUUGCUGUGUAAAGUACUAAUACUAACUUUAAGCCUCCAAAAAUGAAGUUUUCUCUCAAUGGUUCCAUGUUUUUCUUUUUAUGUUGUGCAAUCUUUUGACAAGACUUCUCUUUAGCCACACUUUUUUCUCCUCCUUCACCCAUAAUUCAGCUCCCUCCCAUUUAUCUAUGGUUUUGGAUUUCUUUGUAAAUAUAUAUGAUUGCUUGCAAGUCUUCCUCUUCCAUAGAGUAAUUAAAUUUAAUGUUUCAUCACUGCUUCAUACUUUGGUAUAUUGACAUGUAUCUUCCAAUUAUUUCUUGUAAUUUUUUUCAAAAAUUAUCAAAUAGACAACUUAAAAACUAUAAAAUUAUGAAAAUAUUAGUGUCAAGGUAAUGACUUCACUCGGAACAAGUCGAAUAAAAUAAACACAAUUUUAUGCUGAUAUUUUUAAAGUUGAAGUCAUGUCAAAAUGACACGACUUUAAUUUAGAACAUUUUAAUCUGAGUUUAGUUAGAUUAACACAACUUCUACUAAAACUAAACUAAAAUUAUGUUAUUUUAACUCGAUUUCAAUUUAGAAUAUAUUGAACUAAAGUCAUAUUGACACGACUCGAACUUAAAAGUAUUUUAUAUUAAAGUUAUGCUACUUUAAUACAAUCAUUUCAUAAUGAUGUCAUACUAAAUUAACACGACUUGUCUAUUUUUAUGAUUUUUUCAAAACUAUCAAUUUUAAUAAUUUUGAAAAAGAAAAUUGCACUAUUUUGAUGCUUUUGCAGUCUAAUUUUCUCAUAAGCUUCAAUGCAUUUUGUAUUCGAGAGAAUAUCACAAAAAUAAACAUUUACUCUUGAAAUGAAAAAUUCUUACAAACUUCCUUUUCCUAUAAAGUUUUCUUCAUAUCAUAUUCACUGUAGUUGACCAAAAAAUAGACAAAAAAAAUAAGAUGUUGUCUAUGAGCUAGAGCGCCCAUCACUAUUUUCCUUAGAAUAGAAAUGUUUGAUUUGGAUUUUUUUUUUUAUAUAUCUAAAGAAUCUUCCAAAGGUGAUGAUAUGAUCGGGCAUAGUGGUAAAAUUCUUAAGAAUAUUUAAUAUAACUUCAUAUCUAAAAGUUGAAAAAUCACUUUUUUUUGUUAUAAUGAAACAUCUUCGCAGUAGUACGUUCACAUUAUAUGCACAAUGAUAUUACACAGUUGCACGUAAUACAUCGAUUAUUUUGAUUUUAAUAUAAUUAUCCAUCUAAAUAAGAGGGAUCAUACUCAUAUUACACUAACAAGUACGUGAUAUUCUGUCAUUUACGUAUAACACACUCUAAUGUAGAAUAGAAGAAUUUGAGAAGAAUAAGCAGCCACACACUUUAACAAUUAAGGCACUUUUAUGCAUGACACUGAGGGGAAAAAGGAAAAUAAAAGGGUUAUUUAACACCAUUUGAUUAUUAUUUGGUAAUUUUUAUAAAGAUAAAAUGGUUUUAAUAAAAGUUAACUUUUGUAUUUUGAAAGGAAAAAAAGGAAAAUGUUUUUUAAUAAUUUUUUUACAACUACUUAUAUGGUAGCUCGUGGUCCGUUUCAAAUAUACAGACCAAUAAAAUAGUGACAAUUAAUCAGUUAUUAAAAAAAGUUGUCAACAUAUCAUGGUCCCAGAAAAAGAGAAUGAAAAUAAUAAAGAAUAAUGUCAAAUGAGUGUAAAAAAGAAUAUGGUGUCAAAGUUGUUGGAAAUCGAGGUGUGACUACAUUCCACAUAGAUAAGAAAAGUAAAACACUCUAUAAAGAUAAAAGAUUCAUUAAUCUAUUAUCUUAGAGUUUUGAACAAAGAAUUAUGUCAAUUUCUUAUGUAAUUAGACUCAGGUUUCAUUGAUAUUGUCUCUCUGAAUUUCGUCUUUCCUAUACCCUAACAAAAGUAUCAUUCUUCAAAAGAAAUCAUGGAUGACUCUAUUUUUCACGCAUGCAAAUGAAAUAAAACGGGUCAAACUUUACUCUGAUUAAGCCUCAUCUCAUGAUUAGCUGCUAUAUAUGCGUGUCUAAUUUCAAGAAACUUUGUUCAAACUUUAUAGCAGUAACGUUUCACACAAAUAUACGUUAACUGCAUUACUAUAUUGCAUGCGUGAGUUUACAGAAAACGUGAUUUUAAUAUUUUGUCCUGCCACCAGUUUUUCUUAUUUGGCCAUGUCAAAGACUAAUAUAUUCUUCUUGAUUCCAUGAGUUUUCGUAGUAGACAGAGAUUGAAUAUGAAUUUUCUAUUCUGAUUUUAUCAUCUGAAAAAAGAGAGAGAAAAUGUUAUGCUAUUUUAUCUAACCCACUUUCUACUGUGCAAUGGGAUAUCAUCCUAUUGCUUGCUAACAUUUAGAUUUUCUAAGUGUUCAUGGUAAAAGAGAAUAUAUAUAUAUAUAUAUAUAUAUAUAUAUAUAUAUAUAUAUAUAUAUAUAUAUAUAUAUAUAAGAAAAAGAGGACUAGCAAAUAGAAAUUAAAUAGGUUUUUAAUUUGAAGAAAAGAAAAGAAGAGGGAAUAAGGGAAUUGCAUAGUGGAUAUUGCAUCAUGUUGGUUUGAUUAUUAAUAAAGUAGAAUAUUUUUUAUAUGUGGUGAUCCUAUAGAGAGGAGCUGUUAUUGGUAUACAGAUUGACAAUGAUCUGCUAUAUAGCACCACUCUUGAAAGUGAGCACUAAUUUACUUUUAUGUAUGUAUAUGUGUAUUAAGGAUUUAAAGUAAACAUAUGAUCGACUUUAUCAUAAAAAAUGGUAAAUUAGGUCUUGUGAAAGGAUAGACCCAUCUUAUCAUAGCUGAGAAUAUAUACCAAAGAUGACUAUUUCUGGAUAAAAUUAUUCUAAUUCAAAGGACUUGAAAAAUUAUUAUAAUUCAAAGUACUUCAACAAAUACUUAAAGGAAUAAAUCUUUUCAAGGUUCAUAAUAUUUUAUGAUAUUUAAAAUAAAUAUCAUUGCUUAGAGUAUCUAUAUAGAAAAGUAUAGAUAAUUAAAAGUUUUAUAAUUUUUUUAAAAUUUUAUUUUAAUUUUAUAAGUUUGCUAAGCGAAAAAGACGUUUGCUUCACAAGAAAGAUGUUUUGUUCGGUGAACAAUUUAUUUUUGGUUUUAAAUUUUUAAAUUAUUUUUAAGUUCAAUGUCUCUCACUUUUUUUAUUUUUUAUUUAUUUUUUAGAUUGUUUAAAUAUUUAUACCUAUAUAUAGAGAGGUAUCAAAUAUACGUAGACAUAUUGGAUAAUCAUUAUAUAAAAAUGAAUUUUCCAAUGAGAGACGAUUUUUUUGAUUCUUAAAUUAGAAAUUCAAUUUUUACUAAAGAUGAAUUUCUUUAUAGCAAAUUUUCCUUCACUUCAUAAAUUUGUAAGAUUGAGGCAAUUUCAUGGUUUAUUUUUUAUCAAAGAUGAUCAUUCUGAGUAAUCUUUCUUGGAGAUAAUAUUGAUAAAAUCAAAUCACUUCUAUUUUGGAGUUCAAAGCUUUGUUUUUUAAGAGGCAUUUUAGAAAGAUGAAGAAGAAAAAUAUAUUUAAAUUUUCUUUACAUUGAUUCUUGAAUGAUAUAUAUAAAAUAAAAGAAAAGAAAAGGAGCAAGUAAAUUAAAUAAAAAUAAAUUUAUUAUAUAAAUGCCUAUUUUGGGGAACUUAUCCUAGUGGCUCUUACCCUUUUUCCCAUACCGAAAACACUUAUUUGAGAUGGACCAAAACGACAAAUAAGAUUUCCUAAAAAUGUGUGUAGAAAGAUUCUUAACUUUCUGAUGUCCAAACCCUAGUGUUCAUUACAACAUUGACUUAGGGAUAUUCAUUAAUACUGAUAAGGUGUAUGGAGGGAAAGUAAGUAACAUUCCUUAUCAAGAUAUUAGGAAUAUUAAUUAAGUAAUAUUCUUACUGCUAUAGUUUAGUUAUACAGUAGUGUGUGGAUGAGAUAAUAAGAUUCUGCAUGUGUAGCCUCCUCAAGAUUAUUGGCCAAUCUAACCUUAAACUGUGUUAGUUUAAAUCAUAAAUUAAACAUUAAUAGUAUAACAAAUGACAGUUAUAUAUGUACUCUGCUAAACCAGAGACAUUACUUCCACAAGAACAUUAGUACACACUCUCAAAUGUUCUUAACAUGAAGUUUUUGGAAAAAUAAUUUAAUUCAAAUAUAUUUAAUAAGAUUUUGGACCAACUCAGUGAAUUCAACAAAUCUCAUUAAAUCAAAUUUCUGAUAAUAUUAUUUUAAGAAAUAAAAUUUAAAUUUAACUUAACACUACAAAAUGAACUUAUAAAAUAAUAUUUAUAUUUAUACAAUAACGAGUUAGCAGCAGCCACCCACUAAACUUUUGUUUGGAUGCAUUGAAAUUUUGGUCUUCAUGAAAUCAAUUAAUCAAACUUGGCAUUGAUCAAGGGCCAUUCCUAUGCAAUCCCAAUAACUUAAAAGCAAUGUAUAUUUUAUAUAAAGGAUAUUGUGUUGUGUAUUAGUGGGAGCAACAUAAUAACAAUCAUGGGCACCUCCAUGUACCAACGUCAUGAUCCACAUUAAAAUGAUAAUUAUUGUAUAAAUUGGCUGUCACUAAAAAAAAAACCCUAGUUCUUUGUCAGAAACACUGUAGGGAAAAACUAUGCAAUAGUCGAAGGAAGAUCCUGUGUGGGGUGUAGAUUGGCCAUGUUUCUGUUUGCAUCUAGAAAGUAGGUCAUGUUCGUAGAUUCUGGUGGAAGGGAAUCUCAAGCAAAACCUCCCCAUUACUAAUGGUGCCUCUGCUGUGUCAUCAGACAGUGAUUUCUUAAACAAUUUUCAAUGUACCUUUGUUCACAUACACAACCGUUGGAAAUCUCACUCACACCCUCAUCUCAUCAACUCUUACAAGUCAACUAUAAAUAAAAUCAAUUUAUAAUAUAUAAAUAACAUAUAAACCUUAUUUAACAAACAAGAUCAAUUUAUAAUAUAUAAAUGAAAUGUAAAUCUUAUCUUACAAACAAUUUUGCAAAGAUGUAUUAAGUUUAAAAAUCCAUUUUCUAAUAUCAACUUCAAAUAUAUAUAUAUAUAUAUAUAUAUAAACUUUUAUCUUUUAAAAUGGGAUUGAGGUAUCACAUUAAAAAUUAUUUUAAUUAUCGUUAUUAAGGUUAUCAAGUACUUUAUCGUUGAUAUGUUAUCGUGUCAUUUAUAGAUAUUUGAAAUAUUAACUUUAUUAUUAUAAUCUAAUGAUCUUAUUAAAAUUUCACUUUAAAUCUUUUUUUUAUUUGACUAAAAGUUAAUGUGGAUUUCAAUUUCUUUAUUUACCUUAUUGUCACUUUUGGUUUUAAUUGUGUUAGGAUAUUGAGGAAAAUUAUAAAAAAAAUAAAUAAGAAACUUCUUUUUAGUAAACUCAGUCUUCCCUCGAACCUGGGAGUUCAAUGUCCUAUAGAAAUAUGAAGAUGAUGUUGUUCUUAACAAAUAACAUACUUUACAACAAAAUGACUGUAUUAAGAUAAUGCAAAUCAUGCUUAACUAAGUAUUAUGACAUUCUAAAUUUAUAUAGACUAGGUUAAGUCUAAACAACCAAAACUCAUUUAGAUAGGGAUAACAGAAAAAAUCUACCUAUAACAUAUCUACAGGUAAAAUCUAUGGAUUAAAUAAUAUUUUAAUGAAUAUAUAAUCACAGGUAAUAAGUACUGUAUUUAAUUACCCACUUGUUAAUAGGAUGGAUACAUGUAUUAUGAUAUCCAACUUACAUGUAUAAGUAUUUAAUUUCAUAAAAAGGAACAAAAAUAACAAAAUGUAUAGCUAAUUAAGUAAUUAGUAUGAAUUUAUAAAAUAAAAAAUAUAGCACUUUAUAAUUUAUUUUGAUAUAGACAAAUAUUUUAUUUAAUUGUUUUAGUCAAUUAGCAUUAUAGAUUAUUCAAAUAGUUCAUAUCAUGUACAGUUGUAUAUAUUUUAAUCUAAUUGUUAAUUUUUAAAUAUAAUUAUUUCAAAAAUUAAUUUUUAUUCAUACCAAUAAUUCAUAAUUAGAUGACGAUGAUUUAAUUUUUUACACAAGUAAUAUAUUUUAAUUAAUGUAAUGCUUGAGAUAUUUUGAAUAGUUGAAUCUACACUCAACUAGUAUAAUGAUGACUAAGAGAUAAGAUAAAGUCAUGGUGAUAAAUUACAACACUAAAAGUUUAUAGACCUAAACAAAAGGAUAAUUCUUGUGUAGAGGAAAAAGUUUAUUCACACACACACAUAUAUAUAUAUAUAUAUAUAACUAGCCGUAGAUGUAUUAUUAUUAUUAUUAUUAUUAUUAAUAUAUUAUACAUUUAUCUUUUUCGUCGGUAUAAUAUAUUAUAUAGAGAUGUGGAUUGUGCUUAAGCGUUUGCUAGCCAAUAUAUAAAGAAAUAAGUGUUAUUAUUGUUCAUUAUUAAUUAGGUAGCCAAUAAUUUGAAAGCACUUUUCAAGAAGCUUGAAUAAAUUGGAGAGAUAUAUGAUGAAUGCUUAUCCAUAUGAUUCAAAGGAAUAAUAUACACAAUCCAACUUUGGUAUAGCUUCAUCAUUUAAACAUCAAGAUACGAAAUUAAUGGACACAUAUUUUAAUAUUUUUACAAUAUGAAUGCAGGAAGGGUUUCGAUUUUACAGAGUAUAAUGAAAACUUUCUAUUUUUUUGUUAUAUUUUCAGCAUUUAUGAGAUAUGUAUUCAAUUGAAAUAUUAGUGUGAAAUUAUUUAAACUUCGUACUUUCCUAAUAUCAAUUAGAAUUUUUUUUUAAUAUAAUAACUUAUCUUCAUAGUAAUCUAAAUGGAAAUCAUUUUCCAAUUUAACUCAAAAUUGAUACACAUUAUGUAACAAAGAGCAAAAGUUAGUCAUUAUAUUAUAUUUAAAUCCCAUUUUUUUUUCUAUUUUUACCUUUUUCAUUCCUUCUUAACUCACAAAAUAAAAGGUCAAUCCAAGCUCAACCCUAUUUUAUCUUUCUUAAUUCUAUGCUGAAUUUCAAAAACUACGAAAAAUGCAUUAACAAAUAUAUAUAUUUCGUGUAUAUGCAUGCAUGUGUUGCCAAUUAAUUAGCGUUAAGAUACGUAUGAAAGUUGCCAAUGAAAUACAAAAUCAAAAGCAUUUUGCAAACCUAUUUGGCAUUAAUAAAGCAUCGAAAGAACUCUAUAUAUCAUUAAUAGUUGUGAAAAACAAUUAUGUUUAAUAAUUUCCUAAUUAUUCUAUAUUUUUCUCUAAAUAAUUGCAAAAGGGAUUUUUAGAAAAAAAUAAAUGUGAAUCCCUAUGAUUAAUAUGAAGCAGAUGACAAGUUGGAUUAUGGAUUGUGGAAGAUGAGGUAGCAUUUGCAGAAGCAAUAAUUGGAGGUCCUUCAGCUUACUAAUCUUGCAGAUUAUGAUACAAGAGCUUAAUUAAGUUGCAUUAAUUAAUUUUUUGAAUUGGGAAUAUUCUGAGUAGAUUCCUCUUUCACAUUAAAAAAAGUAUAGACCCUUUUGCAGUCUCCACUAUUAAGAAAAAGAAUGUUAGUGAAAUGUUGAGGGAUUCCAGCUACAAACUUUUUAGAGUGCACUUUGAUCUUGACACAAGUUAUAGAAAACCUUCCACAUUUGGAUCUUCACAAAAUGUUUAUAUACAAGAUGGAACUUUUAUUUCUUUCAUUUUUAAUUUCUUCAACAAAAUUUUCAAAUUAUCUUAAUAAUUAAUUCUCAUAUUUGUUAGGAGUUUAAGUAUAAGUUUAAGUAGUACAUUAAAUAAAAAUGAUAUUUGAGAAACAUAUAAGAAACAAAACUUAUAAUUUUUGAUAAAAUAUAGGAUAUGGUUAAGAUAGAACGUAUUUAAGAAAAAGUUGCACAAAUAUAUAAUUCAAAUGUAACGUAGUUUUUACAUGUAAUAUAUUUUGUACUUUAAGUAGAAUAGUUUGUAUAUAAAGUUCUUAUUUUAAUAUAUAUAUAUAUAUAUAUAUAUAUAUAUAUAUAUAUAUAUAUAAUUAUUAUCUAUUCUAUUUUUAGUUUUGUUGUAUUUAGAUAUAUUUUGUGUAACUACAUUUAUUCAAGUUUUGAAAUUAUAUAAGCAGAUACUGACAUAGUGGAACAGUAAAAGAGCACCUAGACUCGAGUAUGAAAAUUUGAACUUCUUCAAUUGUUACAAGAGCAUAAUGGAACAGUAAAAGACACCGUGAAUCAAAUUUCAACAUGAAAUGAAAGUAAUUACUUAUUACCACAAUUAAAUAUGUAUCUAGAAAACAACAUGAUCUCAACUAAAAUUUUGUCAAAUUUAUACAUAAACAUCAUUAUACAUGUUGUAGUAAAUUAAAAAAAAUAAUGUUUCCAAAUUAAUUGGGCAAUUCACGAUUUAAUAUAAACAAUUAAAAUUUUAAUCAUUUAUACUAAAUUUUAAACAACAACUAAGAUUCACUUAGUGUUUAAUUAUCAAUAUAAUAAAUUUUAAUACAAUUAAAUUAUUUAAACAUACAACAUUUAAUAAUAAAUCUAACAUAGUAGAAAUAUUUUAAAAAUUUAAUAAAAAAAUAAAAUGUCAAAAGACCCACUAAAAAAUACUAAGAUAAAAGUAAGAUAAAAGCAAUAAUGAUGAAAACAAAAUAUAACUAAUGUCAUAUACAAGGAAUAACCGACAAAAUGUAAUAAGAACUAAAAAUACAAUUUAAUCAAAUCAAAUUUCUAAAAAAAUUGGAUAAUUAUAUGAAAAUCGUGGUAUCCAAAAAAUUGGCUAAGGGAAACAUCAAAAUCAUAUUUAACAACCAAUAAAAAGACAAAGUGCAAUGUAUAUUAGAUAACAAAAACUAAAAACUAAUUAUGUAUAUUGGAGGGUGGUGUCACUACCACAAUGGAGAAGUUGUCGCUCGUGAGGAAAAAAAGAACUCAGCGUUAUUCAAAAUAGUAUCCAUAGACGAAAACAAUCGAUCAAAAGAAAAGAAAAUCAUACCCAAAACAUCCAAGCAAUAUGCAUUUGUUUUAAAUAAAGAAAAAAAUUGCCUUUAAUGGUGGUCGCAUUGUCAUUAGAAUAAUUUAAAGGCAUGAGAAGAAAGGGUGUGAAGAAACAAUGGAAAGGAAAUGCUCUCGUACUAUUUUUUUAAUUCAUAAAACAACAUAUGAUGUUAAACGCCCUGGGAGGCAACGUCGUAUCACAUCAAACAUUAGAUAAGUAGGGGGUUGAUGUCUAAUGUCAUAAUUUCUCUUAAUGGUCAUGUUGCCACAUUUCAAAUGGUCUUGGGUUCAAAUCUUGACUAGACCAUAAUGGUAAUAUUUUUAUUUUAAUAAUUUGGCCAUGUAAUACAUGUAAUUAGCUUGGUCUCCUCAAGGUGUGAGAUCUUCAAUUUGGUCUCCAAAAGAUGAGUCACAUUAUAUUGCAUUGUCUCUUGGACCUUUUUAUGCCUUCCUUUUUCUCAUGAGUCCCCUAAGUCUUGAAUUAAAUUCAUCAUGUUCUUGAGCUUUGUUCGAUUAAAUUGAACCACUUAUUAGUGUCUAGUGAUGAGAUAUGUGUUGGAAAUCCAACAUCGAUUAAAGAUUAGAUCAAAUUAUUGUAUCACAUGUAUAAUUCAGUGGGUAAUGUAUUCCUUUCUUGAAGCAUUUCCUUCAACACCUAUUGCAAUUUUACAAAGCUUUGAUCGGCUCACCUAUCGAUUUCCCUCCAACAGUUUGAGCAAAACAUCACAAAAUCAUGUCUAACAAAAAUCCAUGCAAUUACUGACGAUCGAAAUUCGUCGACAAUGGCAUUUUUUCGACGGAUUACUGACGACCAUAACUCCAUUGGUAAUAACGUUAUCGGUAAUAUUUACCGAUGGACUAUUAUGACCGUCGGUAAUUACCGAAGAAAAAAUUCGUUGCUAAUUAGCACAUAAUCUGUCGAUAAUUACUGAAGAAAAAAUUCGUCAGUAAAUCUGUUAGUAAAGUCGUCGAAAAACUUACCGACGAAUUUUGGCCCUUAGUAAUUAUCAAAGGUAUUCGUCGGUAAUUACACUUUUACACGCGUCAAUAAAUUCCGUCACACAUUUAUCGACAAAAAUAAAUCCAUUGGUAAAAUCCCUUCUAUAAUUCCAUAUAUUUUUAUAGUUAUCCAUUAGAAUCAUCAAACUCCUUAGUUUGGCAUAAGCUUGGCAAAUCUAACAUACUCUUUUGUCACAUCAAUGUUGUAUAAUUUCUAAAGAUUCAUUAUACGGAAGAUGCUUCCUAAGUUUAGUAACAUGUAAUUUUCUCCUAUUUAAAUAAUUUAUGCAAGGACACGUCAUUCUUAUUAUGUUUUCUCUAUUAAUAAUGUUACAUUGCAUAAACUUUAUAAACUAUUUCAUCAUUUUCUUGUAAUUAUCUCUUAUCCAUGUUAAAUUAAUCUAACUCUACCGUAUUUACAAUUUGAUCAUCCAUCGUUAGGAUUAAGUUUUGUAUAAUAAAUGAAAAUCUCACUUGAAUUAUAUAUAUAUAUAUAUAUAUAUAUAUAUAUAUAAUGUUUUAAAAAAAUUGAGAAUAUUUCACAAUAACUUUCAAGUGAUAUAGAACAAAAUGGUGAUAAAACAUUGUUCAUACACAUUGUUCCAUGACAAAGUUUUGUGCUUCAUGGAAACAAGUUCUUCUUAAAUGUUAAAAGAAUUAUGUUUUAUAUAUUUUCUUUUAUUAGUUUAGCUUCAAUCAAAACUUGAGUAAUAAAGGAAAUUUUAACAUUACCACUACAAUAAAAAUUGUAUAAAUUGUUAAAAUUUAUUGGUAACACUUAAAAUUUCUAUUGCUAAAUUUUGUUAACGAAAUAGGAAAGUUUUUAAUAAUUACUAAUGAUUGAAUAUCCAUCAGUAAUUUUUUUGUUGAUUAUUAUCAAUAAAAAAAUUAGUCGGUAAAUACUAUGGAUAAAAUCUAAUGAUAAAUAUCAUAAUCUAUUUCAUCUUUUUUAUCUCUAUGGAAUUCAAUUUACUAAUAAAUUUUUCAUCGAUAAUCAAAAUUUUAAUUUAUUGAUGAAUUUUUACUAAUCUAUUUAAAAUAAAUUCAAUUAUUGAUAUAUUAUUGAUGAAUUUUACUAUGAAUAAAAGAAGAAAAUUAGCACCAUUUUAACAACAUAUUAAAUCCAUGGUAAUAAUAACUUAAGAUUACAAAUGAAUUUUAUCAAUGAAUAUUAUCAAAAAAUUUUACGGAUGAAUAUUAUCAAUAAAUUAAAGAAUUUCUUAUAAUGUACUUUAUACAAAUAAUCUUUGGAGAAAAUAAUUGUCAUCUAUGUCUUUAACAUUUAUAUUCACAAUACAUAUUAGACAAAUAAUUAGAAUAUUAUAUGUUAAUAAAGUAUUAGAACAACUUGAACACAUAACUAAAGUCUUGAUAUAUAAAACCUUAACAACACAUAUCUCUAUUAAAAUAAUUAAAAAAUACUAUUAUUAAUAUAACCUUGUAAUUAUGAUAAUUCUAAAAUUGUCUUCCAGGAUUCUUUGAAGUUCUUAUCAUUCUUACCAGUGUCAUAUCACCACAGUUGCAAAUGAGAAUUAUCCUAACUCCCCUUGAACCACCAUUAUGUGAGGAAUGACAAUUUUGGUGCUCCUAAGAAUUACAAUAAGAUGAAGAAGAUUGGGAACCAGACAUAACCUCAACAGAUUUGCUCGAUUUUCCGACGGCUCUUACCCACGGCUUGAGAGCCCUCGGUAAAUCAGUGGUGAAUUAAAUUACCGGCGGGCUAGAGGCCCUCGGUAAUGUCUUCGAAGUAUUUUGGGCUUAAUCAAACUAUUCCCGUUGUGCAUUUCAUUCCUACCAGCCCUAGUCUUCGUCCAAUACUUCGUCAUCCAAAACCCUUCCCUCCAAAACCCUUCCCCUUUCAGAAAUUCCUCUCCUUCGCCCAAAUUUCAAAGCCCUAAUCUUCCUCUCUCUACCCAAAUUUCAGAAAUCCCCCCUCUCCUUUGUCGUAAUUUCAGAAGGUGGUCACCCUAAGGCGUUCUCCCGCGGAGCUGUGGUCGUGCUAGUUGGCUCUUGUGGCAGUGGUGGUGGGUCGUGCUAGUUAGUGCUUGCGACAAUGGUGGUGGGUCAUCGAGGUUGGAUUGACGGCAACAUUGGGGUGAAGUGAGCUUGUUAAGUUCGUGGUCUGUAGAGGCUAACAUCGUCGUCAAUUUUGCUUUCGAGGUAAGUUUUUUUUCAAAGUUGAAUGAUGCUUGUUGAAUUCGUUGGGAUACCAAAACCCUGGUUACCAAAUUACUUCUUUAUAACAAAACAAGAUUCUCUACAUUGCAUUGCUCUUUUAUUCUCUACAUUGGAUGGGAAAGUGGCUUUCUAGAAAUUGUGAAAGCUUAGUUUCAACGUUGAUCGCAUGUGGAGGUGAUUGUGGUUUUAACACUGAGUGUGUGCUUUGAUUUUUUGGAGUUGUUGGCGAUCGUGUUGUGCUUGAUUUUUGUUUGGAUUCAAUAAAUCUACUGAGCCUAGGGGAAUAAGAAUAGUUUGAAAGUUUUCCAGGAUAGGAUUCAUUCACUGAAGUUUUUGAAGUUUUCUUCAAUUUGAUUUUGGUUACAUAUUCCUCUUUUUCAUGGUUUAUGUUUUUGAUAGUGUUGGUGAUGUCGCGUCCAACCUUUCUGCUCACACUUUCUCUAACCUUUUUGACAAUUUGCAGAAGUAGUCUGGGGAAGAAGAAAGGAAGAAUUUAUGAGACAGGACAACUUGCCUCCAAUUAUACUACUACAAGAGGAGGGGUGUUGAAACAUCAACCAUCUUCAUCCAACACUACUGACCAAUAUAACAUGGUCAGUAAAGAGGCUUAUGAUGAAAUAAGAACCAAAUUGCAAACUUUUGAAGAUAUGAUCAGGAUAUACAUUUUUCAGGCAACAGGAGUAUUGGACCCAUCAUUUACUGAUGAUUAAUCUCAAAAGAAACUUUACACGUUUAUGAAAAAAUUGAGAGUUGAGAAAGAGAAAGAGAUCGAAGAUUACAAGUCUACGUUCAAGUUUAUUUUCUUGACAGCUAGAACCAGUUUUUUUUUGUUUUAACUUAUUUUUUUUUAUAUACUUACCAUUAGUGUUUUAUGUAUUAUAAUUUCUUUUAUAUUUUAUAUAAAAAUAAACAUAUAUGUCAAUUAUAAAAUUUGAAUUAGGCUAUUAAAAAUUUCAGAAGAAGAGAAAAGUUAAGGCUUUAAUUGCAUAAAAAAAAAGAGCUAUGAAUAAAUUUAUAAAAAUAGAUAAGAAAUGAGUUAGAAAAUAUAAGUGAGUGUUUAGAAUGAACAAACUACUAAUAAUAUAGAUAUGAUAAAAGUAAUAAUAUAAAUUUUUGGGUUUUAUUUAAUAUUAAAAAAUUAAAGCCACUAAAUUCUACACUUUUGAAAAAAAAACUUAAAUGUUAAAAAAUCUUUAAAAUAUGAUAAUUUGGUGAAUCUUGACAAAUUUGAUUUAUUUUCAUAGUUAAAUAUUUUAAGAGAAAUUAUAGGGUUGGAAAAUGAUAAAUCAAUUAACAUUCUUAAUUAUAUAGAAAAAUAUAUCCUUUUACAAAUAUUUAAAUAAUUUAUAGAAUAAUACUAACAAUUCCAAUAAUAGUUGUUUUAGUCGAAAGAAGUUUCUCAAAAUAAAAGUUAUUUUAGUUGAAAGAAGUUUCUCAAAGCUAAAAGUAAUAUAAAUUUAUUUAAAAUCAUCAAUGUUUCAAUAAAUAUUAAUCAUAUUAGCUAUUAAAAAAUAAAUAUUAAAUAAAACUAAUUUUAAUAAUUUAGUAAAUAAUUUUACAUAAAAAUAUAAAUUUUAAAUAACGGGUCAUUAAUUUGUUUUAAGCCUCUAACACUUAAUCUCUCUCUCUCUCUCUCUCUCUCUCUCUCUCUCUCUCUCUAUAUAUAUAUAUAUAUAUAUAUAUAUAUAUAUAUAUAUUAAUCAUAUAUUCAAGUAUUCGAUAUCAUAAUAUAAACAAUUUGAUGCGAAACAAUUUUAGUUAGCAUCUAGUGAUGACCAUCAAACUUAUCAUUACAUUUAAUUUAAGGUAAGAUAUGAGAUGAAGGCACCAUUGAAAAAUAUGAAAAUUUAGUCUUUAAAUAUUUGUUAAUUAUCCAACCUUUGAAUAUAUAUUUAAAAAAGAGAUAGAGGAAACAGCGCAACUCAAUUUCGUUGAAGUUAUCUUACAAUCCUUGCAAGAACAAACUUCAUUUUAAAUAAUCAUAGACAAGUUUCUUCAUUAAUACUUUUAAAGAAGAAAAAAAAAUAGUUUCUCUAUAACUUAAAACAAAAUAAUAGUUUAGUUUAUGCAUAAAUUAAUUUGUAAAAUUCUCUAAUCAAAUUAUUUUAAUUUUUUUUUCAAAAGUGUCUGAGAUAUUCCAAACAUGUGAUUUUUGUUUGCUAAUCCUAUUCUUCUUAUUAAGGCAAACAGUAAUGGAAAGCAUGUAUGAAAAAGCAAACGUAAAGCAUUUUUGAAAAGUUUUCCACAUGGCUCUUCUCUUAUAAAAUCCCCCCUUCAUCACAUUCUCAAUCUCUCAAACUCUUCUCUUCUCUUCCUCUUCUUCUCACCACAAACUAAACCCAAAAAUGGUGAAAUUCUCAAAGGAGCUUGAAGCUCAACUAAUACCAGAAUGGAAGGAGGCCUUUGUCAACUACCGACAGCUCAAGAAAUACAUCAAAAUCAUCAAACUCAAAACACUUCUCAACCAAUCACAGCCCCCCAAACAAACCUUUGGUCGUUCCAUUUUCGAUUCUCUUCGCUUCCUAAUCAACAACCUCUACAAUUCACACAACAACAACAACAUGCAAGAUAUCAUUCAGGUAAACUAUGUUGCAUGUGUGUUUUCUGGUUUGUCUUGUUUUCCAUGUUUGUGUUUCUGUUUGUAUAAAACCUUUGCGUGUGUUUAUGAUUUUAUGUGUCUUCGUCUUUGUUUUAUCUUUAUCAUGUACUUUGUUUUUCAGAAAAAUGAAACGGAGAAAUAAAUGACAUCGUUUUUAGACAGUGAAAUUUCUUCGAGGCUAUUAAUUAAUUAGCACAUAUAUUUAAAGUUAACUAUAGCUCAUGCAAAGCUACUUAGCUGGUAAUUUUGUAGGAAAUUAAUUAACAUAAUUCAAGUAACUUUUUUAUGGCUAAGAGGGUUUGAAAUUACCUGAAUAUAACAGCCACGUGAAUUGCUUCUGGUGAAUAUGAACCACGAAAAAGUGAAAAGAGUCAAUGAUCUAUAUGUGUUUGGAACGUGGUGUAUAACAUUGGUAGGUUUAAAGCUAUUCUCUUUUAUGGUGAAAAAAUAUGUGAUUAUUAAUCUUUUGAUCAUUAAAUAUAUAACUUUUAAUUUUAACCUCCUAUAAAUCCAUUAUUUUAUUAUCCAAAAAUCGUACAGUGGCGAAAAAACGUGAUUAGACUCUGAUUUUGUUAAGCUUUUUGAUUAUUGAAUAGCUGGUAAUCUAAACAUAAAUCCAUUAUUUUAUGAUUAAGAAAUGUUAAAGUUAUAAUAUAAUAUAUAUGUAAGGAAAAAGUGAGAUUUUGUUAAUCUAUUAUGAUCCAAAAAUCAGUAAUGUGCUAUAGGAAAACCAGAAGGUAAUAGAGAGAAUUGGCGUUUUGAGAGAAAAUACUAAUAAUAAAAUUUAUUAAAAAAAAUUACAUAUAUUUUUAUACGUAAAACAUUGAAAUUGGGUUCCGUAUCAAAUCUUAUCCUUAAAAUAAUAAAUAAAAAAGAUGAAAGUGGAGAAUGUGAGAAUGGCAUUAAGGGCUAAAAAGCAAGUUUCUUUCUGCUUUUGCUUUCAGGAGUUUCUCAUUCUCUCACGAAAUCAAGGUGAAAAUGGAUAGUGGGAACACUAUUGCAUACACACCCUCACGAAACCAUUACAUUUUCAUGAAUAUAAACUCGUAUAUAUAAUUAUUUAAAAUUAUAAUUUGGAAAUAUAGAUUCAUAAAUACCUAUAUAUAUUUUUUAUAAAUUGAAUUUGCAAAAAUAAGUUAGAGUUAAUUCAUAUCUUGAUAUUAUUACAGGUGAAGAAAAAAAUAACAGAAGAGAGGGAAGAAGUGUAUGAAACUGAACUGGCACAGUUGUUUGCAGAAGAAGAUGAGGUGCAAGUGUUUUUUGCAAAGCUUGAUGGAGAACUUAACAAGGUGAACCAAUUCUACAAGAAACAAGAGAUUGAGUUUGUUGAAAGAGGAGAAAUAUUGAACAAGCAGCUUAACAUAUUGAUGGAACUUAAGCAACUUCUCAGUAACAGAUGCAGAAAAAAUCACUCUCUCAAACCUUCAAAUAUUGGAAUUUUCCCCCACUCUCCUUGUCAAGGUUCAGGUAAACAAAUUUUUCAUUUUUUUUACUCGAUCGAAAUCGAUCGAAAUAUCGUAUCGAUUAAAAAUAAAAUCAAUCACGUUACAAACUAAUUUUAUAAAAUUUAAUUAAAUUUAAAGUUUAGUUUUUUAAUAUAGUAUUAAAGUCGUGUAUUUUUGAAGAAUCUAAAAGUUUAACGAAAUCUCAAAAGAAAAAGGUUAUAUAAUGAUAAUAAUAAUUUAUAUACAAUUUCUUAUAAAAAAAAAUUUAAAGACAAAAUGGUAAUGAAAUUGCUAAAACAAAUAAUAAAUGGAAUGCUAUAUAUUUUAAUGGAUUUGACUUCCGAACUAUGCUCUUCUUCUUAAAUGCAAAAUUUCACUAAUUUUGAGAAAACAAAUAGAUAAACCUUUAGUUUUAAUUGAGUAAUAAAUGUAGAAGAAAAUUGUUCACUAGAUGUGACACGCUAGUAAUAUAUAGCUUCGAGGUUUCUUAUAAAACAUAAAAGUUUAUCUUGUUUUGAAGAACGUUGUUUAGUUAAGUUUGAUUUAUCUGUGAUAUAAGUUGUUUUGUCUAUCGUAUAUUCGAUUAAAAAGAUAAUAAAGUGAAGAAUAAAAUCAUAAGAAAAUCUCCUUAAUAAUAAUUUGUGUGUGUGUGCCUCUUAAAAUAUGGUUUUUUGUUUCUUAUUUUAUUUAUUUAUAACUUAUGCUUAGGAAAAAUAAAAACUAUAUUUUAAGAGGCAGAAAUACAUUUAAGUUAAUAUAGAAAUCAAAGAAUCUUUAGUACGAUCGAAUUCACCUCUUAUUUAAAACUUUUUUUGGUUCAUUCAAAUAUAGGUAAUUAUGUUCUUAUUUAUGUUAUUGUAUAGUUUACAUAUUAUGUAUGUAUAUUGAAUUUGAUUAAAAGAAAAAUGAUGAACUGGUAUUAUUAACAUUGGGUUCUUGAUUAUUAAUUAGAUGGUGGUUUAUCUUUUGCAAGCUGAAUUAAUAUAUGUUAUUAGCAUAUACCGUGAUAAAAUUUUCAAUAUACUUAAUUAGUUAAAAAAUUGUUAACAUAAUUAAUUUCAUGAGUAUUAUUAAUUCGAAAAUUUAAGAUAAAUUAAAUAUAGGAAUAAUUUUACGAUUUGGUUAAAAUGAAUUAAGCUUAAACUUGUUAAUUAUAUUUAUUUGUGUAUGUAGAAAGUGUUGGAAAACGAAAGGAUUCAUCAGAUUCAGAGGUUUCAGAGAUGGAUGAAGUGAUCUCAACGUUGGAAAGGAAUGGUUUAAGUUUUGUGAACUCAGCAAUGAGGGUGAAGACAAAGAAAGGAAAGCCUCAAAUGGCCAUAAGAAUUGAUAUUCCGGCCACCACUCCAACGGCGGUUACUUCCAUGCUGUGGGAGGAUUUGGUGAACAGUCCAAUGAAAGCAGCAGGGUGUGGAGGAGAGUUCAUCAACAAGAGAAAAAUUCAGUGUGCUGAGAAGAUGAUUAGAAGUGCUUUUGUAGAGCUCUAUAAAGGUCUUGGUCUUCUCAAAACUUAUAGGUAAUCUAUAUAUAUAUAAAAUUUAAGUUUAAUUCAUAUAAGAAAUUAAGAUUAUUUUUAUUCUAUUUGUAAUGAGAGUAAUGGAGUGUGGAGUUGCAUGGAGUAGUUUCACUAUACCACGUAAAGAAAAAGAAUGAUUUGGUAGAUAGAGGUUGGUGUGAUAGGUAGGUUAUAUCGUCCAACACGUUUCUCCUAGGAUAUAUAUAACCUAAAUUUCUACAAAUAAUCCUUAACUUAUGUCAUCCAACACUCAUGCAUGCUUCAAAAUAAAGGAGAAAAAUAAUCCAAAUUCUUCAUCUUUUUUCUCUUCUCAACCUUAUAGCUUAGCUUUCUUCUCAACUUUACAUGAUGUCCAUGACGAGAACAAUGACAUCCUAAAGAUGCAAUGAGACUAUGAAACUUUUCCUUGGUGCAAAGCAAUUCUUACGUAUCAAUUUCAGCUUUUGCUCAUGCCAAUAAACACGUAAUAUAUCUAUUUUUCAUUAAAUGGCAUUAUAUAUAUAAAUAGGUCAUACCCUACCAUAUAAGUCCCUUUAUUUUUAUUACCCAUGUGGAAACUAGUUUUGUUCCUAACCACAUAUUCUAUCUUCUUUGUAGUUCGUUGAAUAUGGUAGCAUUCACCAAGAUACUCAAGAAAUUUGACAAGGUAUAAUUCCAUCACACUCAUAAACAUGAUGCAACACUAUAUGUCUAUAUAAAACAAAAAUACCUAAUAUCACAUAAAAGUGAUUUACUUUUCUUUAGUUCUUCAAAUAAUACCAUUUUUAAAUGAUCCUUAGUCAUAUUAAUUAGAGAUUACGUUUAAAUUUAAAUUUAAGAGUGUUUUUGUUAGGAUACAAACAAAAUCUCAUAUUAGACAAAAUAAGAUAUAGACAUUAUGAAUUUAUAUACACAUAAAAUAUCUCCAUUAAUAAGAGGUUUUUUUUGGAGUGAUACCAAAAAUAAAUCUGUGAAAGUUUAAUCUAAAACUGACAAUAUCUUACCCAUGUAGAGAGGACGAACUAAUUUAUAUUUUAUUUUACUAAAUAUGGUAACAAAACAAGUGUGUUUUGUUUGUUCGUUUUUCAGUUACAUUUUGUGUAUGUAAACAUAGUUAAUGUUGUUGGUGUUACUAUAGUCUACGGUGGUACUCAACCUAGUUAUGGGAAGAGUAAAGAGAAAUGAAAGCACAUUAAAUUAGUAUUUUGUUACAUUAUUCAUGACGCUUCGUUUGAAACCAACUUGCAAUUGUGGGCUAUAUUCUUCACGUGAAGGUACUAAGAAAUAUAACAACUUAUCUCAAUAUAUUCAACUCCAUAUGUUACCAAACCUAAUUUCCAAACACAAAAACAGUGUUAUUCUUUCUUCUUUAUAGUUAUUGGCUCGUGUCCUUUUUUUUUAACUUAUAAAAGAGUGUAAAUAACAUACUUUUGACUGAAAUUUUAUAUAUAUUUAUAUGUAAUACAUAAAUGUAUUUUUUUAUGAAAAAAAAUAUUAAGAAUAGGUGAUAUUGAGAUUGAAAGUGUAUAGGUUUCCCAUGACAUGUUAUCAAUGAAAAUUUUAAUUCUUAUAACUAUAAUAAUACUUUGAUACAGUUUUGAUUUUUAACAUUCAUUUGACACAGUGUGGAAUCUAUCUUUACUAGCUUUACAGACUAUAUCAGUCCACAAUUUUAAAAUUUAAUCAUACUUAACACGUCAAAUGAAUGUUUUUUUCCACUUGGUAUGUCAAGUUAUCCUUACUCUUUUUAUAAUAAUUAUUUUGGAAAUGAUCUUAAUUAACUCUAUAACAUUGGCAUUUGAAAAGGUAUCUUGUCAAAAGGCUUCUACAAAUUAUUUGAAGGAAGUGAAGAGAUCCCAUUUCAUUAGUUCUGAUAAGGUAUGCUUUAUUUUCCCAUGAUAUAAACCCUAGGAAGGGAAUAAAAGAAAGAAAAAAAAUUAUCAAAUAUUAAUAUUUUUUUUAUUAUUUGAUCCUUUUCUCAAAUUGUUAGAGUGGAGAAUGUGAUACACUAUAGUACUAAUUAAUAAUUGGUGUUAUAUGCAAAUACUAUACUUUUGAGUAAAGGUUGUUAGACUAAUGGAUGAAGUGGAAUGCACAUUCACAAAGCACUUUACCAACAAUGAUAGGAAAAGAGCAAUGAAGUUUUUAAGACCUCAACAACAACCAAAAGCUUCUCAUAUGGUCACCUUCCUUGUUGGUAAUGCCUCUCUCUCAUUAACAACAACUUAUUAUAAAGAAAAAAUAUAUAUUAAAAUUUAUAUUUUAUUGACAAUUAAAAAUAUAUUUGAACAUAAUAUAAAAAUAUAAACAAAAAAAAAAUACUCUCCAUUAUUUUUUGCCUAAUGGUAGCUGCAUCACUUAAAAAUAAUUGAAUAGAUGCCAAAAUUUGAAGUGUAUUGCAAUUUGCAACCAGUGAGUGGCCACUAAGAGUGGUGAACCCCACUAAUAUAAUUUCAUUAAGUCAACUUUUUGUUUCCUCUUUUUCUAACAAUUCAUUGAUUUUUCUACGUUACUUCCACUGUAGGGUUGAGUACAGGUUGUUCUGUAUCCUUGUGUUGUGUAUACGUAAUCUUGGCUCAUUUGUGUGGUAUAUUCUCUCCCAACACAGAGCAAGCAUAUAUGGAUGCAGUUUACCCUGUUUCAAGGUGAUAAAAUGCAUGCUUUCUAUUCAAUUUACUUCAUAAAUGACCCUUGUUUACGUCAUUUUAACCAAAACUAUUCAACAUCCUUCUUCCUUUAUCUAAAUUAUUCAAACAUAAACAAUAAUAAAUGCUAAGAAUAUAAGAAAAUCUAAGUCUAACAUUAAAAAUAAGAAAAAUGAACAAUAUAAGGUAAAAGAUUCAUAAACUCAUUUGUAUAUGUCAUGACCAUAUGAGAUGAGUUUAAAUAUUAUUUACAAUUUUCAAGGAUGUCUUUUAAACCAAAAUUGUAACAGAGUUACACAUUCCAAAACAAAUAAUAUCUUAAUUAUAUAGGAAUUGACCUUAAUGAUAUCAUUUGGCUAGAAGAUAAGAACAUAGUGUGUAUUUUUACUUGAAAUGACUUAAGUCAUGUUACUUUAAGAAUAGGACUACUAAGUUAGUAACUACUUAAACAUCUAAGCUGAAAAAUUAAAGCAAGAAAACUUAUAUUACAAUGAUUUUUUGUGCAGCAUGUUUGUAUUACUAAGCCUACACCUGUUUAUGUAUGGAUGCAAUCUGUACAUGUGGAAGAGUACCAGAAUCAACCAUAAUUUCAUAUUUGAGUUUUCACCAAGCACAGCACUGAGACACAGAGAUGCAUUUCUGAUGUGCACCACUCUCAUGACAACUGUGUUUGGGGCAAUGGUGAUGCACCUGCUUCUAAGGGCUGCAGGUUUUUCUCCUAGCCAAGUUGAUGCUAUUCCAGGAAUUCUUUUUCUGGUUAGUCCAAUGGCCAUUGCUUUUCCAUGUUACUACGAGAAAAAUACCAUUCUUUUGCUUGAAACUCCAUACAGUGAUUUAUGAUAGAAUUUAUAUGUAGUGUUGCUCAAGUCAAAUCUUUGUGUGCUGAUUAUCAACUUCCAUUUUCAGUUCUUUGUAGGCCUUCUCAUUUGCCCAUUUGACAUUUUUUAUCGCCGUACUCGUUUUUGCUUCAUCCGUGUUAUUCGCAACAUAGCUUGCUCUCCAUUUUAUAAGGUAAACUUCUUCCAUGUAUGAGAAGAAAAUCUAGGCACCGAUAUGUGAAAGGAAUUUAUACUGUCAUUCAAUCAGAAGCAUAAUGUAUGUUAGACUUAUUGAACUUUUAGAAAAGUUAUACCUACCAUGUUAAAACUCUCUAUAUUAUAUAUAAGAGUUGGAUGCAUUGACAUGCCACAUUGCAUGUAGUCUAAGUGCAAGAUUGAGCUUGUAGUGUUUUCUAAUUUAGCUUAUUAUUCCUACAGGUUCUUCUGGUAGACUUUUUUAUGGCCGACCAACUAACUAGCCAGGUGAUCUUACUACAUAUCCCACAACAAGUUAAUUUUGUUUCCCUUUGCUUCUCAAAUAUGCAUACUAAUAAUCAUGAUUAAAUUGUCUGUUAUGGGUUUCAGAUUCCAUUGCUAAGGCAUUUGGAAACAACAGGUUGUCACACUUUUGCUAGAGUUUUCAAGUCACACCACCCAGAGACUUGCCAUUCUGGAAGGCUGUACGUAGAAAUAACCUAUCUCAUAUCAUUUUUGCCAUAUUGGUGGCGUGCAUUGCAGGUAUGCCCUUGGUGAUGCAUGAUAAUAUAUAGAAUUUGUAUCAAUUUGUUGGGAAUCUAAAGAUAAACAUAAGUCUAAGUUCUAUAUUGAGUAGAAUAAGAAAACUGAACAAUAUAAGGUAGAAGAUCUAUAAACUCAUUUUCUUAAGGUUUUGGGCUGAAAGUGGUCUCUAAUAUCUUACAUACAUUAGGUUCAGAUCUCAUGUGAUCCUCCUUGAAAGACUCAUCACAAUUUAUAAUGUGACAUGGCUGAAAUUUUUUAGACAGUUCAUUAUGUUGUGAACUAACACAUGGUACUUGAAUGCCACAUGACCAGUGUGCAAGAAGAUGGUUUGAUGACAGUGAUAUUAACCAUUUGGCCAACAUGGGGAAGUAUGUUUCAGCAAUGGUUGCAGCAGGAGCCAGAGUGACAUAUGGCAGGCAAGAUAAUAAUCUAUGGUUUGCUAUAGUCUUUAUCACUUCUGGGGUGGCCACAGUUUACCAAUUGUAUUGGGAUUUUGUCAAGGACUGGGGGGUUUUCAAUCCCAACUCCAAAAACCCUUGGCUAAGAGAUGAUCUAAUUCUGAAGAACAAAAGCAUAUACUACAUGUCUAUUGUAAGUACUCUUUCACCACUUUGUUGCAUAAAUGUUAGAAUCAUGUAUUAGUCUUUUGAUCACAAAGGGGCGUUGGAUUUCACUUUUCAGGCAUUGAAUGUUGUCCUGAGAGUGGCUUGGGUGGAGACUAUCACGCACCUAAAUGUAGGACCUGUUCAAAGAAGGCUACUAGACUUUUUUUUAGCUUCACUUGAGGUUAUUCGAAGAGGGCAUUGGAAUUUCUACAGGUACUUUCUCAAAAUGACUUUUUUGUUUGUUUUGUUUUAUCAUGAAAUGGUGAACAAAAUUCACUGAAUUUGACAAUUUCUGCAUGAACACUACAGAUUGGAGAAUGAACAUCUAAACAACGUAGGACAUUUCAGGGCAGUGAAAGCAGUGCCACUACCCUUUCGUGAUAUAGACUCAGACAACUGAAAUGAUUUUCUCACAGGUGUGCACAGAUUGUCCUGUGAAAGAGACUUGCAAUUGCCCUAAGGGAAUAAAAUUUUGAAGGUCACAUCCCUCACCGUGCAUUGGAUACCAAUUAAUUGAAGUAUCAAUGGAAAGUACAAACCAAUUUUAGUGCCAACAAAAAUGCAUAAAAGAUGGCAUUUUGUCUUGUGAAUUGGCUCUGACAGCUUUUGGAUUUCAUGUUCUAGAUCAGCAUCAUUGGUAACUUGUUGAUUUAGAAUGUGGGGUUGAAGAAGAUCAUGUAUCCAAUGUUUUGUAAAUUGCAAUUAAGAAAACUGGAACCGUUGAUUUAAUUUGUAGAAGUGAGUUGAAAAUAGUUAUCUAAUAAUCAAAUGAGAAUGGAAGUUUAACAGUUAAUAUAAAAUUUGAUCUUCUAAACACUUAUGCCAUAAGUCAAUGGUGUUCCUUUAUUGUUUCUGAGUCAAAAAGUGUUGGUUUCAUUCAUUCAUAAAAUGUAACAUUACGUUUUUAUAACUUACAUUUUUAAUGUGAAAUUUGUGACUGUUAAAAGUUCGAUCACAUUUAACACUAUAAAAAAAGUUCAAUCAAAAUUUAAAAUAAAAAUAAAAACACUAAAUACGUAAACAAGACCCUUAAAAUAAAAUAAAUAAAUACACAGUGCACUUGGUAAUGUUACAAUUUUGUAACCAACCAAAUAAAUGAUUUUAUUUAACAUCAACAUUUCACUCAAGUGCGAAGAAAAAAAUAUAUUCAAACUAAUCAGAACAAAAAGAAAAAAAAUAAUAAUCUCGUGAAAUCCUAAAUUUUAUUUACACAUCAUACCUUUUCCAAUAAGUGAAUUUAUAUACAGACUUGAAAAUGAAUAUUUAUUCGUGUGAUUACAAGAACAAGAUUGUGUCACCAUAUGUGAAAUGGCACUUCUGUUCUUGUACUUUAGAUUCCCCUUUUUUAUCAGGACUUCUGAGUGCCUUGGUGUAGCAUAUUCUCAACCAAAUGUAUCUGAAAUGCCAAGUUAAAUGAUUAAGGAUCAAUUUCAGCUCAUUCAGCAUGAUGCAUAUAAGCUUUUCAAUGGUCAUUUUAUGCAUAAAUAGAUUGAAUAUUGAAAUAUACAGAGUCAAGGAAUACUAUUGGCUUGACAUAUAUCAGUGACAAGUGGUCACCCUGGAAUUGCACCUAUUGCAUAAAAUACCAACACCAAAGCACCCAUAUCUAACAUAAUUAAUUCCCUCUAAAGUAUAACUUCAGUCCUCGGCAUACCAAAGAAAAGAAAAACAGCACACAAUGACAAAUUCUUAAGAAUUAAUCAUAACUAUCAAACUAUUAGAUGCCUCCACAUAGCAGGUCGAUCUCUUGAUAUGAGAAGAGCACGAGAGCCAAGAUAAUCAAAGGAAGGACAGUACAUAUCAUCUGGGCCAAUAACUUCUCUAAAACUUUGAGCACUUGAGUGAUCCGUGUUGAGAACCCUUAGUGCAUCAUCUUUGACAGCAUCAAACACAAAUAGUCCUUGACCACAAACACCCAUCGCAAAGUCAGAAUUACCCCAGACUUGGGAGAUUGCUGCAUGGUGUGAGUGUGCAUUGGAUUCUGGGAGAGGAUAGGUGGUGAACAGGCCUUGUCUGCGCAAUGAAAAUUGUUGCAGCAUUGUUGAUUGCUUCUUUCCCAUUGAGCUUGUGUUGGAGCAACCAAUGAAGACAGAAUCACCACGACAGAAAACUGACUGCACAUUCACACCAACUUUUGAUAUCCUUAGGCCCACACCAGACUUCUGGCGAAAGUCCAUGACAUUGAUAGAAUCUGAGGUGCAGAACACACCCUCGUUUCCUUCAGCCUCUGAUGAACUCAUUCUGAAAUGUUACAUUUCUAAACUUGGUUAAUGAUUGGGAAAAAUGCUAGCAAAAGUGCAUGAAUUUUGAACUACUAAAGAAAAUUCCUUUUUCCUCAGGGACUAAAAACCAAGCUCUUUAGGGACGUUUGCUAGCUCUUUAAUUUUCUGUUAUUUCAAUUUCUAAUUUCCAACAUAUCACAUUGUAAAAAAAAAUGUUUUCAAUUUCUCCUAUACAAAUAUUUAGAAACAGAAAACAGUAUAUAACUUUUUUGAAAUUAGAUGAGAAUGGAAGACAAAAAAGCAAUUAAAAUUCCCUUCUAUUUUCCCAAAAGUUAUCCAAUUAUAAUGAAGAAAAUUUAAUGCUCUUUCCAACAUUGAAUAAUGCUCUACAAAAUUUGAAGAACUAUCCAGAUAUUAUUUGAUUGGAGAACAUGACAUCAAGGAAACGAUGAAAUUGAUCUAAGUUUGGCAUCUUCCAGUUUCUUAACAAAUAACAAAAUGAAUUGCAACUAUCAGGCUAACACUGGAAUUUUGAUAUAAUGACAAGAUAGCUAAAACAUGUGCCGGUUUGUGUGCUAUCAGUAGAAAGAACGAAUACAGAAAGUAACUUAGAUAUAGUUUUCGUGAAUAAAAAGGCAGCACGCCACCGAGCUGUUAAGAGGCAAAUAAAUAAAAGAGUGGCCUCAGAAGACAGAAACAGAAUAUUUUAGAUAAAGACAAGAAGCAAGAAGUUAAGAUUAAAACAAACUCACCUUUUGCGAACCCCUCCACCCAAUUCUGCAUCAGUGUUGUUCACAUGGAGAGCAGAAACUUUUCGACCAUCCAAAGGAAUAGAGAACAGAGACUGAGGAGUAAGUGAGUUCACAUCCCACAAAGAAAUGGAUUCAGCUUCAGCUACCACUAUUUUCCCUCUGUUCCUCCACUGCAAAGGGCUGCAGUAAUCCAUGGCUAGAACAGGCUUCUCAACGUCCCAUUUCAUGAUUUGCUCCCCAUCACGAACAUCGAAAACUUUCACAGCUUUCUGUGAACUGGCAGUUGAGAUAAUGAGAGGUCCACAGGGCCUGUACCAACACUGCUUAGCUUCUGCCGCCACAAUGCCAGAGGUGGAAUUUCUUCUUUGCACAACAUUGUUAGGCAAGGGUCUAAGUGCAAUUCUUGAGGAGGUUGUUCCAGCAUCUACCUGCAAAGCUCGCACUUCUUUGGUGUAAAAGUCCCACGAGCAAAAUCCUGAAUCCAUAGUAUUGCCAGCAGAUGCAGCUACUACAAACCUUCCAGAGCAACCAUCAGAACCAGGGGCACGAAUUACCCAACAAUCUCUCCAUAUGUUGGGUGAAACUUCUGCAGGUGGCAUAUAUACAGCUUUUUCCUGAAAGAAUUAAGAAAAAAUAAUGCUUCUUUGUUCUUUAAACAAUUCCAAUGUUACUAUUUUUUUCUCGUUUCAAAAUCUCUUUUGGAGACCCUCAAGAAAUAUAGUACUAAAUGAUAAUCAACAAUCAUGUGGAUGACUGCCUCGGUAUUCAUUACUAUCUACGUUCAAAUAAAAAAGAACUUGAUGAGACAAACAAUUAAAGACACUUGCUGAAACUCUACGGGUCCAUAUGAACCAUUAAUUACGUUUUUCACCAUUAGAUCUAAACGUGGGUCAUUUUUCAACAUUGAGCACUAAUUAUAAUUUUUUUAACUAAUCAUUCAUUUCAAGCUUUUGCAUCAUUUCAAGCUUUUGCAUCAUUUCAAGCUUUUAAUAACUUUUUUUCGUAAGCACUUUAGGAAAGAGUUAGAAGUAAGCAUAUUAUUGUUUCAAAGUAAACUGAACCGACACAAACUGAAAAUUGAUAGCAUCACAUAAUGAGACAUAAAUAACCAAAGUGCAAAUAACCUACGACAGUAUUCACCGCUAUCUACGUUCAAAUCAAAAAUGAACUUGGGGAGACCAAAAUUAACAACACUAAAUUGAAAUUUUAAGAAGGUCAUUCAAUCCUCUCUUAGUAUCUUUAAUUGAGAAGAUUCUUAAUUUCAGAUCCUAUCACUAAAGUCCAAUAUAGAUGGCCACAAAAGCAAAAACAGGAAACUAUAAUCAACCAUGUAAUGAUCACCUACAUCUAUUUUGACCAUCAUUUCAUUCUCAACUAAAAAGAUCUACUCCUAAAACCAAAUCAAUGACACUUCUCCACAAUUUGACAUUCAGAAUCUGCAACAAAUGAAGAACGCAUACCUCACAAUUGGCAAUAUCAUAAUAGCUGCAAGAACCAUCGUGGUGAGUCAGGAGGACUGCUUCACCUUCCGCAACAAACCACCCACCACAAGCAACCUUGUUACCAAUCUCAUUCAGCCUAAAAUUGAAAGCCUCAUCCAUCUCCUCCACAACCGCUCCUUCCUUGUUCUCCUGAUCAUCAAACUCCUCAAGCUUCUCAUUCGCCGUGAGCAUCGUAUCAAUGCCGUUCCUCGGAUCACUGAAGCCCCCAUUCCCACCACCCUUUUCCUUCACUUCCUCCCCAGCAUUCACCUUAUCAAUAAAGGCCAAAAACUCAACCGCAACUGAGUUAUCUUCAACAGGGCUCAACACUUUCUCUUUUUCCAAACAAUGCUUAUCCUUAACACUCUCAGCAACCACUGUCCUCUCCCGAAGCAGUUUCUGGUGAGGGAAAAGACGCGCCUCGAGUUCCUCAUUUUUCAAUAUCGACCCUUGAACCAACUUCUUGUCUUCUUCGUGGGUGUCACCUUCACUGUCCUUAUUGGAAACAACAUGAACCAUGGCCUUCUCAAUUCCCGAGAUCUUGUCCUGAAUGUCGGAAAGAAUCACCUUGGAGGCAUCAGGGUUGUUCAUGUCCAACAUCUCCUUGGUCUUCUUUAUAUCCGAAGCUAUUCUCUUCACUUUGCCCUCAAGAAAAGCGAGCUUCUCGUGAAGCCUGCUAGGGUACUUCGCGUUGCUAUUGUUGCUACUUCCAUCGUUGGGUUCUUGGGAAAUGGUGGUGGUGGUGGAAAGUUUGAGCUUCUGGGCGUUGGAGGUAGAAAGUUUGGAUUUUUGUGUGGUGAGCUUGGGAGUGGGAUCACGGGUGGGCUUUUGGGAGGAGGCCCGGGAGAGAUCGGAGGGGCUUGAACUGCGGCCGCGAGGGAGGGUUUUGAGGGAAGAAGGGUUGGAGCGGGAGGUGGAGCGGCGAGGGUUGGAGUUUUCUUUGAGGAGAGAAGGGGAAGGGAAACGACGAGAGGCGGAGAUAGGACGGGGACGGACGGCGGCGGCGCCGUCGUCUCCGCUGCCGCGGCGAGUAGCCAUAUCUGUGUGGAAUAAAUCGAUAACAAAUUGAUCGGUCUGUUCUGCGGUGAGAGAGAGAGCGAAAAAGAAGAAAUUUGCAGAGUGAAUGGAUGAAUCGAAGGAAAUGGGUAGAAGGGUAAGCGGGAAAAACACUGCAAUUUUGAGUUUUGAAAUUUCUGGGCCGCGAAAUUGUUGCUUUUUCCCUUGCAAAGAACUAUAUAUUUUGUUUUAUUAUUAUUACUUGUAUUCUUGAUAAUAUUUAUAUAAAUGUGAGACAUCAAAAAGAUAAUAGGUUACUUCUACCAAAAUCUUUAAUUGAUAUCACAUUAAAUUAUUUAAUAAAAGUAACAUGUUAUUUUCUUUAGUAAAGGUUUUAUUUCAAUUAUGGAAUAGGUUUUGUAGGAAACUUGAUUAAAAGCCAUUUUCCCAAAAUCCUAGUUUAUUGAGAUUUUUUUUUUAAAAUAUAUCAAAUACAGAAAACCUAUUUUCCCAAAUCCAAAUUCGUAGAAACUAAAGGUUUCCCCUCUGUGAAAUGAUGCUUGAAUUCCUAGAAAUAUGAUUAAUUUUUUUUAGUUUGUAGGAAUAUAAUUUUCUAUCCUUUUUGUCCUUAUAAAAAAAUAAAUACUUAAGGAUUACAGAAAUUAUAUUAAAAAAUCAAAACUAAAAAGGAAAAGUUUCUUUAAAUAUGGGAAUAAAAUGAUUAGCUAUAAAAUAAAAUCAAAUGAGUAAAUUUGUUCUCUUUUUGCUAUAUUUAUGUUGUAUUUGGCAGGUGAAAAAUUAAAAAGAAGCAUGGUUAACGUUGUACUUGUACCUUCGGAGUAGAAGAAAUUAGGUGAAAAUUAUUAUAAAAACGAAAAAAUCUAAAUAAUUAUUCAUCGCUUAUUUCCGUACGUUGUAUAUUUGUCCAUUUUCUAUUUUUCUGUAAUCAAAUACAUUUAUCUUCCAUUUUAUUUAUUAUUUUUUCCUAUAUACUCUCGUAUUUAUUUAGUUUGUUUUUUCUAUUUUCGAAAAAUAACCUUCUUAUAUUUUUUAGUUUUUAAAUGUAGAAAUACUUGACUUUAUCUUAUUAUAUCAUAAGUAAUAAUGACUUGUAUCUAUUAAUUAAUUAAUUAAUUCGGGUCAUAAUCUAUUUAAUAUUGCUUUAAAUAUAGAAUAAACUAUAUUAAUAGAAUAUAUAUAUAUAUAUAAAACUUGAACUCGAAAUUUAUAUAUUAUUAACUUGUUAAAGUAUAAAUAAUAUAACUCAUUGACCUAUUGUUUUGAGGUUUUUGGUUGAAUAUAGAGUUAGUCUUUUUUGUGGAUUUAACUUAGUUUUGUUGUUGUUGAAUCUUUUGGUUGAAUUUUCUCUUAAGAGACCAUUUAACAAUAUUAAAGUUGAAUGUUUGUUUUGAUGAACAACUUAAAUGAGUAUACUAUAAUUUUUAUGUCAAAAGUCUUCUUAACAAAAGUUCAGGAAAAAAAAUAGUCGUGGUUUGAAAUGUUUAUCCUCGAAGGAAUAUACUAAUAUGAAGAUAUUUACACUUAAAUAAGAGAUUGUUAAGAAUCAAACUAUGAGUCUCUCUUAUUGAGUAUGAAUGGAAAAGUUUAACAACAUAUAAUAAAAAGCAUAAAUACAUUGUCUUAAAAUUUUGUAUUAAAGGUUGUAUCAUUCUUUUAUGUGGAUUUGUCUUAGGUUUCAUUAUUUUUGUUGAAUUACUUUUAAAUAUUGAAAGACGUAUAAAUAUGAAAAAAUGUUCCAAAGAGUUUUAACAUGAAAAUUUGUUUAUGGAAGUAUAUGAUGUGAUUCCUAAUCAAGAAAAAUUGAUGUUACAAGAAGAUAAAGUUACUACAAAAGUUAAAAAAGAGAAUGCAAAAGGGAUUAAAAGGAGAUUCUAAAAAAAUAUUUGGUUUAAUACCUAUUUUGGUCCCUCCUUUGGGAGGGUUUGUUCAAAGUGGUCCCUCCUUUUUUCAAAAGUUCACUUUAGUCUUAUCUUUCGCAAAAACUGUUCAAGUUGGUCCUUUUUGGUAACGGCGUUAAGUUCACUAACGGCAGAGCUGCCAGGUGUGUAAUGUUUGAUGAUGUGGCAUUGUAAUUUGUUUUAAAAAAAAUAUAUAAUGAUGGCGUGUAAAUGAAUAUAAUUAAGGUUGGAUUAAAAAAUGGAGGGACCACCAGAGAGUUUGCCUCCCGGCGUUGCCGCCUCCGAAAGUCUCUCGCCGAAAUAACCAUCUCUCCCGGCUUCCAUCUUCCUUGCCAGAAACGCAAAUCUCCAGUGCAGAGUCGUCCUCCCAACGGAUUAACACGCCUCCACCACCACUCUCUCAAUCUCCCAAACACAACACCACUACCAUCGUUCUCGUUUAUCACCUAAAACUCAGACAAACUCCGCCAUGACGCAGAAUGCCACCCAGUCCACCAUCGCAUCAUCAUCGUGUCGCCAUUGCUUUUGCUUGUUCAAGCCACCGAACACAACAAAACCUCCUCCAUGGCAUCUGCAGAAUUACCAUCUUCAUCACGCGAAGCUCCUCACGUCUAAACCUGAAACGCAGAAAACCAGAAACCAAACAAAACCCAGAAACGUGAAACCAUCUCCCUCCUCGCAUUCUCAUUGUGAGAGCAAAACCCUAAACGCAACAUUCUCCAAUCUGCGAGCAGCGCCUUUGCAUAGGGAAGAUUUCAAAUCCCAAUUGAAAUCGUAAAUUUGGGUCAAAAAUUGGGAACUUAGGGGUUUGAUUUUAGGGUUUUUGAAAUUGGAAAUUUUUCUUUUGGGAUUUUUAUUCUUGAUUUUUCUGGUGUUGCGAUUGAAGGGGUUGAGAUUUUCAUUUUUAGAUUGGAUUUUUGUGAUGGUUUCUACGGCGGCUGACGGUAGUGGCCAUGAGGGUGGCGGCACAAGGAAGAAGAAAGGUUUCUGCAUUUGAUUUUUUAGAAUGGAAAUUCCCAAUUUGAGAGUAAUUAGGGAUAGUCAUAAUUAAUUACCCCAAAUGUGUGAGAGUAAUUAGGGAUAGUCAUAAUUAAUUACCCCAAAUGUGUGUUGAGAGAGUAAUUAGGGAUAGUCAGAAUUAAUUCCCAACCCUAAUUAUAUUUAUUUACACAUCAUCAUUAUAUAUAUUUUUUAAAACAAAUUACAAUGCCACAUCAUCAAACAUUACACAUCUGGCAGCUCUGCCGUUAGUGAACUUAACGCCGUUACCAAAAAGGACCAACUUGAACAGUUUUUGCGAAAGGUAGGACUAAAGUGAACUUUUGAAAAAAAGAGGGACCACUUUGAACAAACCCUCCCAAAGGAGGGACCAAAAUAGAUAUUAAACCAAAAAUAUUUCUUUCAAUUCUUUUGAAAAAAUAAAUGUAGAAAAUAUGUUUUAUUUAUUUCAACUAGAAUUUUAAGACACUUAGUUUAUACAUAAGGUUGACUUGCAAAAAUAAAAUCCUUCCUUCAGAAAACUAAAUAAAACCUACAUUCUUUAUAUUUUAUGCAUGUGUCUGGUUUGUAAAAGUGUAUGCUAUUGAAAAAUGACAUUCAAGGAUAAUUUCUCAUGAUUACAGUGUGUCCAUAUAUAUAUAGAGCAGUAGAGAAAAUAUAUCUCUAGAAACAAAAACUGCCCAAUCCCUAUAAUUAAGCUAAUCCCUAUAACUAAUCCUGGAAAUUAGCUAAUGCAAUAAAUCAACCUAUAUUUGGUAAUUUUCUAUACAGUGAAUCAAUUAAAAAUCUUAACAUUCCCCCUCAAGUUGGUACAUAAAUGUCAGUCAAGCCCAACUUGCUUAGAAAUUUGGAGAACACUAGUUUUAGAACUGCUUUAGUGAGAAUAUCAGCCAACUAAUCUUCUGUUCUGAUCUUAGGCAACUCUAAAAUCUUCCUAUCCAACUUUUCCUUGAUGAAAAAUCUGUCUACUUCAACAUACUUUGUGCGAUCAUGUUGUACUAGAUUAUGGGCAAUAUCACAUGCAGCUUUGUUGUCACAAUACAACUGGAUUGGUUGCCUAGGAGGGUAUCCCAAAUCUUCCAACAGUAGCUUUAACCACAAUGCUUCACAUAGACCAAGUGCUAUACCUCUAAAUUCAGCUUCUGCACUUGAGUGGGCAACCACGUUUUGUUUUUUGCUCCUCCAAGUUACAAGGUUUCCUCCUACAAAAGUGAAAUAACCUGAUGUAGACCUCUUGUCAUCUAUGGCUCCAGCCUAAUCUGCAUCUGUAUAUACAUUUAUUUCUUGAUAAUCGGUGUGUUUAGUGAACAAAAUACCCCUUCCAGGUGCAAAUUUCAAAUACCUUAAGAUGUGCAUGACAACAUUCAUAUGUUUUUCUCCUGGGUUAUGCAUGUACUGACUAACAACACUUAAUGCAUAAGUAAGAUCUCUUCUGGUAUGGGCCAAGUACAUUAAUCUUCCUACAAGCCUUUGGUAUCUUCCUUUGUCAACCGGUAUUUGAUUUGGCUCAAGACACAAUUUUAAUCCUUCUUCAAUAGGAGUAGUAGCAGGAUGACACUCUUCCAUGCCUGUUUCUCGCAAAAGAUCUAGGAUAUAUUUUCUUUGGGAGAGAAAUAGUCCUGCUUUUGAUUUGGAAACUUCUAUCCCAAGAAAAUAUUUCAGAGGACCAAGAUCUUUCAUUUCAAAUUUUCCAAAUAAAUAGCUUUGUAGAGCUUUCUGUUCUUCAGGGUCAUUUCCAGUAACAAUCAUAUCAUCAACAUAUAUGAUAAGAGCAGUGAUCUUACCAUGUUGUUUCUUUAAAAACAAAGUAUGAUCGGAAUUGCUCUGAUGAUAGCCAAAAACAGUCAUUGCCUUUGAAAAUCUUCCAAACCAUGCCCUUGGAGAUUGCUUCAAGUCAUACAAUGAUUUCUUUAAUUACACACCUUUUGACUAUGCUUCUUUGGAACCAUAUAUCCUAGUGGUAGUUCCAUAUAAACUUCUUCAGAUAAUUCUCCAUGGAGGAAGGCGUUCUUUACAUCAAACUGUUGUAACGGCCAAUAUAAGUUUACUGCUAGAGACAACAAUACUCUAACUAUGUUGAGUUUAGCCACAUGAGCAAAUGUCUUCGUAUAGUCUACCCCGUAAGUUUGAGUGUAGCCCUUUGCCACUAACCCUCCUUUUAACCUUUCAAUUGUGCCAUCUGCUUUGUACUUUGUAGCAUAAAUCCAUCGACAUCCAACUGGUUUUUUUCCUGGUGGGCAGUUAACAAGUUCCCAUGUUUCAUUUUGUUGCAAGGCUUUCAUUUCCUCAUUCGUCGCAUUUUUCCAUCGUGGAUCAGCCAAGGCUUCUUGUACAUUGUUAGGAAUAGCAACAGUAGAUAAUUGAUUUACAAAUGACUUAUUUGAUUCAGACAAACGGUGGUAGGAAACAAAAUUAUUCAUGGGGUAUCUAACCUUACUAGAAAGAGUGGGCUCAUAAGUGAGUUUAGGAAUACCUCUAGUGUGUCAUUCUGGUAGUUGCCUUUUUGUUGGCACCAGAUUAAGAGUCCAUGAAGCAGAUGAUUGGUUUGGUGUGCCAAUAGGAGGAGUCAUACCAAGUUCGGUCACCACCUCAUAAUGUAAAGUCCCAUUUAUUUCAUUUUCCAUCUCAUAUGUACAACUUGAUUAUAAGUUAUCUGCACAAGAAUUAUCAUUGCUGCAAUUUACCUCCAAAUGGUCUUUCUCAAGAUAUACAUAUUCUUGGCAAUUAUAGUCUAGAGUCUGUAGUUCUUUAUGGUUCUCCUCGUGAAGUGCAGAUUCCGAAGAGAAAUACAUUAUUUGUUCAUGGAAAACAACAUUCAUGCUUAUAAACAUCCGUUUAGUUGGAGGAUUGUAACACCGAUACCCUUUUUGGUGUAUAACAUAUCCAAGAAACACACAUCGUAAAGCCCAAGGUGUCAAUUUGUUUGGGUUCUUUUGAAUAUGCACGAAUGCUACACAACCAAAAACACGAGGAGGCAAAUUUGUACUACCAAGGGCAACCACUUUGUUCAGGAGAGUCUGCAGUGGCGUUUGAAACUCAUUAGAGCUAGAAGGGAUACGAUUUAUGACAUAUGUUGCCAUUGUAAGAGCCUCUCCCCAAUAAGAUAAAGGCAUAUGGGCCUUUAAUAAUAAAGAACGUACCACCUCUAGUAAGUGUCGAUUUUUCCGUUCGGUAACACCAUUUUUGUUGCGGUGUAUUAGGACACGUAGUUUGAUGAAUAAUCCCAUGUACUUCCAAGUACCUUUUGAGGUCAAGGCUUUGGUAUUCACCACCAUUGUCACUACGAAGAACCUGAACUUUUGCAUUGUAUUGGGUUUCAAUCAUUUUGUGAAACUUUUGAAAUAUCAAGUUCACUUCUCCUUUGGACUUCAUUAACCAUAACCAAGUCAUUCUAGUGCAGUCAUCUAUGAAAGUAACAAACCAACGUGAUCCUCUUAUAGUAGAAAUCUUAGAAGGACCCCAAACAUCUGAGUGUAUAAGCAUAAAAGAAACAAUACUUUUAUUCAAACUGAGUGGAAAAGGAACACGAUGACUUUUUGCUUAUUCACAUACAUCACAAUGAAAAACAGAGAUAUCAAUCUUUGCAAAUAAUAAAGGAAACAAUUUUUUCAAGUAACUAAAUGAAGCAUGUCCGAGGCGACGAUGCCAUAGCCAAAUUUCAGUUUCUUCUUUCUGUUUGGUAGAACUCUUCAUGGUCAAAGCGCUUUCUAACUUCCCAGAAUCUUUUGACACCAAGUCCAAAUAGUAUAAUCUUCCUUGUUUAACACCAUGACCAAUCGUUUGUCUGGUCUGAAUGUCCUUAAACACACAAAAAUUAGGCCAAAAAAUAACAAUACAAUUUAGGGAUGUAGUAAUUUGUGAUACAAACAAAAGGUUAUAUUCAAGAGAUGGAAGACCUAAAACAGAAUCCAAAGUGAAAUUAUUAGUUAGAGUUAAGGAUCCUUUUCCAAUAACAGAGGUUGUGUCACCAUUGGCAAUGGAAAUCAAUUCUUUUAAGGAUGGUUUCAUGGUGGAAAUUUGUCUAGAAUCAAAAGUCAUAUGAUCAGUAGCACCUGAAUCAAUUAUCCAUGUGCUAUUAGUAAUAGGUACAAAAAACUCACCACCAUUACCUCUCAUUGCCAUCAAAGCAAUGGAAUCUUUGGAGGCUUCAUCUAUGUUUUUUGCCUCAACAACUGUUGCAGCUAUAUUCUUUCUUCAUUGAUCCCGACUGUGAUCCCACCAUUCUGGAUACCCAUUAAGUUCAAAACAACGACUCUUAGUGUGUCCUUGCUGAUUGCAGUGAGUGCAUUUGAACUUAGACUUAUCUAUAUUUGAGUUCGCUUUAGGAUGAUUUCCUUUUGUUUGACCUUGCCAGUUUCUGUUUCGAGCUAUCAUGGUUGUGCUGUCAGAACUUUCUGAUUCACCUUUUAAAGUCGCUUGACGUAUUGCCUCCCGACGAAUCAAUGCAUAAGAAUUCUCCAACUCUGGGACAUGUUCUUUACGUAAAAUCUCUCUACGAAUUUGUUCAAACUCACCAUCUAAUCCCGCAAGGAAUAUAUGUACCCUUAGUCGUCCAAUUGAUUUCUUGUACGCAGUGAUAUCUUCAGGAUCUUUCAUGACCACCUUAUCACGAUGAUCCAAUUCCUGAAAAAUUUCCAUCAAUUCUCCAUAAUAUUCCGAGAGGGGCCUACCAUUUUGUUUUGCAAUAAAGGCCUUUUGAUUCAAAGUAAAUACUUGUAACUCAUCACUUCCAUCAUAAAAUGCCUUAAAUAAUGCACUCCAAAUUUCAUGGGUUGUGGCUAAGCGUAAGUAAUGCUUCACAAUUUCUGGGCUCAUGGACAACAACAACCACCUCUUCACCUUUUGAUUUUCUGCAUACCAUUUUUCAUAACCCGGAUCCUCCUCUGCAGGUUGUUUCUCCUUGCCUCGAAUAUAUGAGAGUUUCUCCCUCUCUGCAAUAUGCAUUUCCAUUAUUUGUGACCAUAUGUCGUAAUUUGUUUCGCUAAGAACGAUCCCGACAUUGAAAGCACUUUCAGAUUAAAUAAUGACAGGAGUCACUACAGACCCUGAUUUGGUUGUAGAGUUUUUAUCAGACAUUUUAUGGGUUCAGAGGGUGUUUUAAAAAAAAAAGUGAAGGUUAAGAAAAUGGUGGAUCACACUUAAGGAGUCCAGCUCGUGAUACCAUAUUGAAAAAUGACAUUCAAGGAUAAUUUCUCAUGAUUACAGUGUGCCCAUACAUGUAGAACAGAAAAUAUAUCUCUAGAAACAAAAACUGCCCAAUCCCUAUAAUUAAGCUAAUCCCUAUAACUAAUCCUGGAAAUUAGCUAAUGCAAUAAAUCAAACUAUAUUUGGUAAUUUUCUAUAUAGUCAAUCAAUUAGAAAUCUUAACAUAUGCAUCAAACCAAAUAAGUCUUAAAUCCUUCGUAUUCUCUGGUUAGCAUAUAUUAACAUAUAUCCAUCAAUUUGUAACAUAACUAGUACAUGGAAAUGAUUUUUUUUUUUUUGAAUUUUUUCAGGAAUUGAAAGUUCUUUUUGAGGUAUAAUCCAUAUUCCAUGAAUCUUAAGUUUUUCAAAUUAAAGUGGUGUUUCUCCCUUUACACUUAUCUUUCUCUUAGAAGGUAGAAUGCUUCUUCAUCUCUAAUAUCUUUCCCUUUUUCUACUUUGUUAUUUUUGAUUUGUUUUCAUUGUUCAUACAUUCUGAGUUGAAACAUUUUAAUAAAGAAUAUGCAGUUUUGCUAACAAAAUGAAUUUCUUGUUCUUGAUUUUAGUGCAUGGAUUCAUAUGUUUCUUCAUUUUAAUAAGUCUAAACUCGAUAUAAAUACUUUAUAACAAAUUAAAUGUUGUUUUGACUAAAUGAAUUCAGAUUCAAAUAAUUCAUAAUUGAUUGAAAAUCAUGUUUGAUAUAUUAUAACUUUAAAACAUACAAAUAAGGACUCAUCCAUAUGGCUUCCACUCUAAAGGGUGAUAGAGUAUAAUAGAGUCAAUGCCACAAAUAACCUUGUAUGCUUUAGCUAUUGGAAGUCUUAUGUUUGUCUUUUUACUUCUGGUUAACUUGACAUUGCAUCUGUAGUUGAAAUUUUGGAAAGAUAUUAGAAUAAUCUUGGUGUUGAUCAUUGAAAAACUACAAAAAGGACAAUGAAUUAACUUUAAGGAACAAAUAAUUACAUGAUUAUCUAAAGAAAAAUUGAUCAUUUGAAGGUGAUAGAUUUAUCUAAUUUAGACGUCUCUCAUAUACCAAUAAAUCUAGUGACAUUUUUACUUAACAGAGUUAUAUCAAUAAGAAAUCCUUGAGUUGUACUUCCACAAUGGAAGUCCAAUUCAUGUUUUUGUUGAAGAGUUUCAUAUUUGUUAUUCAAAUGGACUUAACUUCUCAGGGUUCUAUUUUUUAUGACAUCCAAACAAGCUGAGGUGUGGUACAUGUUGUCUUAGUUAAGAGUCUAGAAUAAUUGAGUUUAUAUAUGUUGUGAGUAAUAAAAGUAUAUUAUCAUUAAAACCAAUUAAAUCACAACGUAAUCCAUUAGAAAUAGUUAUGGUGCGAACUAGACCAUUUUUCAAAUAUACAAGUUUAUUGAUAAAAUUGUCACAUUAAUUGAUUAGAUUAUUAAUGUAAUCAAUUAUGUUAAAUAUGAGGAAUGAACCUUGGUUAUGAAAUUAGAUUAGUCGAUUAAAUUAAAGACAUAAUCGAUUAAUCUUAUAUGAAAACUAUUUUUGCAUAAAACUCAACUUUCUUACUCAUUUAAGGGAAUGAUUUUGGAAAUAAAAAAUUUAGAGAAAGAGAUAUUUGAGAGUUUUUGGAGAAAUUAGUUUGAAUUUUCAAGUUUUCAUAAUGAUUCAAAGAAGACCGAAUUGACUCUAAGGUUCUCUUACUUGAAUUGGGAUUGAUAUGUAAAAUUUGCAUAUCUUACAUAUGUAUUUUUUUCAUAUUCUUUUGUAAUUUUUUUUUUUUUGUAUUUCCUUCACUGUUUGAGUGACAGGAUAACGCAAUUGUAUUAACAUUAGUGUUGUGUGUAAUUCUUGAAAGAUAUAUUUCAAGUUUAUUAUGUUCUAGAGUUUAAGAUUAUUAAGGUGUAUUUGUGAUAUUGUAAACUCUUGUUAAAGUAAGAUAUUAGCUCAGAUUGCUAUAAAUUGAAUAGAUUCUUAAAGAAUCGAAUAAAUGUAAAAUUUUGUGUUUUUCUAUUCUUUCAUCAUCUUCUUAUAUCUUAAUAAUUAUAAAGGUUUCAAAACUAAACAUUCUACAUAUAUGUUGUUAAUUGAUAAACUAGUUUUUGUAAAAUUGUUUUUCAAAACUAAAAAUAAUUAUUUUUUUAGAAAAAACAAUUUAUCUCCUUUUUAUAUUAGAAAAUAUUAGUUGAAUUUAUUUUAUUAGUGAACCGUUAAAGUUUCACCAUGACAACUAUAAUAUUUUAUUGUAGUUGUGGCUAAGAAAAAAAAAUGGAAGUGAAAGUAUACCAAUAUCAAAUAUUUAAUUAUGAAAUAAUAUGUUAAGAACAAAAAGAGGUUGAUGAGUUGAUAACAAUUUAUCUUUUAACUAAAGCCAUACUAUUAAAAUAUUUAAAGGAUAAUGUGAUAUAAAUAGAACUUGGUUACAUAAUCUCAAAUUUUUGAAAGUAAUUCCAAUGAAGCUUUUAUUCAAUUUUUGUACACAUGUAUAUUUGUUGUGAAUAUCAUUUAGUUUUGACCAACAAUAACCAUAAACAUGACUUCAUUCAUUACAUUGUCAUAUUAAAUAUAAAACUUGAGAAAUUUAUUAUGUUAUAAUAUACUCACUAGAAAAAGAACCAUCACCAUAAUUCACAAAAUUAAGCUAACUCCUUAAGUUGAUAGUCUUAGUGCAAGAAUGUAACAAACUUUAUUAUUAAAAAGUAAUAAACAUAUGUUUAAAUAGAGUUCAAAUAUUUUGAAUUAUAUGUUCAAAUUUUAAUGACCAUCAUGAUAAGGACAAUGGUUACCAAAUGAUACUUACUUGAUAAUAAUACUUUGAUAAUAUUUUUUUUACAACAUUUUAAUAUUAUCUACUUGUCAUUCUAUGAUUGAUUCAUGUUAGUGUUUAUGAUUAUUAUUAUUAAUUAUGGAAUAAUUUUGAACCAAUUACGGAAUAACAUGUAGAUAAUAUUAAAAUAUUGUCCAAAUAUCAUCAUUCUUACUAAAUACAUCUAUGAUAAAUGCUAAGACUGCCAUAGAGUUUUAAUUAUUUGUUCCUAAGUAUUAUGAUUAUUGGUAAGUUUUAUUUGUGUUACAAGUACACAUUAUAUUCUUGCUUGAAUGCUAAUUUUUUAUUAAAUUAUUUAUUUUACAACUUUAACAAUUUGAUUUUUCUUUUAAUUCACAUUAAAUUGUGAUAGUGAAUAAAUGAAACAUAAUACAUUAAUUUCAGUAAAUAAAUUAAAAAAGAAAAGAGGAAAUCGUGAAGAUAAAAGGAAUUGAAGUUGAAAUCACACUUCAAUAAAAGAAUUGCAUAAAAACCUGAAAUAAUAAUUUACAAAUUGCAAAACAGCAUAUCAAUCUUUCUCUUCUCUCUCUCUCUCUCCCUCCCUAAACUCUUUCUUCACAAAUUACUUUCACUCAGCCCAAUUUAAACCCUAAUGGGCUCAAGGGGCCCACUUUCAGAACCAGACCCAAAAUCUGAAAUCGAAAUGUCACUCAGAGAGUCUCCUUUCGACGAUCUUGCCGACGAUUUCUUCACGGAACCGUCCUCCAAGUUCUUUGAUUUCCGCCGGCUGCUUCUCGGCGGCAUAUCCUGAGCGGAAGGCGAUUCACCGCCUGGGUUGGACCCGCGCCGGUGUCGCCGGUGGCGGGAGCCGCCGGUGGAAGAGUCUUGGUUUGUGGUCUCUGCGGAGGGGUCGGAGGACCGAUGACUGCGGCGCGUGCUCUUCGGUCUAGGCGCGUUGUUCUCCGUCUCUAUGGAUUGGUGACGGGACUUGGGAAUGAGGUGGUGGCGGGACUUCGAAUGUCUCGAACUUUUCUCGCGUUCACCUGAAUUUGAACGAAUAAAUUGCAGAAAGAUUUUAGGUCAAAAUUAAUUUUAUCUAAACAGCAUUAUAAAGGUAUUUAGUUUUUGUUUCUCUCCCUUUCUUGCACAUGUUCUGUGUAAAUAUAUCUUCUGCACAUAAUUAUGAAAAGCUUAUAGAUUUUGAAUGCUCACAGUGUUUUCAUUAAAGUUAUGUUUUUUAUUUUUAAAUAUUGAGAGUGGAGAAUGAAAAUUUUCAUUAUUAGAUGAAAGUGUCAACAAACAUGUAAAAUAUACUAAUUAGAGAGAUAUGUUCAAACCUUCUGGAUUAGGGUUCAUCACUGAUGAGGUUUCUUUAGUUCCUCCUUUGAAUUCUGUCAUCUGCAUAAGAUUUUAAAUUGCACACAGACUAAUGUUUCUUAAUUAAGGAAGAGUUAUCACCUAAACAAAAACUGUUAGAGUAGAGAAAGAGAAUAGUACCCAGCUUGGUGCAUUUGCUGAUGGAUCAUCUGAUCCAAUAUGUGCCACAUGUUUUACAUCAGUUGGUAACCCAAUUUGAAACUGUUCUUCUUUCUCGUCUGCAAAAUAGGUAUCACCAUAAUUUGUAGUUUUAAAUUUUCAAAUUCUGAGCAUAAUUUUUCAGUUUUCUCAUCAGCAAGCAAAAAGAUGCAACAAAACUAAACAAGUUUGAGAAAAAUAAAGCAUUUUUAUUUGCAUAAAACCCUCUAAAGAAAGCAUUUCUGUUCUAUCAGUUUUCUACCUUCCCUGCUUUGGAAAUGCUUGUGUUUGUUCUUCUCUUUAUGUAUAUAUAUAUUCUUAAAGAAAAAUGUUUCAAAAAAUUCACUAAGAAAAAUGUAGUUUUGAUUUUAGUUUCUGUGUGGGAAUGUAGAAUGCACACUUACCAAAUAUCUGGGAAAUGUAUUUAAAUCCUUUAAGGAAGCCUUUCACCUUGGUCGACAUUAAUCAAUGUAAAUAAAGUUUGUUGAUAUCUACACCAAAAAUCUUUCACUUAAAAUAUUGGUGCUGAUUGUGUUGAAUAUUCAAUGGAAUAAGCUAAAACCCUUCUGAAAAGCAAAGAAAAGAAAAGAAAAAAGUGAGUAAUUAAACUGAUAACAUAAUAAGAAACCUUCCCUCUAACAACUGAUAUAAUUUUGAUGACAUGUUUGAGAAAGUUUAUUUGUCUUACGGUAAGAAAAGAAAUAGGUGUAGUUAUUAUCAAGAAGACCUACCUGUCUACUUUGAGAAGAAAAGUUUACAUAAAUCAUAUUAUAUGUAUGAGUUUAGAUAAGGUGGUAAUAUUGUUGAAAUCAGAAAAGCUGAAGCACGAAGAAGUGAGGAAGCAUUGAGAUACAGACAUGAAUGGAUGUAAAGUUUGAAGGUAAGUGUCAUGCAGAGAAAAAGAUAUGCAUGGUUGGUUCGUGUUGGUGGUUGUGUGGGAGAAAUAACCAACCAUGAAGAGGGAGUCUUCAGGGUGGCAUAAUCUCAAAAGUGAAAACAAAAACAACAUUAGUUUUUGAUCAACCACCCUCUUCCUCAAAUCAAAACCAGUAGCUCAACGUCUUUUUAGGUGAAAAUCCAGCUAUGUAGCACUUCAUUUUUCAGGUGCAAAACCUAUUUUUGGGACUCCUAUCCUUUCUAAAUCAAAGGUUCACAAUUCAUUCUAUUAAUAAGACAAAUGUUUUAUCCUUUUCAACUUUUUAUGAAUUGUUUAUUUUUAGAAUGAUUAUAUUUUAACACUUUCAUUUUCUUCUCAACUUACACUUUUAUAAAUUAUUAUUUUAUUAUGAUUUUUAUUUUGUAUUUAUUAUUUUUAUUAUUAAUAUAGUAUUUUGUUAUACAAAAUAAGGAGGUAAAUAAAAUAUUGUAUAUGUAUCAUUCAACGAAAUAUGGUGCAAGAUUGUGAGUCUUGAUGUAAACAUUUCAAAACAAAAAUAAGAAAAUGGGGACCCUUAGCUUUCUCACUCAUAAAUGGAGAAUUUGUUUUCAUAGUAUUUCAUACACAUUUUUAAAAUUUAAAAGUUUGAAUUAAAAAAAAAAGGAAAAAAAAUUCCAAGUUACGAGAAAUGUAUGUAUAGUGAUGUAAAAAUAAAAUAAAAUUAAAUAUUACAUUUUCAAAGUAUAUAAAUAUUCGUUCCCAAUUCUAAUUUGAAUAUAAAAUUGAAAAGAAAUCAAGAAUGAUUAUUGUCAUUAUUUAAAGAUGUAAAUUUAGUAAUUAUAUAUAUUCAUAUAUUUAUUGGAAAACACCAAUUGGUAUAAGAAUUGAAGUAUAACUUUGUAAAACCUACACGUGAUCAAGAAAAUUAACAUUUUAUACAAAGAGAAAUUUUUUUAACAAGAUAAUUUUGAAAAAAAUAACAAUUUAAUAAACUUUAUCAAUCGAAAAAGUGUUAAAAAGUUAUUGUAAGAAAGUGUUGAUUAUAUAUUAUCAUAUAAAAAUAAAUUAUAAUUUAUCAUCAUCAUUAUUAUCAAUAAAAAUACAUUUAUUAAAAAUUAUAUAGUCAUUAUAUAAUGUUAUUAAUUAUUAUUUUAUGAGUAAGUUAUAUUUGUAUUCUUUGAUUUUUUAUUUUUUUUUUUAUAUUAUACAACACUUUUAUUUUUAUUCAUUUUGGUUAAUGUUUUGCAUUAUAAACCCUUACAAAAGACACAGGGUCUAACGAGCUUUUGAUUGGAUAAUAAGAUAUAAAUGUAAUAAUUCAAUCGAAUCGUGACUCACAAAGAUAUGUGCAUAUCUCAAAAACCACAAAUUAUCUGUAAUCUAUUCUUCUUGUUACGAAUAAAAUAGUAUUAUGAAUAUCAAUGUUUCCUUUAUACUGUAUUUCAGAAAACAAGUUCCUAAACAACCAUUAACCUUAGCAUUAACCUUUGUAAUAAACUAACUAAUAGGGACCGACUUUGAUAUCACAAAGAUACAGUGUAAGAUCUUAAUAGAGUACUUAGCAGAGAAGGAUGAAAGUCAGUGCUUGUAUAUUGUGCUAGUAAAAUUGAUCAGAGCAUGUAAUCGAAUUUCUGACCAUGAAUCUGUGGUUCAUGAUGCUUUCAUGUCAUCCAAGCCAAAACGAGCCUGUUCAAAAAGAUAAGUUUGAUGAGUUCAUGGGUGAAAGGUUUAAAAUGGCUAACAUAGAUUGCUUCCCACCUCCACCCCUCAAAAUUUUCUUCUCUAAAUAUAUAGCUUUUGCAUUGGUUUGAAAAUUGUAUACUAGCUUUCCAAAUAUAAAUCAUCUUACUUCAAACUUAAUUUUCCUCAAAAUGAAUUCUUCAGAAUCAAGAUAAUCUAAAAGAAAUGUCAUUCUACAUGCAUAAAAAUGAUCCAAUAUAUCUUAUUUCUUACCAGAAACUUGUGAUUUUCUUCGAGUAGAGGAGAAAAGGUUGUACAAAACUUUCCAAUGUCAGCAUUGAUAUCGCCGGUGCCUCCUAUCACCUCCAUGAACUUUUUCCUACUAGGAGCAAGCUUCAUGACAACCUGUAGGUCAAACAUGUAGUACACAGCCCAAAACCAUAUUCAGUUUCAUACAAUGUACAGUCAGUUCCUAGCUAAGACAAAAGAACAGUGGAAAAAGACAAAAUAAAACAAAAGAAAAAACACAAGACAAACAAACAACGACAGACACAUAGAUAAGGUAAAAUUGCAUGGUAUUUAAAUGCUUUAAUCUAAAUUACAUUGACUAAUGUAAAGUGCGAAGAAACUAGAAGAUGCAAGCUUAUUUAUUGCUGGAGUAAUGUUUUACAUGAUCACGACAUCAUUCGGCUCAUUUACUUUGAAUUAGAAACCUUAAUGCUACAUGUCUGAAUACUGGAAAUUAGGACAUAUAAAGUAAUAAUAUUGAAACUUACACUAUUUCAUACAACAUUGAAUAUCAAGCACUGUCGUGAUAAAGUGCAGAGGUAGUAGAAAAUUGACAACACAAUUAUGCAAAUGGUAAACUCAACAGCAUUUUCUAGGAAGACUAUUUCAAUGCCCAGCCAUUGACAUUCCAGAGUAGCAAGAUGAUUUAUAGACCUCUGAUAAGUCAAUAAUAUUUUUUUUUAUGAUAACAUUCAACAUUAUAUCUACAAAGAAUUAAACAUAAGAUUACAGAGAAGCUUGAGCUAGCAAGCCAGCCAUGCCACUUCUUCAGAGUCUUGUUAUAGGAAUCUGUACAAGCUUGGUACAUUGUCCAAUCUUCAUGCUCGACUAAGUUUCGGAACAAAGCCACCAAGAAAUCCAUUGCCCUAAAGAUUUUACCAGUUAGUGAAAUAAAUAUAGCAUAAAUAAUAUUACAAGGAUAAAUAUGGCAAUGACACUUACUACUCAUUAGCUAAGAUCUCAGACAACCAAAUAAAAAUAAUUAUCACAUUAGUAUCUCAACAACUUGAGAAAGAUAAGCAGAACUAGCAGAAGCUUCAUAACAGUCUUAAGAAAUAAAAGAUAAAAUCUAAUUGAACCAAAUUUAAAAUAUUCAUCAUAGUUUCAUACAAUGACAACACAAGUUGUCUCCUGAUAUGUUGGAGAAAGCUAAAUGACCAUCAUUGUACUGCGAAAAAAAAUCAAGCCUACACAACAGACAUUUAGAUCUAAAUCCUUUUUAUGGUUAUCCCUACGAUUCCCCUUUUAUUGUCCUCAGCCUCUAUUUAUUGGGCUUUCUAUUGGUCUUCAUGUUAUCAGCUCUUCUCACCGGAGCUUCUAUUGGUCUAUUUCUCACAUGGUCAAGCAAUCUUAAGAAAAAAUUAUCAUCUUUUUCCUCACCGCCUACUUUCUCCCCAAUAUUCUUUCCUAAUUUUAAGCUUUCUUGUAUGUCCACUUGUCUCUCUUGCAAGGCAGUAAUGUUCUUGCAAACAGCUAUUUUUAUUGCUAUAAGGUAAAGUUUUCCAUUGAGCUUUGUUAGAAUGUACGAAACUAUCUUAUAAUAUUGUAAUCAUAUACUAAUAUGUUUAGAGCGUGGUAGUAAGUAUCGCAUGAUGUAGGAUUCAUAUAGCACAAUAUGAUACAAUUCACAACCCCAUGAUACAAAUUGCUGGAAAACUCAUUUAUGCUCCCGAAUCAGUGCUGUAUCAUUAGUAUCACACUCGGAAUCACAAUUGCAGCCAGAACUGCAGGUGAAACCAAAUUUGGGUCUCACUCCUUUAGAUCGAAGGCCUUGCAUACUAAGAUUCUUCUUAUACGUGCUUUCGUGGAAGUCUCACCUAUCAAGGAAGUCUGACUAAGAAAGUUUAUCCCUGCGGGAAGCAUUAGCACCUCAGCUCAGUACGAAUACAAGUAAAGCAGCAACCAUAGUCUGCAGUAAUCAUGCAGUAGCUACCAACAGUACUUAUUUUUUGGAUGACUAUAGUGCAAAGUUUGUUUGGUAUCGUAUAGCUACUGUUAUAAGAAUUUUAAGCACAGCAACAACAGUGUUUCUUAGAGGCUGUGUUACUGAAACUGUGCAAGAAAUACACUACAAUCACUCUUUUUGACUAUGCCAUUGCUAUUAAUGAUAUCUUUGCAUGUUUUUAUGUCUUAUAUGUAAGUAUAUGGUAAAUUUUUUAAAUGUUUAUGAAUAUUACUAUUCACUAUAUGAAAUGAUUUACAUUUAAAAUACAAGCUCUCCAAUACAUAAUUUGUCUAUCUAGAUUCAACUAACAUGACUUAAAGUACCACAGAAUUAUUCAGAGUAUCUAACAUAUAAGAGGUGACGAAACAAAAUAUCAAGCCUAAUAUGGGAUGCAGACCAUAAUGAGUUAGGUCAAAAACCACAAUUCCAUUUAUGUCUCCAAAAUGGAGCAUAAACCCAGUGAAAACCUGAAUAACUUUUUAUCUUUCAGCAGUUUUUUAUCAGAUCAGGGUAAAGAGGGUCCACGUUUACUUUUGACUUAACAUAAACUCAAGAUCUACUUGUUACCAGUUUGGUUCAAAAUAGUCUGGUUAGUUGACUCAUUUUGUAAACUCUAUAGAAUAUGAAGAUUGCAUCUUAGAAUAUUUUAUGUUAUCCUUGAGAUUAAUUCUUAGGGUUAUUUUAUCUAUUUUAUUGGUUUCCAUGUUUCCUAAUAUCAUUAUUUGUUUAAUAUCUAGUUAAGAUUAAUAUUAGUAUAAGUAACUUCAGGAUUUAUGGACAACAUCAUCACCUUGUAAGUUUGUAACACAUCACAAUAUCAAGACGUAUUUUUCACCUUCUUCUAUUCUUUUCCUUACUCAGUACCUUAGCUCACAAAAUUUCAGUAAGCUUGAUAAGCUUCUUUGGUCACAAUAGACCUAAAGCAUUUUUUGAAUUCAUCCACCCACUUUAAAUUUUGUAAUUUACAUCACCCCUUGUUUUUUCCACCAGUUUGUGGAGAAAAAACCAAGGUAACUAAACCAUGUAGCUUGUGGUAUGAAAUGACCUCCAAUUUUCACCUCAAAGCUUGUUCUAUUAUUUGUCCUGCUGAAUCACCAUUCCACGUGUUCAAUUUUACUUCAUGAAAAUCACGUGACUCCAAACCUGUGGCCUUCAAUACUAGUUUUCCAUUUAUUUCAAACAGACUAGAUACGAGUUAUGGUUAUAAUCAUUUAGAAGUCUUAAAAGGUAAACUUUAAGUUUAAUUUAACUUUACAAAACCAGAUUGUUAGGUGAGGUUUGUAACACUUAUAUAUUGUAAAUUCAUCUUAUUUUUAGUCUACGUGGGAUCUUCUACAAGAAAAAAGAGACAGUGGUCUGUGCUCAUCCACAACAUAAGUUACAUACGAGCAUCAAGGCAAAUUUGUAAUGUUAAACAUACUUGUAUCUGCACAUGCAUGUAUUCUGUAUACACACAUUGAUGUUUAAUGUUUCUAUACAACAUCUAUUAAUUAUGGCCAGUUUCAAGUCACAUUUAGAUCCAAAUUUUGGAAAGCAUGCCUCAAGGGACUCUUGAGAGUUGAGACUUCUUCCAGAAAUUUGUUUCUAAGUAUAGAGGCAUUUUUUUUAUCUAAUCUUUAACCUGUUGGCUAGUUACAUGAUCCAAUGUAUGAUUGAAAUAAAAAAAAUUAACCCUAUUACAAAUUUUAGAUAAAGUUCUCCAAAAAAACAGAGUUAGGAAUGUCAUACCAACAUGAAAACACAAGUUAAAUGCAACUGCAUGAUGUUCAUUACCUUGUCAGCCAAAGAAGCCCAUUGGUGCAACUAGAUGAUGAUUUAGCAGUUUUAGUUUCGACCUCGACCUGUACCAAACUGUACAGGUAGUUGAAUCUGGAUGGAUUGGAGGAAUACAUAGUUUCCAAUCUCUGCCGAGAAAAUCAGAGAGGUAUAGAAUUAGAACAAAUCAUAUGAUCCCAAGGCUUAGAUAAUGUACACACUUAUAAUUAUUAAAAUUUCAAGUUAAAAACACUCUAUGUAAAUCAGAUAGAAACCCACAAAUUAAAACAAAAUGAAUCAUAAUCAAAAACCAUUGGAUACAUAUAGCCAUAUCAUGUUACCACAAGAAGAAGUGAAGAAUAAUAUAUUCAAAGCUGCAACAAAUCAUCUGACAAAGUAUACAAUAUCAUUAGAGUCGGAUAGAAGAGUUCAGAAAAACAUACCGAUACGUUGCCACCUAUGUCAGAUUUAACAAGGGCCAAAGCAGUUCCAAACUUAUCUGUUACAAGAAAAGUGUUAGCUCUUUUAUCCAUGGCACAUGUAUCCCUUUAUGCUUAAACAAGCACUAAACCAGGAUGCAAUGGUUCACAAUCUAUUGGUGUUUAAUAUGCCGCAGUUGUAGAGUUAGUAGGACUGUAAGAUAAAAAUUACUUCAGCACAUUAGUAGUCAUGGAUCUAGAAUAUAGAUACCUAAAAGACCAAGAAAACAAAAUUAAAAGCAAUCAAAACAUUUUACACAUUUGUAUUGAUGAGAAAAAGAAAACUCUGGAUUAAUGCUAACAGAACAGGAUCAACAAAAGUACACCAUGGAAAAGCUCACAUUAUGCAUCUUACCUGGCUCAAAGAGGUGAUAAUUCAUUUAAAUUUAGCGGAUAUAGUGUUAUUUAAUACACUACAGGUUAAAAAAAAAAGGAUAAUUGGAUUAUCCCUAACCAUUAAAAAGGACAAAAUAUAUAUGGAGGAAACACUCUCGCAAAAUGUUAGCAUCUAUUAUUUCUUUCUUUUAAGAGCUAAUAACAAGGUAAUGAACAAGACACACCUAUUACUGGCAAUAUGUGCUUGCACACUUCCAAGAAAUGCUUGCUCAAAAUUUCUCCAUGCUCAGACUUUACAUGCUCAAGUUCUUUCAGUGCAGGAGCGAAAACAGUCCCCUCCAUUUUUGGGCUUUGCUGCACAUGACAAGACCAAACAAAUACACUAACAUCAGCUUAACAGAUAUAAAAUCCACAAAUAUAUAAUUCAAAUUCACGUAUAGAAAUAUCACCUUUGUUAUGCCAAGCAGAAAAAUAUAAGAAUACGAAGCUAAGAAAGAAAGACUCAGAACAUCAACGGGAAGAAUGCAGAUUUUUUACAGGUAGAAUGUGACAUUAGUCAUUGUUUCAACAGUUACAUAAUCUAUCCUUGUAGCGAAAUUUCUAAACUAGGAAAGUGAACAAAAUUAACAUCAUAUAGUACGAAUAGAGUUAGUCAUUGGAAUGUGACAUUAGUCAUUGGUUCAACAGAUACAUAAUCUAUCCUUGUAGCGAAAUAUCCAAACUAGGAAAGUGAACAAAAAUUCAAAUUAACAUCAUAUUGUACGAAUAUAAUUUUUACUCUAUUUUGAUAAAUUGUAAACUAGGAAAAAAAUUGGAUUUCUUUAAAAGUAAUACUGAAAAAUAUAAGAAAAAAACAACAUUCCAAUCACUCUAAAAAUGGUGGUUCUGAAGAACCAAAGUUUAACUUAAUUUCACUUAUAACACAUCAGUAGCUUAAACUUUGCUUACAACUAGUGAUUCUAAAGCUUAUAAGAUCAUCACAAUUUGCUUUCCUACCACACAUAGUAUGCAGCCAACUGAGAAUAGGAAAUUUCAACGAACUAAGUUUAGAUCCUUGGAUUUUUGGAUGAGACACCCUUUGAGACGCUCAAUAAAAAAUAGACAACCUCACUGAACAAUUGCAUGCAAAAAAAAAAAAUAACAGCAGAUCUUGCUCCUGCUAGAUUUCCCUAAGAGCAGAAAAUAGCAGGGACUUGCCCAGAAAUUGAAACUGAGUUCAGAAAAAAAGAAGAAUUUGGAAUACCCAAUUUCUAGUUUUCCAAAAGAAAGAAAAUUUAGACUUCAUUUGUUUCAAGAAACAAUGGAACACGCAUUGAUCCGUGAACAAUUAGAGAAGAGAUGAUGUGCAUACAAAGGAGGAAUCGAAGGGACUGUGAUCCAAACAGCAAUUGCGUUGGAGUUAAGAGAUGGGAACAAGAUUCCAAGAUUUUUCUCCUUCUCCCUCCUUCGAUGCUUAAUUUUUAAGUAUAUAUAUAUAUAUAUAUACGCGGAAACAAGGGAACUGAACUGCAGUCUGAAACAACGAAAAAUUAUUAUAAAUUUUAAAAUGUUACCAUAAAAUAAUUAUCGAUAAGUUUUAAAUGAACUGCUGUAAAAAGAGUUCAAUAUUUAUUUAUUUGUGGUAGUAAAUAAAAUAUGUGUUCAACGAUUAAGAACGAAAUUUAAAAAUUUAAUUAAAGGCUUGUUUUACAUUUAUUAUGUGAAAUUAUAAUUAUUUUUUUAUUUUGGUUUUUAAAUUUAAAGAAUGAAAAAAUAUAAUAUUUUUAUCUGAAGAUAAUAAUAUUUUUGAUUAUGAUAAAAAGUAUUCCAAAAUGAUAUUUGAAUUGAGAUAUAUCAAGUGAUGAAUAAUUUAAAAGUUUAUAAUAAAGUUAGAAAGAUUAUAUUUUUUUCAUUGAUUUAUCAAAGUUUAAAAUAAACAAAUGAUUUAAUUAUUUGCUUAAUUGUUAUUUUAGUUGAAAAGUUUCAAGUUGGUAUUCAUUUAUUUUUUUUUCAAUUUAAUAAAGUGUUUUAAUUAGGUAUUAAAAUAAUUAUGUGUUUUUUUAUUCAUUUCUUUAACUUUUAAUGAUUAAUUUUUUUUCUUUUUUUAUUCACAUGUUAAGUUACUGGUGUGACACGUGAUAUUACUAAUAUUAAAUAAAAAUGUCACGUAUCAAUGUGAAUAUAAAGUAAUUUUAUUAUGUCACGUAUCAAUGUGAAUAUAAUAAAGUAAUUUUAUUUUUGUUUAUAUAUAUAUAUAUAUAUAUAUAUAUAUAUAUAUAUAUAUAUAUAUAUAUAUUCUAAUUUCAAAAUAGAUUUAUCAUUUGUAUAGAUGAUAUUCUGAUACUUUUAUUAAAAAUGAAUUUUUAACAUUACAUUAUUAUAUAUUAUUAAUUAUUAUAUAUUAUUAAUCAUAAGCUUGUUUUACAUUUACUAAAUUUGCAUGUCAAAUUGAAAUUCAUUCUCAUUAUUAUUUUUAAUACAUUUUGAUUUUGAAACUUAAAAGAACAAAUAAUAUAAUCUUUUUAACACGACAUUAAUUUUUUGAGCUUGAUGAAUUAUGUUUUAAAUUAACAUUUAAAUAUAAAUUUUGAUAUAUUUUGAUUUUCAAACUUAAAUAUAUGUCUUUUAACAUGAAGUUAAUUUUUUAAGCUUGUUAAAUCGCGCUCUAAAUUGAUAUUUGAAUCCGAAACAUAUGAAACCAUGUAAGCUAUUAAAAAAUCAUCCUAAAAAGUGGAUUAAAAAUACUAUAUUUAUUCCUUUCUAAAAUUUGAAAACUUAUUUAUCAAAAUUUGAAACAUAAAUAAAUUAUAAUUUCUUAUCAAAGUUUAGGAAUUAAAAAAAUAUUUAUUCUCUUAUAUUCCAACUAAAGCUUUUGACAUGUUAGAGUACAAAGAAAAAAAAAAUAAAAAGAUAUUUGUUGUUCUCAUUUUUAAAUAUAAAUAUAGUAUGUUGCGCAUGCGAAUUUAUUAAAUUAUUAUACAGGAUAGGAAAUUUGAUUAAAAAUAUUUAUUUUAGAAAUAUAAAAUUAAAAAUAAUACAAAUUAAAUAUUAAAGAAAAAAAUCAUGAUUGUUGUCUAAAUAAUUAAGAAUCAGGAGAUCUCUAUUUAACUAUCACUUAUGUAUAGAAAGUUUUUCUAUAAUUUAGUUGAAAUUGAGUGUAUUUUAAAAUUUAAGUUUGAUUAAUAUUCAAUAAAUCUGAGUAUUUUUAAUUAAUUUUUAUUAAAAAAUUUGAAGUUUUUUUUUUUAUAAUUUAUCAUAUAAUUUUUUUUUUCUGUUUUAGAAAUGCUCACCAAAGAAAUAACAAAAAAUUUUCAUUACAAUCAAUUAUAUCAAUCAAUAACUAUUCUUACUUUCUUCAAUAUCUAAACUAUAAAUUAAGAUCAUCAAACAUUAUCUAAUUACACUAAUUAGUCUACUUCAUCUCUAAUGUAUGUAAAAGGUUAAUGAAACAUAAAAAAUGUCCAUAUUAAAGGUUUUACAAAAACUCAUAAGAUCAAAUUUAAUAAAAUAUUCACAAUAAGAAAAAGUUCAAAUUUAUUAGAACAAAUUUCUCAAUUAACAUAAUAAUAAGAUAAGAUAUUAUAAAAUAAAUAAGUGUAUUUUGAAGAUUUAUCAAAUAUGAUCAAUCUAUUAAAUAAAAUCCAAACAAAAUUAUCUUCUCUUCCCGCAGUCUCAAUAUUACAUGACAUAGUAUUAUAUAUAAUUACCAAAAUCCCCCUAUAAGCAUUCAUGUCUUAAAUCAAUUAUGAUAGUGACCUAAUCCAUUAAAAUCAUUCAUAUCUUAAAUUCAGUAAUUGAAAAAAAGACUUAAAUAUAAUUCUGGUUCCAAUUUUCGUCUACUUUAUUCAAUUUUGUCCUCAUUUUAUUUGGAUGUUUAAUAAAAUUCUAAUUUUUGCCAAUUUGUUCUUUUAUAACAAGGUUUAAAUUGUUAAUGAAAAAUGAAUAAUGUGUAUCAUGUAACAGUUUAUAUUUUGAAAAAUUAUUUAUUUAUUUUCAUUAAAAAAUGUUAUUUACGUAUCAAGUCAAGAUUAUAUCUAAAUAAUACUAGUUGCGAAGAAGUUAAGAGAGAUUUAUGUAUUUCCCUUUCAUUAAAAUUGAAAAAUAAUACUAGAUAAAUUAAUUAUAGUAAAUAUUCUCACCAAAAUCCUAUGAAUAUUCCUAUAAUAAAUAUAAUGUUAUUCUAUAAUAAAUACAUUAAUGAACCUAAUUACCAAACUUCGUCACUAAUUAUAUUUAAACCAAAACUAAAUUAACCUUUAUUAAUAGUCAGAACAAUGUUAACCUUAACUAAUAAUAAAAACUUAAUCCACCUUACUAAUUAAAACUAAAAACUAAAUAACAAGUAUAAUUUUAAGAUUAUAACAAAUACUAAAUUUAAAUAGGUAAAAAUAUCUUGUCCACAAAGGACAUUUUUCUUAAUUGUCCUUUUGCUUAAGAUUUCAUUGUCAGAAAAAGUUUCAACAUAUAAUAGGAUUUUUGUGAUAUACUUCAUGUCAUUCAGAUAAAAGGAAAUUGUUGUAAUUAUAUACUUAUUCUCUUUUUUAUACCUUUAAAUGUAUUAAAAAUUAAUAAAUGCUAAAGAAAAAUUGAUAUUAUCCACGAUCGAAAUCUAUUGAUAAAUUGAAAUUAUUGACGAUUUAUUAAUGGUAGAAAAAUUGUUGAUAAAUUUAUCCACGAAAUUUUUGUUUCGUUGUUAAUCAUCGAUGGAUUUCUCUGUUAGUAAAUUCUUUGAUAAUUAUUGACGGAUUUUUUCAUUGGUGAAUUCGUAGGUAAUUAUUGACAAAAAAACUUAAUAGGUAAAUUUUGUCGGUAAUUAGUGAUAAAAAAUUCAUUGGUAAAAUUUAUUGGUAAUUGUCAAUGGAAUUUUCUGUCGGUAAAUAUUGCAAUCUAGUUUAUCUUCUUCCCCUUCUUAUUCUUCUUCUUCUUUCUUUCAUUUUUACUAAUUCAGAAGAAUAAACACAUUUCAAACAAAAUAUCUUCAAUCCAAAUUACAAACUUUGAUAAAAUUUUGGAUAAAAAAAUUAAAUUUCAUGCCAAACAGAGGUGUUGCAUAGUGGGAAACUGUUGGCUUUGGUCGGCUUGAGUGGACAAUAGUUGCAUUGCACAAUGGUGGCAGUGCUUCGAGUGUGAAAGAGGAAGAAAAGAGGCAUUAUCCCUCCCCUGCGCGUGUCAGAGAAGAAGAAGAUGAAGUGGAAGACCUUAAUGACAUCGGUGUAGGUGGAGACAACGACCUAGCUGAACGAGGAUGGAGACGCAUCAAAGAAACUUGUAGCUGCGGUGGCCUGAGCUGAGAUGGAGAAGUGGAGAAAUGCAGAGGCUACAUCAUGUAAAUAAAAUAAAGACCUGCGAGAGAAAGAGAGAGUGAAAUAAAUAAUUCUCUCGUGGAUAGAGGGAAAAAUUGGAGGAAAAUUCUCACUCUUUUUACCAACGAAACUUUUUGUCGAUAAUUCAUAUUUCAUUUAUCGAAAGUUUUAUUGACAAAUGUUUUUGUUGGUAAGUAAAAUAUGCAUUACCGACAAAUUUUUUUCGAUGAGUUAAAUAUGAAUUAUUGACGGAUUUUUCGAUGAAAAAAUUCAUCAAUAAGUGAAAAAAUGAGAGAGAAAAUUCUCACUCUUCUUACUGAUAAAUUUUUCCAUUGGUCAUGCAUAUCUCAGAUUUUUUCAUCGGUAAUUAAAAUAUGCAUUAUCAACAUAUUUUGCCGUUGAGAUAAUGAAUCUGUUGAUAAAAUUAGUUGAUAAAUUAAUUCACAAAACUUAUCAAUAAAAUUUGUCAAUAAUUCAAAUUUAUCAACAUAUUUAUUUUCGUACAUAAAAUUUCAUCAAUAAUUUUGUCAAUAAAAUCUUUACCUCUUAUAAAGUUUUAACUGUGGCUAGCUUUUAAAGUACUGCUAUUUGAUUCAAAUUAGUAAAUAAAAUAAUUUGAAAAAAAGUAAAAGAAAAUAUAUUACAUUUUUAAAUAUAAAGAUAUUGAGAUGAAAAUAUGUAAAUUUGAAAGGAAAAUGACAUUUUAAUACCAUUUUUUUGAUAUCAUUUUGACAUUGCACACGUGUCAAAAUGUGGUUGAACGAUUUCAAAUUAAAAAAAAAACUUUGGUUUUUCUCUUCCAAAUAUAUCCUUACCUUAACUUUUUUAAUUUAAAAUCGUCCAACCACAUUUUGACACGUGUGCAGUGUCAAAAUGGUGUGAAAAAAUGAUGUUAAAAUUUCAUUAUCCAAGUACCACUCAUUGAACACCUUAAUUAUUCACUUCCUGCACCCUUUUGUACUUCACGCAUCCCUAAUUUAUAAAUUACUUGAGUCAAUAGUAAAGUGAACCAUAAUCCUCUCUUUAUAGAUAUUAAUUUAUAAAGUGAACCCUGAUUUAUACACGUGUAGGAAGAAAAACAGGGAAGUGCAGGAAGAAUCACCUGGACAUUCACAUACUUGAAAUCUUUGCAGAACCCAACACCACAGUUUUAAUAAGAUUUAGAAUUAAGCAUACAAAUUACAUGAAGAUAGAAAGAAUGAAUCACUUACAGAAAAGGAAAAGAAAGAAGCAUCCAAUAAUCCUAAUGUUACAUAUUAAAGAGAAAGAAACACAUAUUAUGAUGUUUUUUAACAUCUGAUCAUACGGAUAAAGAAGGUAAGGUGAUUCAUGAGAGUGGCAAAAUGUCUUUAAGUUCUGGCCAACCUUCAACGAUAGGAAUCACAAAAUCCAUAAGUGUGUCCUGACUUCCAUGUGGGUCGACUUUCAUACGCACAUACUCGUCUCCUUUGAAAAGGUAAACUUCAUUCUCCAAAUGAGAAGAAAAACACGUAUCAAUUCCAUUUUCAAAGAUCGUACCUUUCAAAACAGGGAACCCUUCGCUGAUCCCAUAAAAGCGCUGAGUAAGUUUCUUGGUAUCAUAAUUAAUGCGAGCAUACUGCUUUCCCUUGAAUAUGUAAACUUCUUUGUCUCUGGUUGACCUAAAUGCACCAUCCACACCGUCAGCAAACCACGUGUUUUUAAGGUCGGGAAACAUUUCAUCGAUUGUGGUAGGACCUACGAGGAUCCUGUCGUUUCCUGUGUUCGGAGCAUAGUCUAUGUAGGCACAGUUAUUGUACGAGAAGAUAUAUGCUUCACUGCCUUCAGUGUUGAAAGAACAGUCUAUUCCUUGUUCUGCAAAUGGCGUUCCUGCAAGUGAUGUAAAACCAGUACUAACCAAUUCAAGAGGAGUCAGAAUUUCAUCACCUAAUUCUCCGGGAGUGUAAUACAGCCUCAUAUACUUGUUUUUCAUGAAGAAAUAGACUUGGAAUGGCUUUGAUGAAGGGAAUGCGGCAUUGAUAUAGACCUUGCCUGACAUUUUUCUUAACACAAGAAGAAGAAGGAGUAAGAGAAAAAAAUAGAUAGAUAGAUUUAGUUUGCUUAUUUACGUUCAUCCCAAGCCACCUAUUUAUACUGUUAUGAAAACGGAUCCUCAACCUUUUUCAUUUCUUUUCUUUACAUUUUCUUCACUCUAUACACACAUGUAGAAUUAAAAAGAUCUUGAUAUUUUUUUUAAGGUAUCAAAAUUAUCAUUUUUGUAUGGACGUAAUAAAACACAUACUGAUAAGAUCAGACAUGCAAAAAACGUAAUAAAAUUGUAAGGAAAUCAAAUUACAAAUUCUAAAACGUGAUAACAUUUGUUUAUGUGGUCCAAUUUCUUAGCUUUUUUUAAGUGUCGCUCGUCCCUUUGUUUAUGUGGUCCAAAUUCUAAAACGUGAUAACAUUUGUUUAUGUCGGCGACGUUCUUGGCUGGUGAAAGGAAGGCGCGACGGGAGAAAGGGAUUGUCGGAGAUUGAAGGAAGAGACCUUUUUCUCUUUUUCUUUUUCGUGCAUAUCUUUAGGAUUUUAGGGUUACGGAGAAGGAAAGGGUUUCCACUCCUCACGUUUUCAAUCGGAGAAGAAAUGGGAUUUGUCCAGUUUGCCCUCUAAAUUCAUUUUUUAAUACAAAAAUCAAUUCAUACUGAGUUUAGUACACGUCAAUUAAAAACUGAGUUUAACGUGGCACAUCAAUUAGAUACUAAUGCCGUUGGAUCCAAUUUAAUAAUAGACUUCUAAUUGUUAUAAUUUUUACAAAAUUAGGAUCCAAUUGAGAAACUAAAAAAUAAUGGGACGAAAUUGAAAUUUUGCUCAAAAACAAAGACUUUCUGAAUGAUUAAACCUAAAAACAUUAAUUAUGAUUAAAUCCAGUAAUUAAAAAAAGAUUUAAAUCCAAUAAUUCUAGUUCCAAUUUUCAUUUACUUUGUUUAAUUUGGUCUUCAUUUUAUUCGGAUGUUUAAUAAGAUUCUAAUUUUCGUCAAUUUCUUUUUGUAAUAACAUUUAAAUGGUUAAUGAAAAAUAAAUAACGUGUAUCAUGUUAGUUUAUAUUUUUUUAAAUUUUUUAUUUUUUAUUUAAAAAAAUUAUUUACUAUCAACUCAACAUUAUAUCUAAAUAAUACUAGUUGCCCAUAAGUUAAGUUACGAGAGACUUAUGUACUUCCCUUUCGUUAAAAUUGAAAAAUAAUACUAGAUAAAUUAAUUAUAAUAAAUAUUCUCACCAAAAUCCUAUGAAUAUUCCUAUAAUAAAUAUAAUAUUAUUCCAUAAUAAAUACAUUAAUGAACUUAAUUACCAAAGUUCAUCACUAAUUAUAUUUAAACCAAAACUAAAUUAACCUUUACUAAUAGUCAGAACUAUGUUAGCCUUAACUAAUAAUAAAAAAAAAUUAAUCCAACUUACUAAUUAAAACUAAAAACUAAAUAACAAUUAUAAUUUUAAAAUACUAAAUUUUAAUAGGUAAAAAUAUCUUGUCCACAAAGGACAACUUUUUUUUUUUUUAAAUUGUCCUUGCUUAAGAGUUCAUUGUCAGAAAAAGCUUCAACAUAUAACAGGAGUUUUGUGAUAUACUUAUUUGGAUAAAAGGAUAUUGUAUGUAAUUAUAUACUUAUUCUCUUUUUUAUACCUUUAAAUGUAUUAGAAAUUAAUAAAUACUAUAAGAAAAAUUAACGAUCAAAAUUUGUCGAUAAAUUUAAAUUAUUUGCAGUUUAUUAAUGAUAAAAAAGUUGUUGAUAAAUUUAUCGAUGCAAUCUUUGUUUUGCUACUAAUUAUCAAUUUCUAUCGGUAAAUUCAUUCAUAAUUACUGAUAGAUUUUUUUGUUGGUAAAUCUGUCGGUAAUUAUUGACAAAAAAAUUAGUAGGGAAAUUUCAUCGGUAAUUAGUGAUGAAAAAAUCUGUUGGUAAAAUUUUUCGGUAAUUAUUAAUGGAAUUUUCUAUCAACAAAAAUCGCGAUCUGUUUCAUCUUCUUUUCCUCUUUCAUUCUCAUUCUUCUUUCUUUCAUUUUUACCAAUUCAGAAGAAUGAACACAUUUCAAACAAAAUAUCUUCAAUCCAAAUUACAAGCAUUGAUAAAAUUUUGGAGAAAAAAUUAAGGUUCAUGCCAAACAGAGGCGUUGCACGAUUGGGAAAACGUUGGCUUUGGUUGGGCUUGGAGGACAACAGUUGCAUUGCACGACGAUGACAAUGCUUAGAGUGUGGAAGAGUAAGAAAAAAGACAUUGUCCCUCCCCUAUGUGUGUUAGAGAAUAAGAGGAUGGAGUGGAAGAUCUCAAUGACGUCGAUGUAGGUGAACACAAUGACCUACACUAGUAAAAAAGGAGGCUUUUAACGCGCUACAUAGGCCUCGGUUAUUACAAAACCAGAACAUAUAAAAAUGCAGUGGCGUUUAUGUAAAUAUUGAAACAUUAUAUGCCUCGGUUGGCGUCUACCUGAGGCCGUAGGCACUUUCUUCUUCGGUUAAGCUGUAGCCUGAGGCAUAUAACUUUAAUUUUAAAUUUUUUUUAAGCCUUUAGACACCGGUUUUUCUUUUAACCAGGUCAGUAGCCCUUUGUUAGGUCUGAGAAAACUUAAAAGUUACUUUCUUCCUCGUGCUCUGGUUUCUUCCUUUCUCUCUCACAUUUUCUUUUUCUCCGUUGGUGCCUCCUUGCUGCCGCCGCUGCUGCCUCUCUGGUGCUGCCGUUGCUGCCUCCCUGGUGCCGCCGUUGCUGCCUCCGGUGCUUCGUCCAAGGAGUCCACAGUGACGCCUCCCCCGCCGCUUCUCGUCGCUCCUUCGUCGCGUGCUCGCCCCUCUGUCGCGUGCUUGCCCCUCUUCGUCGCUCCUUCUAUCGCGUUUCUCUCACUGCGUCAAAGGCCGCGGCGCCACAGUUCAUCCACGCCGGCGUCUCCAUUGGGUUUGGUCUUCCUUGCGGUGACACAAAUUGGGGGUUUCCUGUGUAGGUGCGAAUUCAUGAUUAGGGAUUCCAUGGUCUAAUUUGGGGAUUUUUCUGUAGGUUUCAUGGACGAAGUACGAAGAGGUUGUUGGAGAUGAAGGAACUCUCUAUUUGGCUCACGGUGGUGAUGGUGAAGCAUCACGAUUUGGCUAUGCGAAUUGGGAAUUUUCGAAUUAAUUUUGUGAUUCUGGUUUGUAGGUUUCUUCGGAUGGAGGUUUUUUAUUGUUGGUGUGAGUGGUUUUUGGCUUUUACUGCAGGUGGUUGGAUGAUUGAUGGAGGCAUUGCAUGAGGAGGAUGAUGAAUUGGGUUCUUGGCUAGGUGUUUUUGCAGGUCUGGAAAAUUUUUUUGAUGAUGGACGAAGAAGAUGGUGGUUCGGAAAUUGGGUGGCAGGGCGAUUCUCGCGAAGGACGAAGGUGGUCUAUGGUGGUGUUUUGGGUGGUCCGAUGCGAGAAAGAUGAACCUGCAAUGGGAGAUCAUGGUGGCACAUGGUCGUGUUGGCGGUGUGUGGAGUGAAAGAUAUUCAAAAUGAACAAAGGUGCAAAUAUGGCGAUCUCGUGGUGGUCAGCGGCGUGACCAUACUGCCUCGGUUCCUUUUGAACGGAGGUCAAAUUCUACAUCGUUUUGACUUGGUUCACAGCCGAGGCAUAAGAGUGUACACUUUUUACUUCGUCUUUAUAUGCCUCGGGUGAACAGCCGGUGCCUAUAGCCAAAAGUAACCGGUGCCGUUGUCUCUUUCUGAACUACUGCUAGUUAAACGAAGAUGGAGGUGCGUUAAAGAAACUUGUACCUACGGUGGUCUGAGCUGAGAUGGAGAAUAGUGGAAGAAUGCAGAGGCUACAUCGUGUAACAAAAAUGAAGACCUGCGAAAAAGAGAGCGAAAUAAAUAAUUCUCUCGUGGAUAGAGGAAAAAUUUGGAGGAAAAUUCCCACUCUUUUUAUCGAUAGAUUUACCGACGAAAUUUUUUGUCGAUAAUUCAUAUUUUAUUUAUCGAAAAAUUUACUAACAGACGUUUUCAUUGGGAAGUGAAAUAUAUAUUACCGACACAUUUUUUUGUCGAUAAGUAAAAUAUGAGACCAACAAAUUUUUCUACGGAAAAAUCUAUCGAUAAGUGAAAAAUGGAGGUAAAAUUCUCGCUUUUUUCACUGACAAAUUUUUUUCAUUGGUAAUACAUAUUUUCUCAAUUUUUUUUUGUCGAUAAGUAAAAUAUGCAUUAUCAACUGAUUUUUUGUUGAUAAUAAAUCCAUUGAUAAAAUUAGUUGAUAAAUUGAAUUUGAAAAAUCUGUGAAUAAUAUCUAUUGAUAAUUCAAAUUUAUUUCAUAUUUAUUUCUGUGGAUAAAAUUUUGUUGAUAAUUUCAAGAAUUUUUGCAAUAAAAAUAAAUCAAAUAUGAAAAAAAAUUAAUAAACUUAUUAUUCAUAAAUAUUAAGUUAAAGAUAGUAUCUUUACCUCUUAUAAAGUUUUAAUUGUGGCUAGCUUUUAAAGUAGUUUUAAAGAUUCUUUAGCUAUUUGAUUCAAAUUAGUAAAUAAAAUAAUUUGAAGAAAAGUAAAAGAAAAUAUAUUACGUUUUUAAAUAUAAAGAUAUUGAGAUGAAAAUAUGUAAAUUUGAAAUACCACUCAUUCAACACCUUAAUUAUUCGACUACUACUUCCUGCACCCUUUUUUACUUCACGCAUCCUCUAAUUUAUAAAAUACUUGAAUCAAUAGUAAAGUGAACCAUAAUCGUCUCUUUAUAGAUAUUAAUUUAUAAAGUUAACCCUAAUUUAUAUGUAGGAAGAAAAAUAGGGAAGUGCAGGAAGAAUCACCUUAAUAUCUUUUAGAAUUAAGCAUACAAAUUACAUGAAGAUAGAAAAGGAAAAUGAAGAUAUAGACUUGUAACAUUAGGAAAAGAACGAAGCAUGCAAUAAUCCUAAUGUUACAUAUUAAAGAGGAAGAAACACACUUUGGCAAUGAAAACCUUAUUUUAGCAACAUAUUAUGAUGUUUUUAACAUCUGAUCAUACUGAUGAAGAAGGUAAUAAGGUUAUUUACGUUCAUCUCCAGCCACCUAUUUAUACUGUUAUGAAAUCGGAUCCUCAGCUUUUUUUUAUCCUGAUAUUUUUUUAUUUUGAAAAGGAUAAAAUAAUGGAAAAUAAUAAUAUUUUAGUUAUGUUUACAUUACUUCUUUAUUUAAAAGUGUAAUAAUAUAAAUUAUUAUAUUAUUAAAAAAAGGGUCAAAUGAAUAUAUUUUUAAGAAGAGUUUCCAAAAACUUUUUCCUCUUGAGUUGAUUAAUAAUUUUUUUAGGGUUAAAUAUGUUUUUGGUUCCGUAACUUUUAGUAAAAAUUGGAAUUAGUCCCUCUUCAAAAUUUUAGCCUAACUUAGUACUCCAACUUUAGAAAUAUAUAAAUUUAGUUCUUUUAACUGAACUUUUUUAGAUUUAUUCGAUAUUUUAAGCACGUUUCAUGAUAGCAUUUGGGUUGUUUAUACUAUUUGACACAUUUUUCCUUCAGUGUCAACUGAGAAACGCGUUUAAAGCAUCAAAUAAAAUUAACAAAAUUUGGUUAAAAGGAUUAAAUUCAUACAUUUAUAAAGUUGGAAGACUAAUUAAAUCAAAGUUUUGAAGAGAAACUAAUUCCAAUUUUCACUUAAAGUUAAGAGACAAAAGCAUAUUUAACUUUUUUUUAUAACAUCAAAUUACACAAAAUACAUAUUUUUAUAUUUUUCUUUAUUAAAAUAGUCAGAUCAACUUUAAGGUAUCAAAAUUUUAUUUUUGUAUGGACGUAUGUACAUAAAGCACGUGACGAAAUGUGAUAUUGAUAAGAUCAGACGUGCAAAAAACAAAUUUAAUAAUUGUCCUCUCUCCUGCCACCGAUAUUGAAAGCUGCCACACCGUAUUUCUUCUUAAAUACAUACGCCCAAAGUGUUAAUUUACAUAUGUAAUUGCGGAAUUAUGUAUGAAAAAUAAGGUGAAUUGAAAAUAAAUUUGUAUGUUUCAUUGUAUAUGAAUUUAUGAAUGUAAAACUAAGUAAAAACUAACCAUCAAGGUAAUAAUAUUUUGUAUAUUUUUCAAGAAAUUAAAUAAAUAAUGAUGUUAAUCUUCUCAUGGAAAAUGACCGAGCUAUAUAAAUCUUGCUGUAUUUUCUCACGUGUUUGGGACCAGCAUUCAAUUUUUGUCCGGUUGUUUCCUUUGUGAUAAGAUUGUAAUGAAAUUGAACUACGAAUUCUAAGACGUGAUAGCAUUUGUUUGUGCUCCAAUUUCUUAGCUUUUUAAGUUAAGUAUCGCUCAUCCCUUAAUCCUUAACCCCUCCUAGUCUCAAUAAUUAUAACAUGCACAUAAGUUAUAUAUACAUAUUAUAAUAACGUGAAUGGAGUUAUUUAUAAUUUUACUUACAAUCUAGAUUGUACUGGGGAUAUUCCGGACGAAUAAUAUGGCCGGUCUUCGGGAACAAGGAUUGAUGUAUGAAAUAAUUGAGUAAAUGUAACGGUCAGUCAUCUUAGAGAAGAGUAACUGGACGGCCAGAAACAGACGGUAGGGAAGAUCAAGGUAAGACCAGUUUAGUUAAGGUAAUUGUAUGAUUAAGACUAUUGGGCCAAGAUUGGGGCCUGAUUGGGACCACCUUAAUAUUAAGCCCAUAUCCAAAACUAUAAAUACAAGCCACAUGUACCAGGUAAGUGGGUUCAUUUAUUGCGUAUUUAAUUCUGAGCUCUGAUAACCGAUCGAACAUUUGAACUGACUUAAGCAUCAGAGUACCUUUAGCAGGUACCCUCCCGGGGCAUACGUCGGACGAGGAGGACGGACGAUCAGAGGACCAUAGGAGAGACAGACAGUAGAAAGAGAGGAAAUUGUGAAGGGUUUGUCUGACUCGACCACACACUGGAACAUAGAUAGUUUUUUUUUUAUCUUUUAAUAUCUCCACAACAAUCUAAAAUUAUUAGUCUUGUUUAUCAUGAAUUUUAGAGUAAAGAAAAAUGUCAUGUAUAAAAUUUUUUCAUGUUGGUAGGAUAAUCGCUUGAAGAGUUCUUGUCUCUGUUGUAUGUCCUCCUUGUUACUUGCUCUAAAUGAUCGAUCGGUAUAGGAGAUGACAUGCAGAAUACACAGUCAGAAUUUUUCUCUUUAUCUUUAUAGGCCUUUUGUAAUUUAAUAGUGAGUAAAAAUGAGUUUACCUCGACAUUAGCUCCUAUUUAUAGAAUUUAUAAGAAUCUAAAUUAAUUUAUCUCUUAACCGCUUAACAGUAGCUGUUGUGACAUUAAUUGUGCCAUAACUCCGUUCAAUGGUUGUCGGGACCGAACGGUCAUGAGGUGCUUUCUUGCAACCAACUGUUCAAUCUUCUCCUUCCAGCUUGAGACCGAGCGGUCAUGGGACGCUUUCUCGUUUCCUCAACCGCUCGGUCUUUUCCUUUCAGCUUGUCAUUGUUCUCGAUCACUCGAAUGUGAGCCCAUAGUAACAUAGGCCCGCCAAGCCCUAACAUAAUCUUAGUUAUGCAUAGGUUGACAAGGUUGUUAAUUACUUACUCGUGCGGUUCAUUGGCCCAAAGUAUUUUUGAUGUGCCUUAAGUUCCUGAUCUUUUAUACACCGAGCAUUUUUUACUCUAGGAGUUCACUCGGAACGUUCCUAGGUCAAAAUUCUAAGGUGAGAGCUACAAAAGCGUUCCUCACCGAACAUUUGUGAGAGCUACGAAAGCGUUCCUCACAAACCGAACGUUUGUGAGAGUUACAAAAACGUUCCUCAUAAACUGAGCAUUUUUUACUCUAAGAGUUCACUUGGAAUGUUCCCUAGGUCAAAAUGCUAAGGUGAAAGCUACAAAAGCGUUCCUCACCGAACUGUUGUGAGAGCUUCGAAAACGUUCCUCACAAACCGAACGUUUGUGAGAGCUACAAAAUUGCUCCUCACAUAUCGAGCGUAUUUAACUCUAAGAGUUCACUUGGAAUGUUCCCUAGGUCAAAAUGCUAAGGUGAGAGAUACAAAAGUGUUCUUCACCAAACAAUUGAGAGUUUCGAAAGCGUUCCUCACAAACCGAACGUUUGUGAGAGCUACGAAAGUGUUCCUCACAAACUGAGCAUUUUUUACUCUAGGACUUCACUUGGAACGUUCCUUAGAUCAAAAUGCUAAGGUGGGAGUUACAAAAGCGUUCCUCACCGAACGAUUAUGAGAGCUUCGAAAGCGUUCCUCACAAACCGAAUGUUUUUUACUCUAGGAGUUCACUUGGAAUGUUCUCUAAGUCAAAAUGCUAAGGUGAGAGCUACAAAAGCGUUCCUCACUGAACGGUUGUGAGAGCUUCAAAAGCGUUCCUUACAAACGAAACAUUUGUGAGAGCUACGAAAACAUUCCUCACAAGCUGAGCGUUUUUUACUCUAGGAGUUCACUUGGAACGUUCCCUAGGUGAAAAUACUAAGGUGAGAGCUACAAAAGCGUUCCUCACUGGACGGUGGAUACUAGGAGUUCAUUGAAAACGUUCCCUAGGUCCUAAAUGCUAAGGUGAGAGCUACGAAAGCAUUCCUCACCGAGCGGUUCACACUAGGAGUUUACUUGGAAUGUUCCAUAUGUCAAAGGUGCUCAAGUGAGAGCCACGAAAGCAUUCCUCACUAAGAGGUGGACACUAGGAGUUCACUUGGAACUUUCCCUAGGACCAAUCUUUUCAUAUAACUUCCUAAGACUUUUGAUAAAAAUCAUUUGAUAUUAUUAAUAGUAGAAUUGCAAAUACAUAAUAAUUUUUUAGAUGAAAUAUGAAGUGGAAUACCAUUCUCUGUUCUUGCCACGAUUAUGUAGUUUGUUUGGCACAAAUGCUCGCUUGCCCACCUUCAGUUCCUGGCCUGCCGAGGAUGAAGCAUUCUCUUCAUACUGCCUUUUUUGGACAACCCAUAUCUCCCUGAUUCAAAUGAACUCAACGACCUUCUCCUGCAUUUCUCCCAGGGUUAAAAGGUGGUCGAGCAAAUAAGCUAUUUGUAGAGGAGCACGACCUUAAGGCUGUUGACAAGGUGCUGAUAAUGAACUUUUUGUCAACACCUGCCUGCGAUCCGGUUGUACCGAUCCAUGAAGUCCCUCAAGCUUUCAUCUUUCCCUUAUCUGACUUUAGCCAGUUCCAUAAAGGUAAGGUUUUGCGUCUUACUAGAAGUGAACUUUCGCUCAAACAAAUGUCUCAAAGUCCCAAAACUAUCAACGGGUAUAGGACGAAGAGAGUGAAACCAUGCCAAAGUUUCUCCUUUAACCGACAAGGAAAAAACCCAGCACCAAACCCUCUCAUGAGGUGAGUAUAUCGCCAUUGCAUCCGCAAAAGACCUCAGAUGCUCCUCUGGAUCACCUGAUCCAUCAAAGUUCUAUAUAUUGGGAGGCAUCUCAUUAGGCAUUUACUCCUCCAUAAUUGCAGUUGUAAUUGAGUGAAGCGCCCCGGCCCGAGCGGAAUUAACCGGGCGGGCGAGGCAACUCCUGGAACUGUUCCCCUGAUCCGUGCCUUCUUGAUCAAAAUCUGGAAAUUCCACAAUGGGCGGCGUUUGAGCGCGUGUCGCCGACUGCUGAUUUGACUGGGCCUUCCACCCUACAUCACGCUCCGCCCUUAAAGUUUCAAUCUCAACCUGCAUGGCUUCCAUCCUCCUCUGCAUUUCCUGUAUCGCAACCCACGGGUCUUGUUGUCCUGCCAUUCUUAUGGUUUCGCUAUGGUGUCUUCAAAUAUCCUCGGCUCCAUGAUGGUCAAAAUUUUUCUUUGUAGGCAUUUUGUAAUUUGAUAAUGAGUAAAAAUGAGUUUACCUUGACAUUAGCCCCUAUUCAUAGAGUUUAUAAGAAUCUGACAAAUUAAUUUACAUCUUAAUGAUCAUUAAUGCAAACAUUAACAAUAACUGUUGUGACAUUAAUUGUUUCUUAACUCUGUUCAACGGUUGUCGGGACUGAGCGGUCAUGAGGUGCUUUCUUGCACGCCAACCGUUCGGUCCUCUCCUUCUAGCUUGAGACUGAACGGUCUUUUAUGGCGCUUUCCUGUUCGGUCUUUUCCUUUCAACUUAUUGUUCCCGAUCGGUCGAAUGUGGGUCCACAGUAACAAAAGUAAUUAUAAAAUAAUCUGAAAAUUAGAUGAGAAAUUUAUUUAUUAAUUUUCUUCCAUUAAUAAAUUUGUAGUAAAUAUUGUAAUUUGUUUAUUUUCAUCAUUUCCCAUUAUCGUAUAUUCUCAGGUUUAUCAUCACCCCAUCAUAUUUAUUAUUGUCAUUAUUGCUAUGUGACUUUCCUUUAACUCUUAGUCUUCAUUUUCUUUUCUAUUGAUGUUGUCGUUACUGUUAUUUCCAUUAUCGUCAUUACCUUCUUUUCCUUUUCUCUUAAUUCUUCUCUUCUUUUUAUUUUCACAUACUUUUAUACAGUUUUUAACAAAUAUUUUUUGAAAAAAAAAAUUAAUGCCUAUUUUACUUAUUGACGAAUUUUCAAAAACUCAACUAUUAAAAUAUUUUCAAAAAAAAUUCAAUCAAUUGAUAUAUUUACUGAGAAUUAUUAUUUUUUUUUAUAAAAAUCUAUUAUUAACGAACUUAUCACAACAUCUUCAGAGCCUAAAAUAAGAAGUUUUAAUGAUCAUUUUGUCAACAUAGUUUAUCGACAAUAACAUAUUUCAUUAGUAAAUUUUUUAAAUUAUUAACAAAUUUUACUGAUUAAUAAAUAUUUUUAUUGAUGAUUAAAAUUCAUUUGUUAAUAAAUUCUAUUUUAUUAAUAAAUUUUUUUAUUGAUAAACAUUUGAAUGAUAGAUAAUUGAAAUAUAUAUAUAUAUAUAUAUAUAUAUAUAUAUAUAUAUAUAUAUAUAUAUAUUAUUCAACCUUUUUACUUUUACCUACCUACAUAUAAUAUAAUAAUAUGAUAUAAAUACAUAUAAUAUAAUACAUAGAGAGAGCAUGUUUAACCAUUUCUCUUUUCAAACAAAUUAUUACUUAUCCAUCAGAAAUAUCAUACCAACCCAAAAUAAUAUAUAUAAGAAUAUUCUUAGAAAUGUGUAUUUGGUAAUUUUGUUUGUAAAUCUUUGAGCUAUAUUUGUUUGUUUGAUAGUUCAUUUUGUAGUAUCUUUUAAAUUUAUAUUUUUUAUUAACACCUAUAAAUAAAUACAUUUUCAUAUUUGACUUGUUUAAACAAGGUAAUUUACUUUUUUACUUCUUUCUCACUUUUUUCCUUUAACACUUUCACUUCUCACCUUUUCUCAUAAUAGAAAAGGAAUUACAAAGUAAAAUCAGUACUUUCUUUUGGAUAAUAUUUAUCUAUCUUACUCUGCAUUCCAAUAGUGUACUAUUUAAUAUGAAUAAAAUUGGUUUAAAUAUGUUUUAUGUUUUAUCUUAAAAAAAGUUCUUCUUCCUCCUCCAAAAUAAAGUUGUAAAAAGUGAUUUCAUAAGUUUUAAUUACAGGAUCAAAAUAUUUUAACAAUAUUUUUUAACAAUUUUUGAUAAAAAAUGUGUUAUCAUUUUAUUAGUCUAUUUGAAUUUAUAUAUAAAAAAUUAUUUAAAAUAGAUUAAUCAUAACCUAUUAUAUACCUUAUCAAAAAACUAUAAAAAGAAAUUGUUAAAAGAAAAAUUUAGUUUGAAAGGGACGUGGCAAUAAAAGAAAGUGAACACGUUUUUCACAUAAAGAUUUAGUUUUACGUACUAUGAACUAGGUGGUCAUACUUCUUCCGUCGUUUGUAUAUCAAUGAAGGUGACAACACUUGAAAUCAUUAGCUGCCACGAAAAAAGAAAUUUCAUAAACGUAAGACUUUCAUUUUCCUUCUCUCUCACAAUGUUUUGCAACAACUUUAUUUCAGCAUGCUAGGCGACACGCCACAUGUCACACUUUUAAUAACUUAUAGAAUUAAGCAUACAAAUUACAUGAAGAUAUAGGAAAGAAACAACCACUUACAGAAGAGGAAAACCAAAAUCUAGACUUGUAACAUUAGGAAAAGAAAGAAGCAUCCAAUAAUCCUAAUGUUACAUAUUAAAGAGAAAGAAACACACUUUGGCAAUGAAAACUUUAUUUUUGCAACAUACUAUGAUGUUUUUUAACAUCUGAUCAUACUGAUGAAGAAGGUAAGGUGAUUCAUGAGAGUGAAUCCCUUCAAUCGGUGACUGGCAAAAUGCCUUUAAGGACUGGCCAACCUUCAACGAUAAGAGUCACAUCACCCAGAAGUGUGUCCUGACUUCCAUGUGGGUCGGCUUUCAUACGCACAUACUCGUCUCCUUUGAAAAGGUAGACUUCAUUCUCCAAAUGAGAAGCAAAACACGCAUCAAUUCCAUUUUCAAAGAUCGUACUUUUCAAAACAGGGAACCCUUCGCUGAUCUCAUAAAAGCGCUGAGUAAGUUUCUUGGUAUUAUAAUCAAUGCGAGCAUACUGAUUUCCCUUGAAUAUGUAAACUUCUUUGUCUCUGGUUGACCUAAAUGCACCAUCCACGCCCUCAGCAAACACCGUGUUUUUUAGGUCGGGAAACAUUUCAGCGAUUGUGGUAGGACCUACGAGGAUCCUGUCGUUUCCUGUGUUUGGAGCAUAGUCUAUGUAGGCACAGGUCUUGUUCGAGAAGAUAUAUGCUUCACUGCCUUCAGUGUUAAAGGCACAGUCUAUUCCUUGUUCUGCAAAUGGCGUUCCUGCAAGUGAUGGAAAACCAGCACUAACCAAUUCAAGAGGAGUCAGAAGUUCCUCACCUGUUGUUCCGGGAGUGUAAUACAGCCUCACGUACUUGUUUUUCAUGAAGAAAUAGACUUGGAAUGGCAUUGAUGAAGGGAAUGCGGCAUUGAUAUAGACAGUGCCUGACAUUUUUCUUAACACAAGAAGAAGAAGGAGUAAGAGAAAAAGAUAGAUAGAUAGAUUGAGUUUGCUUAUUUUCCUUCAUCUCCAGCUACCUAUUUAUACUGUUAUGAAAUUGGAUCCUCAGCCUUUUUCUUUUCUUUACAUUUUGUUCACUCUAUACACACAUGUGGAAUUCAAAAAGAUCCUCAUAUUUUUUUACUUUUCAAAAGGAUAAAAUAAUAAUAUUUUAGUUAUGUUUACAUUACUUUUUUAUUUAAAAGGUAAUAUAAAUUGUUAUAUUUAUUAAAAAAAGGGUCAGAUGAAUAUAUUUUUAAGAAGGGUGUCCAAAAACUUUUUCCUCUUAGAGUUGUUUAAUAAAUUUUUUAUAACAUUUAAUUACACAAAAUAUAUAUUUUUAUAUUUUCUUUAUUAAAAGAGUCGGAUCAACUUUAAGGUAUCAGAAUUAUUAUUUUUGUACGGACGUAUCUGUACAUAAAGCACGUGACGAAAUGUGAUAUUGAUAAGAUCAGACAUGCAAAAACAAAUUUAAUAAUUGUCCUCUCUCUUGCCACUUAUAUUGCAUUUUCCUAAAUAAAUAUACCCAAAGUGUUAAUUUACAUAUAUAAUUGCAUAAUUCUAUAUGAAAAUACGGUUAAUUGGAAAUAAAUUUGUAUGUUUCAUUGUAUAUGAAUUUAUGAAUGUAAAACUAAGAAAAAUCUAACCAUCAACGUAAUAUAUUUUUCAAGAAAUUAAAUAAGUAAUGAUGUUAAUCUUUCACAAAGAUAACUUCAUGUGUGCAGGUUUGAUAGAAAAAUUCAUGAUGCAUCCAUAAUACAAAGAAAGAGAACAAGAAGGAGGAAAAGAGUAUAUAUAUUUCAUAUAUAUAUAUAUAUAUAUAUAUAUAUAUAUAUAUAUAUAUAUAUAUAUAUAUAUAUAUAUAUAUAUAUAUAUAUAUAUAUAUAUAUAUAUGAAAUAUAUAUAAGAUAAGAGAGGGAAAGAAUAGAAAAAUUGAAAGCAAUAAAUGAGGAGUGGUGAAGUGGUGCGGUGUAGUGGAUUUGGUUGGAAUAUUAUUUCUGACAAUCUUCUCAUCGAAAUGAAUCUUGUUGUAUUUUCUCACGUGUUUGGGAUGUUGGGAGAGGUGAAUACCUGCAAAGUUAUGAGCAACUUCGAAAUCCAAAAAAUAAGACAAGUUACCCAUUUUUUUUUUUAUUUUGAAUUGAGCAUUGAGUAUAUUGGUGAUGUGAUCAAUUUCAUGCAUAUUGUUACUGGUAAGGAUGAUAUCAUCAAUAUAAAUGAGUAAGAUAGUGAUUGUAGCACCAUUACGUUUGAUAAAAAGAGAAUGAUCACCAGAAGUUUGAGUAAACAUGUUAGAGAGAAGGAAAGAAGACAAAUUGUCAUACCAUUGGCGGCUGGCUUGUUUCAAGCCAUAGGGAGAUUUAUGUAAAAAACAUACUUUGUUGUGGUUGGAAUGAUGGAAUCCCGAAGAAGGUUGUUUUCCUAUGUACCUAGUGGAUCUCCUCGGAGAGGUAAUGCUGGUGUCAGUAUGAGUGGCAGUAACAGUAGAGGGAAUAAGUGCAGGAUGAUGGGUUUGAUGUAGGUAAUGAAAGGUAUCAUGAUGAUGGAGAGGCAAGGAUAAAGUGGAGUUUGGAGGGAAGGAGGAGGGGUAUUGGGAAAUUCAUUUUCACAAAAGGUAACAUUGCGAGAAAUCUGUAUGUCAUAGGUGUCAAGUCUAUAGAUGAUGUAUCCUUUUGUAGUAGGAUGUAAACCAAGGAAGAUGCUUGGGGUAGCCCUUCGGUCAAGUUUUUUUUCUAUGAGCUUGGAGGGUGUGCUAGUAUAACAAAUGCAUCUGAACACCCUAAGUCUAGAAAUAUCAAAAUCUUUAUGAAAGAGUUUGUCAUAUGGGGAGUUAUUAUUAAGAAGAGGAGUGUGCAUAAUGUUGAUAAGAAGAGUUGCAUAGUUAAGGGCAUAUGUCCAAAAUUGAUUAGAAUGUUUUGAGUGAAAAAGCUAGGCCCCAGUAACAUUUAAAAGGUGUUGAUGUUUUCUUUCAACAAUACCAUUUGUUGGGGUGUUUCAUUACAUGAAUUUUUGGUGAAUAAUCCCUUGAGAGUUAAAGUAAUCAUGCAUGGCAAACUCUGGCCCAUUAUUAGACCUGAUGACUUUAAUAGUUGUUCGGAAUUGAUUCUUGACAUGUUAUAUGAAAAGCAAAAGAUGAUUGCGAGCUUCAGGUUUAGCAUGCAUCAAAUGAACCCAAGUAUAUCUAGUAUGGUCAUCAACAAUAGUGAGAAAGUAUUUAUGAGAAUGUAGGGAUGCAGUGGGACAAGGUCCCCAAAUGUCAACAUGUAUGAUAUCAAAGGCAUGAGAAGCAACAUAAUUGUUUGAAGUAAAAGGCAAUUUCUUUUGCUUAGCCGUGUGGUAGGCAUUACAAUUGUUUGUCUGAGAAUUUAUGCAAGGAUAUUUUUGUGCAAGAAUACCUAAACAUUUAUCAGAUAAGUGGCCUAAGCUGUUGUGCCAAAUAUUAUUUCUAUCAGCAGUGUGUGUGUUGUGUGCAUUGGUAGGAUGUACAGAGACAACAACAUUGAGGUUAGGUCCAUGAAAAACAUAUAGGCCAGCGCGAGAGUCAACUGAACCAAUCUUGUGAUGUGUCAUUGAGUCUUGGAUAAAACAUGUGGAAUUAGUAAAAAUUACACGAACACCAUUAUGCAGAACCAAUUUGGAUAUAGAGAUCAAAUUAUAACAAAAAUCUGGAAUGUAAAGAACAUCUUUAAGACAAACUUUAUCACAGAGUUGGAUAGUUCCUUUAUGUGUAGCUUGUGUAGUGAUACCAUUAGGAAGAUUAAUUUUCACAGGUGUAAUUUGAUCAUAAGAAUGAAGAUGUUUAAGAGAGGAAACAACAUGGUCAGUGGCACCAGAGUCCAAUAUCCAUGUUGUGGUACCUGAGUCACCAACAAUAUUAAAAUGCAGAAGCGUUUUACUUGUAUUUGAGGAACUAGAAAUUAAGGAGCCAAUUUGAGGAUUGGAAACGAUAACAGCAUCAGUGUUAGGGUUUAGGAGAGCCAUAAGAGUCUGGUAUUGUUGUUUUGUGAGUCGCAUUUCAUGGUCAAUUGUUUCUCCUUGAUUGACAUUGGCAAGUUCUUGAUUUCUUGAAAGCAGACUUUUACCAUUGUAGAACUUGUGUGGGGACCCAUGCUUCUUAUAACACGCAUCAACAGUAUGAAUGGUUUUGCCACAGUGGGAACAAGAUUUUUUGUUGGGUGAAGGUUUUGCAGGAAGACCGUGCUUCUUGAAACAAACAUUAUCAGUGUGGCCAGUCUUACCACAAAAAGAACAGGUGACAGUGCUUAUAGUGGCAGUAAUAUUGUUAGAUUCCAAAUGAUUCAGAAAAGUAUUAUGCACUAAUUUCUUUCUUGUUGCAUGACAUAGGAGAAAAUUUUGGAAACAAAAGGUAUGGGAUCCAUUAGGAGGACAUGAGAUUGAAUGUUACCAUACUGUUCGUUCAAGCCUCUUAUAAAUUGCAAGGCUCGGUCCUAAUGUUUUCUUUGUGAAAUGAUGGAGAGCAUUUUGCAAGAGCAUUUGAUAUCACAGGUUCAGAUCGAGUUAGUUAUAAAAUUAUCCAAUUCGUCCCAUAUAAUGUGUAAUUUUGUGUAGAAUUCAGUGAUAAUUUGGCUGCCUUGUCUGAGAGAAGAAGCUUCUUUCUGUAGUUUUGAGAUGCGCAACAUCCCCUUGAAAAAACCUAGAUUUGAGAUCAUUCCAAAUGGCUUGGGCAUCAUCCAUCCAAAGAAUGUUGUGCCUGAUCUCUGGAGAAACGGAGUGGACCAACCAAGAGACCACCAUGUUGUUGCAUCUCUUCCAUGCAUUGUGCGAUGGGUUUUCUCUAGACGGUUCUUUAGCAGUUCCAUCAAUGAAUUGUGCUUUAUUCUUGGCACUUAACGUAGUGGUCACAAAUUUGCUCCAUGCAUGGUAAUUAUUGGAACCAAGAAGAGGAGAAACCAGAAAUGUGGCUGGGCUUUCGCUGGGAUGAAGGUAUAAAAAGCUUGAAGGAUGAUUGUUCUCGUCAUUCAUGGCGAAAUAAUUGAAAAAGAAAGUAAAAGAUCUUCAAGAACCUCACAAGACAAAAGGCAGAGAAGAUGACAGAGUAUAAGGCGCAACAGAGCUCUUCAAAUGAAGAGCUCCGAUACCAUCACAAAGAUAACUUCACAAUGACUGAUGGAAUCUGUGCAGGCUUCAUAGAAGAAUUCAUGAUGCAUCCAGAAAAGAAAGAAAGAGAACAACAAGAAGGAGACACUAGUGAAAAAACACUGUUUAACAUCACCCCUUAGACGUCAGUUUCGUGAAAAUCCGACAUCUAUUACUGCACGGUGGCAUUAUCGUAAAUAAAUUGGAAAACUAGACGUCAGUUUCGAUAUCAGGCAACGUCUAUGACAUCAUAGACGUCGCACCUGCCGCAAACUGACGUUCAAUUGCCUGAGGUAUGUGAUAAGACAGUCCAUUAACGUCAGUGUUUCAGGGGACCGAUGUCUACUAGGUUGCAAUUAAUGCUGCUGAUAACUCUCCAAAUUUACAUAUUUUUCUGUGUUUAAAGAGUCUUACUUAGCUUUUAUUUGUUCUUAAUUGUUUAGAAUUAGGCUAGUUUUAGAAUUUUUGUUUAAAAUUGUAGUUUUAUAAAAUUGUAGUUAAAAAUAGAUUUUUAGUAUAUUUUUUUAGUACAUUUGUAAAUAAUUAGAAAAUUAGUAUUUUUUUUUGAAAUUCUUUCAAUAAAAAUGUUUUGUUUUAAUUAGGUUUUAAUCACAUAAUUUUUCUUAAUUGCAUUUUAACCCUUUAAUUCAAUUUUUUUUAGAUUUGGAUCUAAUUGGGCUUGGAAAACGCUGCUACCACUGCAAUGCUUGGAGGAUUUAAAUUGAUUUGGGCCGUCGCUGGAAGCUGCACUACAAGUGAAAAUUGGGCUGCACAUUUAAUUGAGUUGUUGCAAGGGAACUGACGUUGCUGCCACCAUUAGGAUUAAUUGAAAAAGGAAUUGGGCUGGUGUUUGCACAUUAUUGGGCCGCUAGCAUGAGUUGUGCUGCGUUUAAUGAAGUGUGCGUUUUGGUGGCUGAAGAGUUGUGCAGGGUCUUGGUUAACACUUUUCAUUUGGAAAAAGGAAAGCACACUCGAGCUAAGGCAGAAGCUCACUUGAGAGAAACACCCUUUCGAGAGAAGCAAGAGCUGAAGGCACGUGAUCUAAGGAGCUGCCCAAAGAGGAUGACCAGAGCUGACCGGUGAUGCCAUGUGGAGAAUCAAAUGGUCGGGAGGCAAAGGAAAUGUUGGUCGUCAGAUUAAGAAAGCUUAUCAUGCAAGUUUCUUUCUCCCUUUUUCAUCUUUUCAUUUUUCUUUUCAACCCUAUAAAAGGGGCUUCUUUCAUGUAAAUAAAGACAGACACUUUCAGAUACAAUUUUACGCUCUGUAGAUUAGUUUUUUUUACGCUUUCUAUAGAGUAGGUUUUCGUUCUCUAAGCUUUUGGAGCGAAUCAUCGUGAUGGUGACAGCCCGUGGUGGCUUCGAUUGCACUCUUCGUUCGGUACCAUUUUUUUGUAAUUUUUGUUUCUCCUUAAUAAAAUGUUCUUUUUCUUUUGUGUUCUUUGUUUCUGUGUUGAGCAUUGUGAUUCUGUUGUGUUCUUAUUUGAUUGUGUGUUCUUGUGUUCUUAAUUGAUUGUGUUCUUGUGAUGUUUUGAGAAAAAUUGAUUUGAACUCGCAUUUGCAUAUUUUAAAUUCCUUUUUGGAAUUAUACGACCCCAAGGUGGGCGUAAAUGAACGGGAUGUCUUCCCGAGACAGAAAGAAGUUUAAUCAGUAAAAAAAUAUUCUAGUUGUGUUAAUUUCUGUCUGUGAGUGUUAAUUAGAAUAGGUUUAGUCGUGUUUCAGUUUUAAAGUUGGAAAAAAAUCAUAAACUGGAAUUGAAUUUGUUUUGUUUUGGGAAAUCAUUUGAUUGUUAUUCAUUUUAAGUUCUAUAUUAGAACUUGAGACCCCGAGGUGGGCAAUUUAUGAACGGGAUGUCUUCCUGUAUAGUAGCAAUCCAAUUGAUAAGCCAUUUCAAGCAAAAUUUAGUUCAGUUUUGUGACUUUUAUCCAACAACUUUGUUCUAUUUAGUAGUUUAGGACAUGUUCUGUUUGUAAUGGUUAGAGUUGGUUUUGAUUCAUGAGUUUCUCAUCUGAUUCUUUGCUUUCAUCAUUAGUCUAGUUAUUUCUUGUUGAUUUUUAUUUACUGUAGAUUUUACAAUUCUUUGUGCAACAAUUACCUUUCAUUUGUAGAUAUUCAUUUAGCUUUUAGGAUUUGUUUAGUUUUAAUUUCCAAGUCUAGUUGUUUGUUUACAGUUCUGAUUUUUGAUUAUUUUGAUUGCAUUUAAUUCUCAUAUUAGUUUAGGUUCUAUUUCUGUUUUAGGUAGUUUAGAAUACUGAUUUCUUAUAUUUCAUUUCAUUUCAUUUUAAUUUUCUUUUUAUCUUUUAAACAAAUUUUCUUUUUAGUUUCAUUUCUUUCCCCACCUUGUCUUGAGUUAGUUAAUAGUAAAUAAUAGAACAAAAAGCAAGAUUAACUCUACACUUUAAACUUAAUUUUACCAAGUCCUUGGAUUGAUACCUAGGUUGUCCCUAUACUUCAUUAGUGGGGAAACUUAGUUUGUUCUGAUUUUGUGCGACCAAUAUCAGUUUAACAACCGCCCAUCAAAUUCCCAGGAGCUUAGACGUCGGCUAGCAAGGACACCGACGUCUACGUCACUGACAGGAAAUCAAACGUCAAUCGGUUCAGCUUUAGACGUCGAAUAGACGUCAGAUCCCGUGAAAAAGCAACGUCGGUUGGGCUACAGUUAAUGUUGUUCACCUAAUGCCCCAGGCAAUUAGACGUCACGUAGUCAAACGCCGACGUCUAAGGCCUGUCUGGAAGGCGGGAAGACAAAAAUUCUUCAAUGUAGAUGUCAGUUCUGAGGGGCACCGACGUCUACGUUCCUGUAUUUUCACCAAAUUCGAGGGUUUUAGACGUCGGCUGUGACGGGCACCGACGUGAACUACCUUGAUAGGAAACCAAAACGUCAAUCUUUUCAGCUUCCUAGACGUCGGUUUCUGGAGCAACCGACGCCCCAUAUCAUUUUAAAUAGACCGCGGACUCUUCUCGCCAUUCAGUUUCUGAUCGCGUCUUCAUCUCUUCUCCUUUUUCUUUGCUUCUCCUCUUCUUUACUUCUCCUCUUCUUUUACUCGCUUGCGCACCUCUACUUUUUAUCUCUUGCGGCAUUGCAUUGUCGUUUCUCAUAACGUCAUUGUCUUCGUCCUCUCCUUUUUCUCUCUUGCAUCCCAGGUGCGUGGUUUUUUUUUAUGCUUACCGUUUAAACUUUCUUUAGUUUUUUAUCAAUUAUCUUGUCGUUCAACUGAUUAAAAUUUGCUUUCUUUGUGUUGUGUUUUAGUGCAGUUUUGAUCCUCUCUUUGGGUAACAUAGUGNAACAUUCUCCCUUUGCUGGUUUCCUCACAAGAAGAGUGGCGAUCUUUUGAGUUUUCUAGUUCUUCCGACCCAAAAUGGAACUUGGGUCCUUGUCUACUUCUCGACACCGUAAUUUUUUUCUGUUGCGGUUGAAUAAUGGGAAGUAGCCAUGGACCCAGGUUCGGUUUUGGGUUGAAAGCACUAGAAGAUUCAAAAGACGCAAGCAUUUUUUGUGGGGAAACUAGCGAGAGGAGAGUGUUACACAAUGCUACCGAAAGCCUGGAUCAAAACUGCACUAAAACACAAAAUUGUUGUUAGACGUCGGUUAAAGCCAUGUCCGACGUCUAUAACAACAUAGACGUCGGUUAGUGUCAUUUUAAACCUCUUUAUAUAUUCAUGUUGACGUCGGUUUAAUCAUAGGUGGACGUCUAUAUAGAGUAAUUAGACGUCGGUGUGAGUAUAAGAAUACGUCUAUAUAGACGUCGGUGGAUAUCUUUAACUGACGUUUAUAUGGAUGUCGGUUCUGAGGAAUUGCGACGUCCCAUAGACGUCACUCGUAUAGACGUCGAAUGUGAAAGUGACGUUAAAAGCUCAAAUUAACCGAUGUUAAACAGCAUUUUUGCACUAGUGAGAAGAAGAGAAAAUUGAUAUAUGUAAAAUAGAACAAAGAAGCUAACAUAUACAUAAGAUAUGAGAGAGGAAAGAAAAAAAGAAGAAGAAAGCAAUAAAUGAGGAGAGGUGAAGCGGUGCAGUGCAGUGGAUUUAGUUGGAAUAUUAUUUCUGACAAUCUUCUCAUCAAAAUGAAUCUUGCUGUAUUUUCUCACGUAUUUCGAACCAACGUUCACAUUUUGUCCGAUUGUUUCCUUUGUGAUAAGAUUGUAAAGAAAUCAAAUUACGAAUUCUAAAACGUGAUAACAUUUGUGUAUGUGGUCCAAUUUCUUAACUUUUGUAACGUUUCGUUUCAGUUUUGAAAAAAUUGAUAAAUAUCAAAAUGGUUUUGAUUCAGAGGGAACCGAUGUAUAAAAAAUAUAUUGUCUUGAUUCAAUGAGUAACUGAGACAUAAAAUUCUGCAUAACCUCAUCUGUUUUUGCAAAUCAGACUUUUUGAAAAGGUCUACUGUUUUGAUUAUCUGAUCAACUUUGAGACAAAUCUCUAAAAAGGACAUAUUAUCUCAAUACAGAUAUUGAUAAGAUUAUGAAUUAGGAAAAACAAAUUUAAUAAUUAUCCUUUUUCCUGUGUCACUAAUAUUGAAAGCUACCACACCGUAUUUCUUCUUAAAUACAUACGCCGAAAGUGUUAAUUUACAUAUAUAAUUGCAGAAUUCUGUAUGAAAAAUACGGUGAAUAGGAAAUAAAUUUGUAUGUUUCAUUGUAUAUGAAUUUAUGAAUGUGAAAACUAAGCAAAAACUAACCAUCAUUCAAUUUUUGUCUGGUAGUUUCCUUUGUGAUAAGAUUGUAAUGAAAUUGAAAUACGAAUUCUAAGACGUGAUAGCAUUUAUUCGUGUUCCAAUUUCUUAGCUUUUUAAGUUAAGUAUAAGCCAUCCCUUCAACCUUAACCCAUUGUAAUUAUAAUAGCAUGAAUGGAGCUAUUUAUUAUUGUAUUCUAACCUAGACAGUUUACCUUUACCUUUCAAAAUCUCCAAGAGAUUUAGAAAAACUGAAAAUGUCAUGUAUAAAAGUAAUUAUAAAAUGAUAUAAAAACUAGAUGAAAAAUCUCUUAUUUGUUAAUAAUUUUCCAUCAAUAAAAUUUGCACAUAAUUUUUUCUUUUUCAUUACCGUCAUAAUUAAUAGGUUGUCGUGUUUAUGACCAUCAUUAUCACGUUUAUCAUUGUCAUUGUCGUUACAUGAUUUAUCUUUAGCUUCUAUUUCUCAUCUUUCUCUUAUUGUUGUCACCUUUAUUGCAUUGUCUUGUCGUUUCCUUUUUUUUUUCUCUUUUCUUUUCUUUCUUUUUUUUCAUUCUCAUACAUUUUCAUUUAAUUUUUAAUUAAUAUUUUGUUAGAUUUGACAAAAAAAGUUAAUAUCUAUUUUAUAAUAUAACUAUCAAUGAAUUUUCAAAAACUCAAUUAUAAACAAAUUUUUAAAAAAAAUUCAAUCACCGACGACAUAUUUAGUAAUAAAUUCUAUAAGAAAAAUUGAUGAACUUUACCACAACAUGUUCAAAGUUUUAGAACGAGACUUUUGACGUCCAUUUUAUCAAUAUAAUUUAUUGAUAAAAACAUCCGUUAAUAAUAACAUUUUUUAAUUAUUGACAAAAUUUACUGAUCGAUAUUUUUGUUGAUAAUUAAAAUCCAUCAAUUAAAUUUGUCAAUAAAUUUUAUUUUAUUAAUUGAUUUUUCUGUUGAUAAAAUUUAAAAGAAUUUAGAAAAUAAAAUAUUAAAGUUGAUAAAAUAAUGAGACCCAUAGUUUAAAAUUAAAACAAUUUAAUAAUAGAAAUAGAAUUUCAUAAACUCAUUAUAAAAAAUACUCACUAUCUCUCUAAAAUGUUUUUUCUAAGUUAUUUUUUCUUUUCCUUUAUAAUUUUUAACUCUUGGAUUAUCUAUUUGAUGAUCAAAAGGUGCUUAUGGGUUGAGUUAUGGGUUGUUUUGGUCUAAAAAGAGAGUGUUGAUGAGUGAGAUUUUGAAUUAAAGGUUGAAUGAGUUUAAAUGGGUUUCUAAUUUUGUCCUAUGGCCACUUAUAACUUGUUUGUAAUUUAAAUAGGAGAAAUUUGCAUUAGAAUUGAGUUGUUGCAAUUAGAGUUUGUAUUUGUAUAGUUUCGUUCAAUUAAAGAGGUUUUAACUAGUGAAGUUUCAGUAAUAAGUAUGGGUUAGUCAACGAGGCUUGAGCGCUAGAAAUCCGAGAGGUCUAAUUCUAGCGCUCAACGCCAGUUUGCAUUUCUAGCGCUCAAGCACCAAAAUUGUGAGCAGAAUGGUGUUCAUAGGAAUGGGUACUUCAACGCCAGUUUGCAUGGUUUUCUAUUCAUUUAGCUUUUUUGGUUUCUUCUAAACAUGAAUGUGUAUCUUAUGAGACAUUAUCAUCGGUUUAAGGUUAAUGCAUGUUUCAAAGUGUGCUGUGGAUAUGAAUAUAGGAAAUUUAUGUAUCAAAAUUAUCAUUUUUGUAUGGACUUAUCUAUACAUAAAGCACGUGACGAGAUGUGAUAUUGAUGAGAUCAAACAGGCAAAAACAAAUUUAUAAAUAAUUGUCCUCUCUCUUGCCACUGAUAUUGAAAGCUACCACACCAUCCUAUACCCAAAGUUUUAAUUUACAUAUAUAACUGCAGAAUUCUGUAUGAAAAAUACUGUUAAUUGGAAAUAAAUUUGUAUGCUUCAUUGUAUAUGACUUUAUGAAUGUAAAACUAAGAAAAAACUGACCAUCAACAUAAUAAUAUUUUGUAUAUUUUCCCAGAAAUUAAAUAAAUAAUGAUGUUAAUCUUCUCAUGGAAAUGAGAGACCUAUAUAUAAAUCUUGCUGUAUUUUCUCACGUGUUUGGGACCAGCAUUCAAUUUUUGUCCGGUUGUUUCCUUUGUGAUAAGAUUGUAAUGAAAUCGAACUACGAAUUCUAAGACGUGAUAACAUUUUUUUGUGGUCCAAUUUCUUAGCUUUUUAAGUACCUUAACCCUCCUAGUCUCAAUAAUUCAACCUUUUUACUUUUACCUAUCUGCAUAAAAUAUAAUAUAGAUAUAUAUAUAUAUAUAUAUAUAUAUAUAUAUAUAUAUAAUAUAAUAAAUAUAGAGAGAAUGUUUAACCAUUUCUCUUUUCAAACACAUUAUUACUUAUCCAUCAGAAAUAUCAUACAAAACCAAAAUUAUACAUAUAAGAAUAUUCUUAGAAAUGUUUGGUAAUUUUGUUUGUAAAUCUUUGAGCUAUAUCUGUUUUUUGAUAGUUCAUUUUGUAGUAUCUUUUAAAUUUAUAUUUUUUAUUAACACCUAUAAAUAAAUACAUUUUCGUAUUUGACUUGGUUAAACAAGGAAAUUUAAGUUUUUACUUCUAUCUCUCACCUUUUUCUUCUACCACUUUCACUUCUGACCUUUUCUCACAAUAGAAAAGGAAUUACAAAGUAAAAUUGAUCUUACUCUGCAUUCCGUACUAUUUAAUCUGGAUAAAAUUUGUUUAAAUAUGUUUUAUGUUUUUUCUUAAAAAAAGUUCUUCUUCCUCCUCCAAAAUAGUGUCUUAAGAAAGUUAUAAAAAGUGAUUUCAUAAGUUUUUACUGCAUUAGAAUUCACAAAUGUUGUUCAUUUGAAAGGUACGUGGAGAUGGACGUGGCAAUAAAAGAAAGCGAACACGUUUUUCACAUAAAUAUUUAGUUUUACGUACUAUCAACAACAAGGUCCCAAACAUUCCACUACUUCUCGUACAUUUUCAGUCGUUUGUAUAUCAACGAAGGUGAUAACAAGAACCACAAUACGUGAAAUCAUUAGAAGUCUCGAAAAAAAAAAAAUUGACACAUUUAAAUUUUUUACAUUCAUUUAACAUUAUUUUUAUUUUUUUACAUUCUUUUUUAAAUAAUACAAAAAAUUACAUUUUUAUAAUCAUUUUACUCAUAUAAUAUCUAUAUUAAAUAAAUGUAAAAAUAUGUGAUAGUACCAUUACUUGAAAAAAUUUUCAUAAACGUAAGACCAUCCUGAUAUUUUUUCUAAGACAAGCAAUUAGUAUCUUUGACAACAAUUAUUCUUUUUACGUAGAUGUUUAGAAAAGGUAGAAAUGCAAAGGACAAAAACCUUAAUUCGAGCUCCGAGUAACAAAAUAUUUACAUCAACGUUGGGACUACAUUCCCGAUACCAUUACCCAGCUACAUAUAGUAAAGUAUUUGAAUGAAUUAAUUCUAUCAUUGGAUUAGAGUAAUAUAAAUAUAUAAAUUGAUAACGUAAUUAAAAAGAGUUAAGGGAAUAUAUCGACCAAUUUAAUAUCAAUUAUUAUAAUAUCAAUUAUAAUAAUUGAUAUUUAGUACUAACAAUUAAACUAAAUAAAGAAAAAGUAAAUAUACAAAAAUUAGCUAAUAAAGACUAAUUAUUACAAUUUAAAUACUUGAUAUCCUCCUGCAAGUUGGACGAUCUGGAAGAGAGAUGCAACUUGGAUAGUAAUGAGUCAAACCGAGGAUGAAGCAUAGGCUUUGUGAGUACAUAAGCAAGCUGAUCAUCAGUAGAUACAAAGGACACUCGAAACAUGCCUUUUUGAACAUUUUCAUGAACAAAAUGAUAGGCUAAGGCUAUAUGUUUCUUCCGAGGGUGAAAAACAGGAUUAGCACUCAGAGUUGUGGCACUAAGAUUGUCACAAUAGAUAACCGGAUUGGUUGUGGGCAUGUGACCAAGUUCAGUGAACAAGGAUAGGACCCAUAGAAGUUCACUGGCCAUGUCAGUCAAGGCUUUGUAUUCUGCUUCAGUUGAGGAACGAGCAACAAAGCGUUGUUUUUGGGAGCUCCAAGAGAUGAUAGUGCUACCAAGAUACAACAAAUAACCAGUGGUAGAAAUAUAAUCAUCCUUAUCACCCGCCCAAUCUGCAUCUAAGUAAGCAUGAAAGGUUAGCGAAGUAGUUGUCGAGAUGAAGAUACCUUUGUUGCAAGAGCCCGCCAAAUAACGAAGCACCCGUUUGAGGCAGACCAAUGUGCCGUUGUGGGGUGUUGCAUGAACUGUGCAAGUUUGUUGGUGCUGAAGGCGAUGUCCGGGCGAGUAAGACUUAAGUAUUGAAGAUUUCCCACGAGUGCGCGAUACUCAGUUGGGCAAGGUAGGAGAUCACCAGAAUCCUUGAGUAAUUAAGCACUGGUGGAGAAGGGAGUGGAUGCUGAUUUUGUGUUAGCCAUGCCUGAUUUAUGGAGUAGAUCAAUGAUGUAUUUCCUUUGUGGAAGAAAUAGUCCUGUAAUGGAAGGAAUUACUUUGACGCCCAAGAAAUAGUUAAGACAACCAAGGUCUUUCAGCGAAAAUCAAGCAUCAAUGGUGGAAAUAAGGUUGGACAGCUUUGUAGAGGAACUCCCAAUGAUAAUGAUAUCAUCAACAUAUACUAAUAAAUAUAGUGUGGAACGUAAUUUUUGGUAGAUGAAGAAAGAUGCAUCUGUAGUUGAAUUGACAAAGCCAAGAGAAAGUAGAAACACUCGAAGCUCCGUAUACCAGGCGCGAGGUGCUUGCUUUAGCCCAUAGAGUGCCUUUUUGAGGCGACAAAUAUGAUCAGGGAAACUUUUGUUGACAAAACCAGGGGGCUAGAGCAUGAAAACUUCCUCUUUGAGCGUCCCUUGAAGAAAUGUAUUAUUGACAUCAAGUUGGCGAAUGGGCCAUCCUUGACGAACUGCAAGUGUGAGGACAAUGCGAGUGGUGACCGGUUUAACAACCAAUUUAACAAUGCGAGGCCAACUUUUUUUCUUUAUUUUUUAAAUUGUCCUGUUGCUUAAGAGUUCAUCAUCAGAAGAAGCUUUAACAUAUAUAAUAAGUUUUUUGUGGUAUACUUUAUGUUAUCGAGAUAGAAGGAAAUUGUCUCUAAUUGUAUUCUUGUUCUCUUUUUUAUAUCUCUAAAUUUAUUAAAGAUUAAUAAAUACUAUAAGAAAAUUGAUAUCACCAAUGGUCAAAAUUCGUCGAUAAAUUAAAAUUAUCAACGAUAAAAAUUCUAUCGAUAAGAGUCAGUAGUACAGAAAGAGCUUUAGACGUCUGUUAUUUUGGGCUUUUAACGUCACAUCCAUACACGACGUCUUUAUGGGUGACGUUAAUAGGGCGUGAGACUCUGCAGGUCUGACGUCUUUAUAGACGCCUAUUAAAUGCCAUGUCCCACGUCUAUAAAGAUGUCAGACAUGUCACUACCCGACGUCUAAGGGCACUAUAAAGACAUUGGAUAUGACACUACCCCACGUCUAAGGGCACUAUAAAGACAUCGGACAUGACACUAACUGACGUAUAAGGGCACAAUAGACGUCGGAUAUGGCUUUAACCAACGUCUACUGGGUUUUCGUUGUGUUUUAAUGGAGUUUUGCUCAUGUCUUUGGGUAGUGUAGUAGCACCUCCUCCCUUUGCUAGCUUCUUCGUAAGAAAAAAUUGUGACUUUUGCAUCUCUUAUGGCAUUUCAACCCAAAACCGAAAUUGGGUCAUUGCCUAAUUUCAUUCCAACCGUCAAAGAAAAAGAAUACAAUGGCAUGAAAACUAGGCAAGGACCCAGGUUCGGCUUUGGGUUGAAAUGUCAUAAGAGAUCCAAAAAGACGCAAACUUUUCUUACGAGGAAUCUAGCAAAGGGAGAAGGUGCACUAUGCUACCCAACGACACGAGAAAAACUGCACCAAAACACAAUGAAAACUCAUUUUAAACGUAAGUUUAAAAGGUUCAAAAGAGAUCAAACGCACUUGGAAAUGCAAUGCGCAGAGAGAAAAGGCGAAGGAAGAUGAUGAAGUGUGCGUAACUGCUAGUUCGCAAUGUCCUAUUUAACAGGAAAUCAGACGUUGGUUUCCCAGCGACUGAUGUCUAUUCUCGAAUAUAAGUCGGGGACCUCACUAAUGUGACAUCCAUUCGAUUUAAAAAUUAAUAUUCGUGGUAUAUAUAGACGUUAGGUGUAAUGGGAGCCGACGUCUGUAAUUGAAUAUGGACGUCGGGGUGGCGGGAUCAAACGUCUAGAUGGCGGAAAGAAGUGACUUUUCACCUACCUAUCAGGAAUAUAUACGUCGGUUAGGGGGUACCGACGUCUAUAAUAUUAUAGAUGUCGGUGCCCCUUCUAACCGACGUCUAUAUGACGGAAAGAAAUGACUUUUCACCUACUUGUCAGACAUAUAUACGUCAGUUAAUAGGGGCCCCGACGUCUAUAAUAUUAUAGACAUCGGGGCCCCAUCGACCCAACGUCGAUAUCCCAACUUAUUUAAGAAAAUGCCACCGGUCAAUAAUUUAAGUUGGGUUUUUUCUGGUCUGAUGUCUAUGGGUGACGUUAAAGCCUAAUUUUGCACUAGUGAGUAUUGUUGUUGAUAAAUUUGUUAACAAAUUUUUUGUUACCAACAAAUUUUUCCAUUUGUACAUUUGUUGGUAAUUAUCAAUGAAUUUUUACGUCGAUGAAUUUGUCAGUAAUUAUUGGCAAAAAAAUUCGUAGGUAUUCCGUUGGUAAUUAUCGAUAAAGAAAUUUGUUGAUAAAAUCUGUUGGUAAUUAUUGAUGAAAUUUUUCGUUGGUAAAUAUUACAAUCUAGUUCAUCAUCUUCCUCGCUCUCCCUCUUCUUCUUCUUUCUUUCAAUUUUAUCAAUUCAGAAAAAUGAACACAUUCCAAACAAAAUAUGAAUCCUUCACUACAAGCUUUGAUAAAAUUUUGGGAAAAAAAUUAUGAAAGUUCAUGUCAAACAGCAGCUUUGCCGAUGGUGGAAAACGUUGGCUUUGGUCAAGAUUAGAGUGGACAAUAACUGCAUUGCCUGAUGAUGGUAGUGCUUGGAGUGAAAAAGAGGAAGAAAAGAGAUAUUGGUCCUCCCAUGCGCGUGUUAGAGAAGAAGAAAAUGAAGUGGAAGACCUUAAUGACGUCGGUGUAGGUAGAGACGAUGACCUGGUUGGAUAGAGAUGGAGACAUGUCAAAGGAGUUUGUAGCUACGGUGACUUGAGCUAAAUGGAGAAGUGGAGGAAUACAAAUGCUCCAUCGUGCAACAAAAAUGAAGACAUGUAAGAAAGAGCGAAAUAAAUAAUUCUCUCCCGGACAAAGGGAAAAAAUGGGCAAAAAUUCAUAUUUUGUCAGUAAUUCAUAUUUCAUUUAUUGUCUAUUGGUAAAUAAAAAAAAUAGAAGGGAAAAUUUUGGUUCUUUUUACCGAUAAAGUUUUCUAUGGAUAAUAUAUUUCUCAUUUAGUGUCAGAUUUUAUUGAAAAAUUUUUCAAUAGGUAAGAGAAAUAUACGUUAACGACAUGAAUUCAUCGGUAAAAUUUGUCUCUAAUUCGAAUUUACUGACCAAUUUGUUUUCUUCAAUAAAAUUCAACAGGUAAUUUCAAGAAUUUUUGUAGUAAAAAUAAUUCAAAUAUAAAAAAGAAAAUUAUAAAACUUAUUGUUCAUAAAUAUUAAGUUAAAGAUAAUAUCUUUACCUCUUAUAAAGUUUUAAUUGUGGCUAUUUUUUAAAGUACUUUUCUCACAAAACCGCACUUUUAGAAUUAAGCACCUAUACAUUCACAAUCUUUGCUGAACCCAACACCACACUUUUAGAAUUAAGCAUACAAAUUACAUAAAGAUAGGAAAGAAACAAUCACUUACAGAAAAGGAAAACGAACAUCCAGACUUGUAACAUUAGGAAAAGAUCCUAUAAUCCUAAUGUUACAUAUUAAAGAGAAAGAAACACACUUUGGCAAUGAAAACCUUAUUUGCAACAUAUUAUGACAUUUUUGGUGAUUCAUGAUAGUGAAUCCCUUCAUUCGGUGACUGGCAAAAUGCCUUUAAGGGGUGGCCAACCUUCAACGAUAGGAGUCACAGCACUCACAAGUGUGUCAUUAGUUUCAUGUGGGGUGACUUUCAUACGCACAUAGUGAUCUCCUUUGAAAAGGUAAACUUCAUUCUCCAAAUGAGAAGAAAAACACGCAUCAAUUCCAUUUUCAAAGAUCGUACCUUUCAAAACAGGGAACCCUUCGGUGAUGUCAAGAAUGUCGAUAAUACGCUUAUUGGUAUCAUAAGUAAUGCGAGUAUACUUCGCUCCCUUGAAUAUGUAAACUUCUUUCCCUAUGCUUGACCUAAAUGCACCGUCCACGCCCUCAGCAAACACCGUGUUUGUUAGGUCGGGAAACAUUUCAGCGAUUGUGAUAGGACCUACGAGGAUCCUGUCGUUUCCUGUGUUUGGAGCAUAGUCUAUGUAGGCACAGUUCUUGUCUGAGAAGAUAUAUGCUUCACUGCCUUCAGUGUUGAAGGAACAGUCUAUUCCUUGUUCUGCAAACGGCGUUCCUGCAAGUGAUGGAAAACCAGCACUAACCAAUUCAAGAGGAGUCAUAAGUUCAUCACCUAAUGCUCCGGGAGUGUAAUACAGCCUCACGUACUUGUUUUUCAUGAAGAAAUAGACUUGGAAUGGCUUUGAUGAAGGCAAUGCGGCAUCGAUAUAAACAGGGUCUGACAUUUUUCUUAACACAAGAAGAAGAAGAAGGAGUAAGAGAAAAAGAUAGAUAGAUAGAUUUAGUAUGCUUAUUUACGUUCCUCUCAGCCACCUAUUUAUACUCUUAUGAAAUCGGAUCCUCGGCCUUGUUCACUCUAUACACAUGUAGAAUUAAAAAUGAUCCUGAUAUUUUUUAUUUUAAAAAGGACAAAAUAACGGAAAAUAAUAAUAUUUUAGUUAUGUUUACAUUACUUUUUUAUUUAAAAGUGUAAUAUAAAUUAUUAUAUUAUUACAAAAAAGGGUCAAAUGAAUAUAUUUUUAAGUAGGGUGUCCAAAAACUUUUUCUUCUUGAAUGUUUAAUAAUUUUUUUAUAACAUUUAAUUACGCAAAAUAUAUAUUUUUUAAUUUUUCUUUAUUAAAAUAGUGAGAUCAACUUUAAGGUAUCAAAAUUAUCAUUUUUGUAUGAACUUAUCUGUACAUAAAGCACGUGACGAAAUGCGAUAUUGAUAAGAUCAGACAUGCAAAAACAAAUUUAAUAAUUGUCCUCUCUCUCGCCGCUUAAAUAAAUAUACCGAAAGUUUUAAUUUGCAUAUAUAGCUGCAGAAUUCUGUAUGAAAAAUACGGUGAAUUUAAAAUAAAUUUGUAUGUUUCAUAUUGUAUAUGAAUUUAUGAAUGUAAAACUAAGAAAAAACUAAUCAUCAAAGUAAUAAUAUUUUGUAUAUUUUUCAAGAAAUUAAAUAAACAAUGAUGUUAAUCUUCUCGUGGAAAUGAAAGACCUAUAUAUAAAUCUUGCUGUAUUUUCUCACGUGUUUGGGACCAACAUUCAAAUUUUGUCCGGUUGUUUCCUUUGUAAUAAGAUUGUAAUGAAAUUGAACUACGAAUUCUAAGACGUGAUAGCAUUUUUUUGUGCUCCAAUUUCUUAGCUUUUUAAGUUAAGUACCUUAACCCUCCUAGUCUCAAUAAUUCAACCUUUUUACUUUUACCUAUCUGCAUAAAAUAUAAUAUAGAUAUAUAUAAUAUAAUAUAUAUAGAGAGAAUGUUUAACCAUUUCUCUUUUCAAACACAUUAUUAUUUAUCCAUCAGAAAUAUCAUACAAAACCAAAAUUAUGUUAUAAUAUAUUGCAAAAUAAGUAAACGUUGCAUUGCAACGUUAAUAUUUGCCAACAUUAAAUUUCUUAAUUGCCAACGUUAUUUAAUAACAACGUUCAAAUAAUUUUGAAGCAAGGUUAUUAUUUUUAUGUUUUUAAUGUUUUUAAUUUCUUUUAUUUAAAUUGAUUCUUUCUUAACUAUAUAAAUAGAGAGUUUUUUCCCAUUUCAAAACACAUCAAAGUAUUUAUCUCAUUCUCCCUUUGUCUCAUUCUUUCUUCUCUUUUCCCUUUUCUAAAAAUCUGGAUUAUUUUUAUACUUUGUUUAGAGUUUCUUGCUAGUUCUAAGAUCCUCAAAAAUUUUCUGAGAAGUUCAUGUUGUAUCAUAGGGGACUUGCGUAACACGGGGACUUGCGUAACACACCAAUAGUAAGUGUGAUAUAUGUGUAGAAUCUAAAAUAACAAAGAAAACAUGUUUUUCUGUAGAAUGUCAAACUGAAACAAACCAUGUCUAUAGAGGAGGUAAAAAUUAUUUUGUGACCUUUAUAGAUGAUUUUUCUCGAUACAUCAAAGUUUACUUAAUCAAACAUAAAGAUGAAACCUUUAAUGUGUUUUUAACCUAUAAAGCAGAAGUAGAAAAUCAGCUAUAAGAAAAUUAAGAGGGUUAGAUCAGAUAGAGGUGGUGAGUAUGUGUUGUUUAAUGAAUUUUGUGUUAGAGAAGGGAUUAUCCAUGAAGUGACCCCACCAUAUUCACCCGAGUCUAAUGGAGUAGUUGAGAGGAAAAAUAGAACCCUUAAGGAAAUUAUGAAUGUUAUGCUUGUUAGUUCUAGUGCACCUGAUAACCUUUGGGGAGAAGCCUUGCUUAUAACCUUUGGGGAGAAGCCUUGCUUACUACAUGUUUUUUACAAAAUAGGAUACCCCAUACGAAAACUGGUAAAACUCCUUAUGAGUUGUGGAAAGGUUACCAACCUAACCUUAAAUAUCUAAGAGUGUGGGGGUGCCUAGCUAAGGUAAUGUUACCCGAUCCUAAGAAAAGGAAAAUAUGAUCUAAAAUUGUUGAUUGCGUGUUCUUAGGUUAUGCUGAACAUAGUGCUGCCUAUAGGUUUCUAGUUGUUAAAAGUAACAUACUUGAGAGAAAUUCUAUAAUGGAGACGAAAAAUGCUCAGUUUUUUGAACAUGUGUUUCCCUUAAAGGUUAGUGAGAUGUCUCAACCUGUUGAUGAUAAUGAUAAUAAUAAUAAUAAUAGUUAUACCAUGAAUGAGGAUUUGAGAAGAAGUAAAAGACAGAGAUAAGAAACUUCCUUUGGAGAUGACUUUUAUACUUAUCUUGUUGAUAAUGAUCCAACUAGCUUUGUAGAAGCUACUAGUGCUCCUGAUGCAAAACAUUGUGAUAAGGCCAUUAAGACUGAAAUUGAAUCAAUUUGGAAAAACAAUACUUGGACUUUAGUAGAUUUGCCUAAAGGAGCAAAACCCAUAGGUUGUAAAUGGAUCUUUAAGAAAAAAUAUCACCCUGAUGGAUCCAUAUAGAAAAAUAUAAGGCGAGAUUAGUAGCAAAAGGAUUGACUCAAAAAUCCAACAUAGAUUACUUUGAUAUUUUUGCUCUUUUGACUAGGAUUUCCUCUAUCCGAGUGUUGUUAGCUCUAACAAUUAUCCAUAAACUAGUGAUACAUCAGAUGGAUGUUAAAACAACCUUUUUGAAUGGUGAUUUAGAGGAGGAAAUUUAUAUGACUCAACCUAAAAGGUGUGUUAUACUUGGUCAAGAGGAUAAAGUUUGUAAACUCUUAAAAUCCUUGUAUGGGUUGAAACAAGCACCAAAACAAUGGCAUGAAAAACUUGAUAAUGUGUUGCUUUGUGAUGGUUUUCCACCUAAUGAUGCUGAUAAAUGUGUGUACUCUAAAUAUGAAAAUGGUGAUAGUGUCAUUAUAUGCUUGUAUGUGGAUGACAUGUUAAUAUUUGGUACAUGCAAUGAGAUUGUCGUUAGAACUAAAUUGUUUCUAGGAUCAAAAUUUGAAAUGAACGACAUGGAUGAAGCCAAUGUGUUUUAGGUUUUAGAAUCAUAAGAAAGGAAGGUAGUAUAUUACUAUCUCAAGAACAAUACGUUCAGAAACUUCUUAAGAAGUUUAGGUUUUAUGACUUAAAACUAGUGAGUACCCCUUAUGAUGCUAAUUCUAAUUUAAUGAGCUUUUCUAGACCUGAUAUUGCUUAUGCAGUAGGUAGACCGAGUAAGUACACUCAAUGUCCAAAUCAGGAACAUUGGGAUGCACUUGCUAGGCUUAUGAGAUACUUAAGAGGUUCAAUGGAUUAUGCCAUUGAAUACAGUGGAUUUCCUGUUGUACUAGAAGGAUACAGUGAUGCUAACUGGAUUUCUGAUUCAGAUGAGACAAAAUCCACUAGUGAUUAUGUAUUCACACUUGGGGGGGGGUGCGAUUACAUGGAGAUUAGCCAAGCAAACUAUUAUUGCAAGACCAACAAUGGAAUCUGAGUUUGUUGCUCUUGAGAUGGCUGGUAAUGAUGCUGAGUGGUUGAAAAACUUCUUAGCGAACAUUCCACUAGGAAUGAAACCAACCCCAUCGGUAUCAAUUCACUGUGAUUGCCAAUUGACAAUAACUAUAGCUAAAAACAAGAAUUACAAUGGAAAGAAUAGACAUAUACAAUUGAGAUACAAUUUGGUGAAGCAGCUGCUAAAGAGUUGAACCAUUUCCAUUGAUUAUGUGAAGUCAAAACGGAAUCUAGCGGAUCCUCUGACAAAACCCUUGGGAAGACAAAUGAUAUUGGAAACAUCGAGGGAAAUGAGACUUAAGCUACUUGCAGAUAAACAAGUGAUGGUAACCCAACCUUUGUGAUUGGAAGUCUUAUGAAUAAGGUUCAUAUGGGUAAAAACAAGUCACUUGUUAGUUCUGAUAGUACUAAAUUGAUUUUAAUCAAUUUUUUUCAAAAAAUAAUAAUUUAGACAACGGUUUUAGUAAAAAUCGAGACAAUAGAUCCAAUUUUUUUUGCUUUAUAGCUUCGGAUUUUUUGAGCCGAAAUCUUUCUGUCUCGAUUUUUUAAUAUCGUAACCAUUAUCAUAUUUAUUAUUGUAAAAAUUGCUAUGUAAUUUUAGCUCUUACUCUUCAUUUUUUUAUUGUUAUUGUUGUCCUUACUGUUACUUCCAUUGUCGUGAUUACCUCCUCUUCCUUUUCUCCUAGUUCUUCACUUCUUCUUUUCACAUACUUCUAUAUAGUUUUUAACAAAUAUUUCAUUAUAUUUUACAAAAAAAUUAAUGUCUAUUCUACUAAAUAAUUGUUAUAAAUUUUCAAAAACUCAACUAUUAUAAUUUUUUUAAAAGAAUUCAAACAUUAUAUAUUUACUGACAAUUUUUUUAAAAAAAUCUAUUAUUAACUUCUUCUAUCACAACAUUUUUAGAGUCUAAAAUAAGAAUUUUAAUUAUCAUUUUGUCAACAUAAUUUACCGACAAAAACAUAUUUCAAUAGUAAAAAUUUUAAAUUAUUAAUAACUUUUACUGAGAAAUUUAUUACUAAUAAAUAUUUUUAUUGAUAAUUAAAAUUCAUUUGUUGAUAAAUUCUAUUUUAUUAAUAAAUUUAUUUACCGGUAUUUGAAUGAUAGAUAAUUGAAAUAUAUAUAUAUAUAUAUAUAUAUAUAUAUAUAUAUAUAUAUAUAUAUAUAUUAUUCAACCUUUUUACUUUUACCUAUUUACAUAUAAUAUAAUAUAAAUAUAUAUAAUAUAAUAUAUAAAGAGAUAAUGUUUAACCAUUUCUCUUUUCAAACACAUUAUCCAUCAGAAAUAUCAUAACAACCCAAAAUUAUACAUAUAAGAAUAUUGUUAGAAAUAUUUAUUUACGUUCAUCUCCAGCCACCUAUUUAUACUGUUAUGAAAUCGGAUCCUCAGCUUUUUUUUUUUUCUUUUCUUUUCUUUACAUUUUGUUCAUAUACACAUGUAGAAUUCAAAAAGAUCGUAAUAUUAUUCAUAUUGAAAAAGGAUAAAUUAACGGAAAAUAAUAAUAUUUUAGUUAUGUUUACAUUAUUUUUUAUUUAAAAGCGUAAUAUAAAUUAUUAUACUAUUAAAAAAAAAGGGGUCAAAUGAAUAUAUUUUUAAGAAGGGUGUCCAAAAACUUUUUCCUCUUGAGUUGUUUAAUUAUUUUUUUAAAAUAUCUAUUUUUAUAUUUUUUUUAUUAAAAUAGUCAAAUCAAUUUUAAGGUAUCAAAAUUAUCAUUUUUGUCGGGACUUAUCUAUACAUAAAGCACGUGCGAGAUGUGAUAUUGAUAAGAUCAAACGGGCAAAAGCAAAUUUAUAAAUAAUUGUCCUUUCUCUUGCCACUGAUAGCUACCACACAGUAUUUCUUCUUAAAUAAAUAUACCCAAAGUUUUAAUUUACAUAUAUAACUGCAGAAUUCUGUAUGAAAAAUACUGUUAAUUGGAAAUAAAUUUGUAUGUUUCAUUGUAUAUGAAUUUAUGAAUGUAAAACUAAGAAAAAAAUGACCAUCAACAUAAUAAUAUUUUGUAUAUUUUCCAAGAAAUUAAAUAAAUAAUGAUGUUAAUCUUCUCAUCGAAAUGACAGACCUAUAUAUAAAUCUUUCUGUAUUUUCUCACGUGUUUGGGACGAGCUUUCAAUUUUUGUCUGGUUGUAAUGAAAUCGAACUACGAAUUCUAAGACGUGAUAACAUUUGUUUGUGGUCCAAUUUCUUAGCUUUUUAAGUUAAGUAUGGCUCAUCGCUUAAACCUUAAACCCUCCUACUCGCAAUAAUUAUAACAUGCACAAAUAUAUAUAUAUAUAUAUAUAUAUUAAUAACAUGCAUGAAGCUAUUUAUAAUUUUACUUAUAACCUAGAUAGUUUACUUUUAUUAAUAUAUCUCCACAACAAUCUAAAAGUGUUAAUCAUGUUUAUAAUGAAUUUGAAGGAGAAUGUCAUGUAUCAAAGUAAUUAUAAAAUGAUUAAAAAAUUAGAUGAAAACUUUUAUUUAUUAAUUUUUUUCCACUAAUAAAAUUUGUAGAAAAAUAUUAUAAUUUAAUUUUUUUAUUAUUAUAUUCCAUUAUCGUUUGUUUUCAUAUUUACAUAUCAUAUUUAUUAUUGUUAUUAUGGCUAUGUGACUUGUCUUNAGCUCUUACUCAUGUUGUUGUAAUGUUGUCACUUUCAUUUUCGUGAUCACCUCCUCUUCCUUUUUUUUUCAUAAUUAUUCACUUCUUAUUUUUACAUACUUCUAUAUAGUUUUUAACAAANAUUUCAUUAUAUUUGACAAGAAAAUUGAUGUCUAUUUUAGUGACAUAAUUAUUGAUAAAUUUUUAAAAACUUAACCAAAGUAAUAAAGNGUCUAUGACCUCGGUUAAACAGGCAAUUGUUGCCAUAAGAUCUGUGUACAUGACAAGUAAAGACUUUUCAUUUGUCAAAAAUAUUUGUACAGAGUUCUUGGCCCUGGUUGUUUUCAAAACCGAGGUCGUAGAUCCUCUGCUCCAAUUGACAUUCUCAUUUGUAGUCUGACGAAAAUCUCUGUGCAAGGCUUCUGGCCUCGGUUGUUUUCAGAACUGAGGCCACAACUCCACUGCCAAACCCUGACAUUCCUCUUUACACUGACGUUUGAACUGACAAACUAUAUGAAAGAGGUAUACGACCUCGAUUCUGCAGACAACCGAGGUCAUAGCCCCCUUCUUUUGACCCUUUUUAAAUAAUUAAAAUAUAAUGUUUUUUGGUUUUUGGCACUGGUUUUAUUUGAACUGAGGUAAUAUGGAAAUUUUGUCUCAGUUUGGCAAGGACCCGAGAUAAAAUUGUUGAAAAAAACUGCAAAAUUGUCACUUCAAAUUAUUUUUGAGUUUUUUUCUGGGGACUUUAGGCCUUGGUUGUUUAUAGAGCUGAGGUCAUAAACCUUUUACUGCUUCGGUUUUAAUUUUAANUGAGGCAGUAUCCCUUGCCAGGGUUAAAUUUUCUUGAAAGCGAAUAGUGCCAUCUUAUGCACUGAUCCUCUGCAUUCUUUCUUUGCACUUCUCACCCCAUCGCGACUCUGUUCUUUUUUUGCAGUUCUUGACGCUAUUCUUUGUGCCACCAUUGUCAUUGUUGACGGCGUUCUUUGCUCAUUUUUCCUCGCGAACGUUUUCAUCCGAUCAAAUUUAGCUUUCGUUGCCAUGGUUAGAACCACUUUCUUCCUUUUAUUAUUUUUGCAUUUUUGGAUUGUUUUGAUACAUUUUUUUGAUUAUUUUGAUGUGUUUUUUUAUUGUUAUGGAUGAUCAGACUAACUUUUUGUUGUAUUUGUGUUUAGGUAUUGUGUUUUUGCUAUGAAAUUUGUUUCGUUCCAAAACUAGGGUAGUCAAAUCUUCUCUAUAGUUGUUUGCUUUUUCACGCCUAUUAUUGUGUUUAUUAAUUUUCUUUUGUAAAAGUUUAAUGUUUUGUAUGUUGAAUAUAUAUAAUUAUGUAUGAUCGAAUGAGAUAGGAUCAAACCUUGAAUACACAAACGAUCAAAUUGAUCAUUUAAGAUUAUUUAAAUAUUGUAGACAAUUUCAGUAUAUUUAUGUAUGAAUUGAGAUUGAAUUAAUUUGCCACGUAUUAAUGUUAAGUACGAAAGAAGGGUAAAAGAAUUUAUACAAUUUGUGCAACGUAAUGAAGGUAGAAGUGAUGAUGAAGUGAAGUUUAAAUGUCCUUGUGUCAACAGUUUGAAUGAGAGAAAAUUGAACAAACCAAAAUUAGGAAACAUCUUAUUUGUGAUGGUUUCCUAUGAUGGAUGUUAUAAAACAUGGAUAUAGCAUAACCUUAACUUUAACCUCAAACUUUUCACCACUUUCCUUUCUCAAGCUCAAACAUUGUCAAAAUGCAUAACCGUGUUGUCUUCUCAAAUUUUCCUACGCCAGUAGGCACCAACACCUUUCUUUCUUUUUAACUUAUGACAUCAUUGAUAUACAAAACCAUGUUGAUUUCUCAAGUCUUGAUACACCAGUAUUUAUUCGAAACUUCUCUUAUUUUAGCCUUUCUUGUAAAGCUUGUGAUUUCUACUCCUCUAACUCUAUUCUUACAAUUCCUUCAACUCAAAAGUAGCUUCUGAACUCCAAUAUACUUUUUGGUAAGAAUUAUCCAUAAAGUUAUAAAAUUAUUUUUACGGAUUAAAUUAAAUCCAUGAUAAUAAGUGUAUAAACUAAAUCAAACCAACAACUUUUAUUUAUUAUCAAGUGCACAAAUCACACGGUGAUAGGAAACAAACAUCGAAACGAAACACAAACAUUAAGACAUGUUACAUUAGGACAGGAAACAGGCAUCCAAUCCCAAUGUUAGAUUAAAGAGAAAGAAACAAACUUUGGCAAUGGAAGCCUUAUUCGUAGCAUAUUAUAACACCAUUUAUUGAGAUGAGGCUCACGAGAAUGAAGGCUUGUUUAGUUCACAGGCAAAAUGCCAUUAAGAACAGACCAACCAUCAAGGAUAAGCUUGAUAUCACCGAUAAGAGUGUCAUCAUAUGUACCUGGGCUGAAUUUGAAACGCACAUACUUGUCUCCUUUGAAAAGGUAAGCUUCAGACUCCUUAUGAGAAGCAAAACACGCAUCGAUUCCACUUUCAAAGAUGGUACCAUUCAGAACAGGAAAGCCAUCAGCGAUGUUGCGAAUGCUGCCAACAAGCUGCUUGGAAUCAUAGUCUAUGCGAACAUACUUAGUGCCCUUGAAUAAGUAAACUUCUUUUCCUAUGGUGGAUCUAAGUGCAGAGUCUAUGCCAUCCGCAAACACCGUGUUUCUGAGGACAGGAAACAUUUGAGCAAUAGUGGUAGGACCUGCGAGUAUCUUGUCAUUAUGUGUACCUGGAGCAUAGUCUAUGUAGGCACAGAUGUUGCCGGAGAACACGUAUGCUUCACUCGCUUCAGUGUCAAAGGAAGCGUCUAUUCCAGGUUCUGCAAAUGGUGUUCCUGCAAGUGAUGGAAAACCACUACUAAUCAAGGUGAGAUUAGUUAAAAUCUCAUCAUAUCCUCCGGGAGUGUAUUUCAAGCGCACAUACUUGUUCUUGGCGAAGAAAUACACUUCAUAUUCUCUUGAUGAACGAAGUGCAGCAUUGAUAUAAGGGUCUGACAUCUUUCUCGACAAAAGAAGAGGAAGUAAUUGUAUAGAGAGAUAUGAUUUAAGGAUGCUUACAUUCCUCUCCGAUACACCUAUUUAUACUGUUGUGGAGUGGGAAUUUCUUUACUUGCCAUUACUUUAAUUUUGUCUAUUUUCUAAUACUUUAAUUAAUUAAAUAAUUUAUUAUAAUAUCUUAGCUGAAUAUAAUUAAUUAAAUAAUUUAUUAUAAUACUUUAAUUAAUUCGUUGCCCACUUAACAGAAGGCCAUGACAAGAAUUAAACGGAGAAUAUAUUGCAGAUAAUUUUGAAGAUAAUGAUAUAUAGACAACAUUUUUUUGACAACAUUUGAACAUUGAUUACGUGUCAAUUUGUGAUUGGUCAAAAAUUACUCCACAAUCACAAUCAUAAAUUGGAUAAUAACAAUAGUGUUUAUGAUUAUUAUUAUUGAUUGUGGAGUAAUUUUUGACCAAUCACAAAUUGACACGUAAUCAAUGUUCAAAUGUUGUUAAAAAAAUGUUGUCUAAAUAUCAUUAUCCAAUUUUGAAAGUGAUGGCGGGCUUAUGAAAACAAAUGUACGAUGUGAUUCUGUUAAUUGUUAAUUCCACUCGCACGUUGUCGUAAAGAAACAUAAAUGAUGGAGAAUGAGGAUGCAACAUUGUAUGGACGUAUCUGUACAUAAAGCACGUGACGAGAUGUGAUAUUGAUAAAAUCAAAUAGGCAAAAGCAAAUUUAAUAAUUGUCCUCUCUCUUGCCACUGAUAUUGAAAGCUACCACACCAUCCUAUACCCAAAGUUUUAAUUUACAUAUAUAACUGCAGAAUUAUCUAUAAAAAUACGAUUAAUUGGAAAUAAAUUUGCAUGCUUCAUUGUAUAUGAAUUUAUGAAUGUAAAACUAAGAAAAAACUGACCAUCAACAUAAUAAUAUUUUGUAUAUUUUCCAAGAAAUUAAAUAAAUAAUGAUGUUAAUCUUCUCAUCGAAAUGACAGACCUAUAUAUAUAAAUCUUGCUGUAUUUUCUCACGUGUUUGGGAACAGCUUUCAAUUUUUGUCCGGUUGUUUGUGGUCCAAUUUCUUAGCUUUUUAAGUUAAGUAUCGCUCAUCCUUUGAACCUUAACCCCUCCUAGUCUCAAUAAUUAUAACAUGCACAAAAGUUUUAUAUAUAUAUAUAUAUAUAUAUAUAUAUAUAUAUAUAUAUAUAUAUUAUAAUAAUAAUAACAUAAAUGAAGCUAUUUAUAAUUUUACUUAUAACCUAGAUAAUUUACUUUUAUUAAUAUCUCCACAACAAUCUAAAAGUGUUAAUCAUGUUUAUCAUAAAUUUGAAGGAGAAUGUCAUGUAUAAAAGUAAUUAAAAAAUGAUCUAAAAAUUAGAUGAAAACUUUUAUUUAUUAAUUUUUUUCUACUAAUAAAAUUUGUAGAAAAAUAUUAUAAUUUAUUUAUUUUUUCAUUAUCUUCCAUUGUCGUAUGUUCUCAGGUUUACUUUAUUAUUGUUAUUAUCGCCAUGUGGCGUGUCUUUAGCUCUUACUCAUCUUUUUUCAUUGUUGUUGUACUGUUGUCACUUUCAUUUUCGUGGUCACUCCUCUUCUUUUUCUCAUAAUUCUUCACUUCUUAUUUUCACAUACCUCUAUAUAGUUAUUAACAAAUAUUUUUAUUGAUAAUUAGUACUUCUUUUUGGAUAAUGUUUAUCUAUCUUCUCUGCAUUCCGUACUAUUUAAUCUGUAUAAAAUUUGUUUAAAUAUGUUUUAUGUUUUUUCUUAAAAAAAGUUUUUCUUCCUCCUCCAAAAUAGUGUCUUAAGAAAGUUAUAAAAAGUGAUCUCAUAAGUUUUGACUGCAUUUACACAAAUGUUCAUUUGAAAGGUACGUGGCAAUAAAAGAAAGUGAACACCUUUUUCACAUAAAUAUUUAGUUUUACGUACUAUCAACAACAAGGUGGUCCCAAACGUUCCACUACUUCUCAUACUUUUUCAUUCGAUUAUUGUUCUUGUAUAUUAAUGAAGGUGACAACAAGAAGCACAACACGUAAUUAUUGGCAGUAGACCUGUCAAAUAACUCCUUAUAAUAGGUCUUGGUUCUAGGUCAUGUGGAUUGGGGUCAAAAAAACCCUUAGGGCCAAAAAAGCUCUUUAUUAAAAAAGUUUUGAGGGUUAAAAAACUUCAAAGUCCUGUAGGUUAGGGUCAGCUCAUGGAUUUUCUUUUUUACAAAAAAAAAUAAAUAUCCAACAAUAAAUUGCAUUUUUCUAGAAAAAAAGAACAUUUAUGUUAAGUGUUAUAACUUGAAAAAUACAUGUAAGCAUACAUGUAAGCAUCUUUCUUUUACUUUAAUAAAUAUUUUUACAUAAUUAUUAAUUAGAAAAUAAUAAAUAGGAUUUCAUAUUUUUCAUCCCUAAAUUUGACGUUAAAUUGAAAUUAGUGUAUAUUAUAACCUUUCAAAAAUNNNNNNNNNNNNNNNNNNNNNNNNNNNNNNNNNNNNNNNNNNNNNNNNNNNNNNNNNNNNNNNNNNNNNNNNNNNNNNNNNNNNNNNNNNNNNNNNNNNNNNNNNNNNNNNNNNNNNNNNNNNNNNNNNNNNNNNNNNNNNNNNNNNNNNNNNNNNNNNNNNNNNNNNNNNNNNNNNNNNNNNNNNNNNNNNNNNNNNNNNNNNNNNNNNNNNNNNNNNNNNNNNNNNNNNNNNNNNNNNNNNNNNNNNNNNNNNNNNNNNNNNNNNNNNNNNNNNNNNNNNNNNNNNNNNNNNNNNNNNNNNNNNNNNNNNNNNNNNNNNNNNNNNNNNNNNNNNNNNNNNNNNNNNNNNNNNNNNNNNNNNNNNNNNNNNNNNNNNNNNNNNNNNNNNNNNNNNNNNNNNNNNNNNNNNNNNNNNNNNNNNNNNNNNNNNNNNNNNNNNNNNNNNNNNNNNNNNNNNNNNNNNNNNNNNNNNNNNNNNNNNNNNNNNNNNNNNNNNNNNNNNNNNNNNAAGUUUUGGAGUGAGACUAAAAUUUAAUUAAAGUUUUGGAGUGGGACUAAACCCACUUUAACCCUGACCCUAACCCACUUGAGAGGGGGUUUUGGGGAUUUGGACUUUUUUCUGACCCCCUACUUAAGAGGCUUCUUAAAAUAGGGUUUUUUCAAUAGUGGAUUAGAAUGAUCCUGAGCCAUGGGUUAAACUAACACCUCUAGCCACAAAAAAGAAAUUUAAUUUUGCANAUAUUUUUUCUAACACAAGCAAUUAGUAUCUUUAACAACAAUUAUUCUUUUUAUGUAAAUGUUUAGAAAAGGAAGAAAUGCAAAAGGACAAAAACCUUAAUUCGAGCUCAGAGUAACAAAAUAUUUACAUCAACCUUGGGGCUACAUUCCCGAUAGCAUUACCCAGGGGGCACCAAGCCAAGGAUAAGAUCAAGAAAUCUAUAAAUUAAAUAUUCCAUGAAUGUAUGCAAACAGAGAGCUAAAACUUCUGAAAUAAAUGACCCNAAAACAAACAAUCCAAGAGUCUAAAACAGAGAGCCAAAAGAUAUUGCAAACAUUUUGAAAUAAGUCUAAAAUAUUUCCAUCAGGUUUUUCAUUCUGCAUUUCUUCAUUAACAACAAUCGCAUCAUUCUUCGAAUGUUUACUAUAAUUUUAACCUACUAGAAUCAUGUGUUAGAAUUUAUUUGAUAUAAUGUGUUAUGUAUUAUGAAGAUAUUUGUUUUUUUUUUAUCUAUUGUGAUCAGAUCACCGUCUAAUUUCAUAUUCAAUAUAUAUAUAUAUAUAUGGGGUUUGUUAACACGCGUACGCCUGUUUUUCAGUUGGUACGUUUUAACAAUGUGUACCGGAUUAUAAUAGACAAAAAUAUCCUCAUUUAUCAUGGAUUCUAAGUUUUAAAGUAAAGGAUAUUUAAAUAAUUUUCAUUCUCAAAACUAAAAAAAAAAAACACGAAACCCCCAAACUCUUACUCACCUCCCUCAUUCCUCUCAACCCUUUCUCUUUCAUCUUUCUCACUCCAAUAUUUUCUCUGUCAUUCCUAUUUCCUAUUGCUCGAAUUGAAAAAAAAAUCAUAACUUUUUCCUUUCUCUGUUGGUAUGGGAUACAUGAUGUAAGAUUACAACCUAGAAUUGAAAGAAUUGUACUCCUAGGAAAUUCUUCUAUAUCAAUUUCUUUAAUUCCCUUAUGUUCCUUUUUUAUCACUGAAUCAACUUCUACAGGCGUUUAGAAUAAACUUUAACCACUGUGCAAGAUAAAAACUAGUAAAAUCAUUUUUUAUCUUUGAGAUUUGGGAAGAGUAACAUAAAAUGACAAAUUUUAUAUUCAUUUUACACACAUUAAUAAAUAUAAAAUGAUUAUAAAAGAGUAAACUUUUUCAAUUUUUAAAAAAUAUCUCUGAUUCAAAUUGCUACCACCAUCUUCAAUUGGGUUGAGAUAAGAGAAAAAAUGUUGGAAUGAUGACAGAGAAAAUGUUGAGAUGAGAGAGAAAAUAUCUCUGAUGACAAAGGGUUUCUGAUUUUUUUUUAAUUGGGGCAACAGUAGGGAUGACAGAGAAAAUGUUAGAAUGAGAAAGAUGACAGAGAGAUGAGAGAGAAAGGGUUGAGAGGAAUGAGGGAGGUGAGUAAGGGUUUCAGGGUUUCUUUUUUUUUUUUUUUAGUUUUGAGAAUGAAAAUUAUUUAAAUAUCUUUGACCUUAAAACUUGAAUCCAUGAUAAAUGAGGGUACUUUUGUCUACUAUAAUCCGGUACACAUUGUUAAAACGUACCAACUGAAAAACAGGCGUACGCGUGUUAACAAACCCCUAUAUAUAUAUAUAUAUAUUUCAACACGAGAAUAUGAUGAAAGUAAUAUAUGUUAAAAGUUUUACAUUAACUAAAAAUAAAGACAUGUCAUAAUAUGUAAACGAUUACAAAUUUUAGUUUACAAACUAAUUUUAUAAAAUUAAAUUAAAUUUAAAAUUUAUUUUCUACCAUUUACAUGAUUAAAAAUAAAGUUUAUCAUUUCUAACCGUAAUUGAUAAUUGAUGAUUUUAUUUAAUUCAAUCACGAUUACCAUUUAUAAACUUUCUUAAAUAGUAGUCUUUAAAACAUUAUCACUCCUCCAAAAUCUACUUUAUUUAUUUGUACCAUUUAGCCAUCGAAAGAUAAUACAGUUAUAAAAUAUGGUUAUGGAGACUUUCCCUCUUUGUAGCAAAUUAUUAGAGUCAUCUGUACUAAAAGUUACUUUUUGAUGAUAAUUAUCUAUUUUAAGGAUUAAGUUAAAUCUAUAAUAAGGUUUAAUUAUUUAGAACAUUUUUAUUUUUGUAGGGUUUUCUCAAUUAGGUCCUCGUAUUGUAAAAUCUCUUAAUUAGGUCACUAAUUGUGAAAAAUUGGAUCAAUUUAGUGUUUACUGUUAAAUUGAGUGGAUGACGUUAAAAAUUGAUGUAUGUGGCAGGGUCACAUUAGCAGGUUUUAUUGAUGUGGCAGAUUAUAGUGAAGUGAGUUGGAUUUGUUUUAUUUAAAAAUUAAUUUUUCUUCAAAUAAAAUGAUUGAAAACGCAGUAUUUAAAUAAAAUACAAUUACUAAAUGAAACUGCAUUGUCUUCUUCCUUGGGUGUCCUCUUCCUGAAAAUGCAUUGUCUUCUUUUUUGGGUGUCCUCCUGCUAGGGAUUUGGAAGAUACAGCGAUUUCACGUAGAUCAUUCAAAAAUAUUUUAUCUUUUCUGUCAAUCAGCCACAGGCAACCAGUGCCUCAUUUUCAUUUAUCCAAUACAACAUAAGAGGUUUAUAAAUUCCAGAAUCUUCAAAUCUUAAACAGUUCAUCCUCUUUUGUUGGGUAAUCUGAUUACCUUGGAAAGUCCAUUCCAAAGAAAUGAGAAGCCCAACCAGAUAGAGAAAAUUAGAAUUAGAGGACUCCCAAGCUAAAAAGAAUGCACCUUUGAUCACCAUCUCCUCAACAGAAAUAUGCCUUUGGAGGCCAAUAAGUGAAAUUUGGGUACAAGCGUUCAAGAAAUUAGGAACAAAGUACACACAUCUCAUUACACAUUUUUAACACUUAAUUAAGAAAUCAGGAAUAAAGUAUACGAAUUUACUCUUCCCAAUUCCCCUGAACCACUGCCACAGUGUGAUGGAUCAAUGUUCAAUUUCUGAUUCAAUUCCAAACCCUAACCAUAUCAAUUGCAUUGCCCUCUUUUCCCCCCUUCAAUGGCCAAUGUCUCUCAGUGAUAGCUCCUCUACAACCGCAACCCGAGCUCUACCCUAUGCUGUGGAAGCACGUCAACCUCGUCUGCACCAAAGUCGUCGUUGCGCCUUCGACGGCUCAGUCGUCGUCAUCUGUUGUGGGGUUGCGCGUUUUGGGGAUGUUGAAGUUUUGUUAGGCAUGGACAAUGUUGUGGUAGGAGGUUGGCGUGCAGAGGCUGGGGGAGGGAGUUUUGUGUGGACCGUUGCAGAAGAUGGUGGUUUCUCACGAGACUGUUAGCGGAGGCGGAGUUGGAGCAGCAAUAGUUGAGAAGGUGCUAAAGGUGUGUGGUUACAAAGAUUGGGUUUAAUUAUUUUAUCAGAAGUCAUAGUAUAAAUUAGGUUUAAUUAUUUAAAACUUGAAAUAAAAUAAAUUACACCUAAGAUGAACACGUACCACGUUAUUAAAAUUUGCUUGAUCAAUAUGUCAUGAUUUAUUAAAUUUAUCACCGUCUGCUGAAUUUAACGACAAAACUUUAAUUGACUCAAUUUUACAAAAAUAAUAACCUAAUUGAGAUAAAAACAAAAUACGAAAACCUAAUCGAGAAAACCUACAGAAAGGGAUGUUCUAAAUGAUUAUGGAGACUUUCCCUCUUUGUAGCAAAUGAUUAAAGUCAUCUGUAAUAAAAGUUACUUUUUGAUGAUAAUUAUCUAUGAAGUCAUACAAAUUAUUUUAAGGAUUAAGUUAAAUCUAUAAUAAUUAUCAAACCAAACCAAACCCACUUUAUUUAUUAAGUGUAGAAUUUACAUGAAGAUAGCAGAGAAACAUCGUACAGUAAAGGAAACACAAACAUUUGUUACAUUAGGACAGGAAACAGGCAUCCAAUCCCAAUGUUAGAUUAAAGAGAAAGAAACAAGCGUUGGCAAUGGAAGCCUAAUUCGUAGCAUAUUUUGACACCAUUUAUUCAUAUGAGGCUAAGUGGUUGAUAACGAUGACGAAAAUGACAGCUUUCGUAGGCCUAACAUCACCCACAUUCCUUCACUUAACUCUCCCAAAAAAACAUAUUUUGGAGUUGAACGCAUCUUAACAGUGAACUCAAUCCGCUUCCUUUCCGGAAUCAAACCUCUGAGACUGGGCCAUCCUUCAAGGAUAGGCUUGAUAUAACCCACAAAAGUGUCAUCAGUUGAACCUGGGGCGAGUUUGAUACGCACGUAGUUCUCUCCUUUGAAAAGGUAAAUUCAGGCUCCUUAUAUAUGAGAAGUAAAAUAUGUGAUGGAAGUCUCACAUCAAUUAGAGAUAAGACCACUUUAUAAUAUAUAAGUGAGGUACAGACCUCACCUUAGAAGCCAGAGUAUCCUGAGAGUAUCCUGUCAUUUAUUGUACCUGGAGCAUAGUCUAUGUAAACACAGAGGUUGCCGGAGAACACAUAUGCUUCACUUGCUUCAGUAUCAAAGGAACAGUCUAUUCCAUGUUCUGGCGUUCCUGCAAGUGAUGGAAAACCACUACUAAUCAAGCUCAGAUUAGUUAAAAUAUUAUCAUCAUCUGAUUUCCCAGGAGUGUAGUGCAACCGCACAUACUUAUUCUCCAUGAAGAAAUACACUUGAUUUUCUCUUGAUGAACGAAAAGGAGCAUUGAUAUAAGGGUUCGACAUCUUUCUUAACAAAACAAGAGGAAGUAAAAUAGAUAGAUAUGAGCUACGCAAGAGGACCAUCACAACCUUCUUUAGUCUCAAUAUAUAUGAUUUUAUUUAAUUUUUAUAAUAUCAAUACUCUUCUUGUUUAUCAAAAAAAAAAAUGCCAACACUAUUUAAAAACUAAUAUUAAAUAAAUAUAAAUUAUAAGGUAUUUCUUAUUUCUUAUGUAGUACAUCUAAUUAACAGUAAAAGAUAGUAAAUCGUCAUCAACUAACGCCCUUUCUGCUUUAAAAAAACAUCAAAUAAGGUAAAAAAGAAUAAAGAAAAAGAAAUCCAAAAUUUAUACCUGGAAACAAUGUUGCAUCCUCAUUAUCCAUCAUAUAUGUUUCUUUACGACAACUGUGCGAGUGGAAUUAAUAACAGACACACGUACAUUCGUUUUCAUAAGUCCAAGAUCACUUUCAACGUUAUCUGCAAUAUAUAUUCUCCAUUUAGUUUUUGUCAUGGCCUUCGGUUCAAGUGGGGAACCAAAAGGAGACCUACACUUUUUUUCUUCAAUUUCCUACCAAUUCUUCGUUUAUAUUCUUUACCAAUUGGACCACAAUAUUCUUUGCGUUAGAUCAGAAUAUAUAUAUAUAUAUACACAUUAGAAAAAUAUAUAAAAUUAAAGUAAUUCCAAGUAAGGAAAUUCCCACUCCACAACAGAAUAAAUAGGUGUAUCGGAGAGGAAUGUAAGCAUCCUUUAAUCAUAUAUCUCUAUACAAUUACUUCCUCUUCUUUUGUCGACAAAGAUGCCAGACCCUUAUAUCAAUGCUGCAUUUCGUUCAUCAAGAGAAAAUGAAGUGUAUUUCUUCGCAAAGAACAAGUAUGUGAGGUUGUAUUACACUCCCGGAGGAACUGAUAAGAUUUUAACUAAUCUGCGCUUGAUUAGUAGUGGUUUUCCAUCACUUAAAGGAACGCCAUUUGCAGAACCUGGAAUAGACUGUGCCUUUGACACUGAAGGGAGUGAAGCAUACAUGUUCUCCGGCAACAACUGUGCCUACAUAGACUAUGCUCCAGGUACAACAAAUGACAAGAUACUCGUAGGUCCGUACACAAUUGCUGAUAUGUUUCCUGCCCUCAAUAGCACGAUGUUUGCGGAUGGCAUAGACUCUGCAUUUAGAUCCACCAGAGGAAAAGAAGUUUACUUAUUCAAGCGCAAUGGGUAUGCUUGCAUAGACUAUGAUUCGAAGCAGUUUGUUGGCUCCAUUCGGAAAAUCACUGAUGGGUUUCCUGUGCUGAGAGAUACCAUCUUUGAAAAUGGAAUCGAUGCUUGUUUUGCUUUUCAUGAGGAGCCUGAAACUUACCUUUUCAAAGGAGAUAAAUAUGUGCGUAUCCAUUUUACCCCAGAUAAAACUGAUGACACUCGUCGUGUAGGUUUUAUCAGACCUAUCCUUGAUGGUUGGCCCAGUCUCAGAGGAUUAUCAGGCCCGGAUGCGUCUCCUGCUAUGCCCUCCAAACCUCCAAAUAAGUGAAGGAAUGUGGGUGAUGUCAGGCCUAUCCUCUCAGAGGCAUUGUGCCUGUCAACUACACAAUCUGUCAUUUUCGCCAUCGUCAUCAACCACCUUAGCCUCAUAUCAAUAAAAUGGUGUCAUUGCCAAAGUUUAUUUCUUUCUCUUUAAGCUAACAUUAUAGGAUUGGAUCGAUGCAUGUUUCCUGUCCUAAUGUAACAAAGAGUGCAUGUUUGUGUUUCCUUUACUGCACGAUGUUUCUCUGCUAUCUUCAUGUAAAUUCUACACUUAAUAAAUAAAGUGGGUUUGGUUUGGUUUGAUAA